rnacentral:lncRNA from 1 species
UGACUGGUGAGAAGUUAGUGACCCCGCACACUUCUGGCCAAAUAUCUUUUGCAGGAAGACGUCUCAUGAUGGUAAGUAAUUAACUAUAAAUUAUUUCAUUAUUAUUUUAAUUUUAUUUAUUGCUAGAAUUAAUUAAAUAUUUUUGACUAAUAAUGUUUAUUAAUUGGUAGGCCGAGGAGAACGGAAGAGAACUACCUCCAAUGACGAAGCUCUUCGAGACCACUCACCGGAAGAAGGACGGGAGCUUUGUCGACGCUCGAGGAGAUCUACAAUGCCGCUAUGCAGCGGAUCGCCGAGCGGGAGACCCAGGCCACACCUGACGGUACUAUCCAAGUACCGUUGACCGUCGCUGAGCAAGACCAGAUUUUCGAAGAGGUAUGAUAUCUAUUUCAAUUUUUUAAAAAUUUAUUAUAUUUAUAAUUACUUAAUAAAUAAUUAACGUUUUUAUUUUCCAUUUGUAAGUUGCUCCGAAGAAGAAGGGUCGAACCUUAGGGAUGGGCUCUAUUAGAGACUGUCCUGCCGCCACGGCUUCCGGAUUCCGCUCGCAGGAUCCGCAGCUUCGUCAGGAGCUUGCUACGGCCAAUGCUGAGAUCACCAGUCUCAGGCAUGAGCAAGUGGCCCAGAAGCAGGAGCUCACCGAGAUACAUGAUCUCUUCGACAUCAUUGCGGAAGCGGUUCCGCAGUUGACCACUGCAAUCCGAGCGAGGCAACAGCGAGCACGGAGGGUUUUUGAGACCGGUGGUAGUUCCGGUACUGGACCAUCGGACCACCAGACGCAGGGCGGUCAGUCUUCGGCUCCGGUCUCAGCAGCGACAGGCGGUCAGACUUCGGCUCCGGUAGUGCAGACGGGAAAAGUCGGCCUAGCAGCGACGGGCGGCCAAGACGGAGAGCCUCCUCGUGACGUCGAUCUCAACCUCGACGAUUACAACAUCAUUGUAUAGAUUAGGUUUUUUUGUAAAAAACAAUUUGUAUAAUUUUUUUUUUAUUUAUAAAUUAUUUUUGAAUUUAAAUUGAAAUUUAAAUUCAAAUUUUUUCUAUUUUUAAUUUUUUGAUUAUUUUAAAAAUUCAUUAAUUAAAUUAAAAUCGAAUUAAAUAAUUAAUUUAUAAAUCGACGUAAAUUCGUCGUAAAUUUAUGUCGAUUUAACGUCGAAUAUUUAACGACGAAUUUACGACGAAUAAGUUUACGUCGAUUUAACAUCGACAAUUAAAAAUUUAGUUUCCCUUAAUUGAAAUUGUUCGUCUCCUAAACGUUGUAAAAUCGAUGUAAUUUUACAUCGAUUUUACGUCGUUUUUAUGAUGGAAUUUUUUCGUUGUACAUCCGUUGGAAAAUUUACGACGCAUUUUCGACGAAUAGUUCCCGACGAUUUUACGACGAUUUUCCGGAGUUGGUAAUUUUACGACAAUUUUACGACAAUUUCGGUUUUACGACGAUCGUUUUACGACGAUUUUUAAUUCGUCGUUAAUUCGACGUAAAUGCUCUUUUACGUCGAUUUUACGUCGAUAUCUGCCGACGUAAAAGCCAAUCUUUCUUGUAGUGAUUUUCUUUAUGGAGUGAAUUUGAAAGUCGUGUUUUUAGGAUAUAAAUACAAGCUUUAAGGAUUGUAAUUGAUUAUUCACAUAUUUAAUAAAAAAAAACCCUAAACGGAUAUUUAUACCUUAAUUGCAAUUUUCUUUCUUUUAUUAUUGCUUUAUUCGGUUUGAUUCACAACAUAAACAAGUAACAUUUGGUCGCAGCUUCGGUCGCAUUCACUAGCAAUUAUCAAAUGAAGAUGGCCUUUCUCUUAUAUAUUGAUAUAAUAAUGAAUCUGUUACAUAUUCUUCUUACUCAAGAUCACUAGUUAGUGAAGUGUUACGUGUCUGUUUAUAUUUUCUUUCCACAAAUAUAAAUUCCUUGGCAGCCUAUUUAUAACUAGUUUUUUAUUUUCUCCAACCUUAAGAGUGGAAUAAUGAAAUAACACUGUUAAGCAAAUGUCGCAAAACCGAAAGAGAAUAACAUAAUAAACUAAAGACGAUCUUAUUAUGGAAACAACGAAGCGAUUACAACACAGGCCAUUACGAUAUGAAACUUUAUUCCCAUACUUUUCAUUUCUUAAUCCAUCAUGCCCCUUAAGAACACUUGGGGCACUUACACAUACACAUAUAAGUGUAUAUAUAGAUCCAACCAUGCAUUAUAUAGUUUUAGUGACCGGGUUGAGUCUGAACAGCUUCUCCGGCAUAAGAACAACACCUUGAGCAGCCACGGUAACCUCUGUAGCAGCAACCGUGACGGCAAUAACCUCCUCCACGGCCUCCUCCGUUGUAUCCUCCUCCGCGGUGUCCUCCUCCGUUGUAACCUCCUCCUCCGUUGUAUCCUCCUCCGUUGUGUCCUCCUCCAUUGUAUCCUCCUCCUCCGUGGUGUCCUCCUCCGUUGUAACCUCCUCCUCCGUUGUAGCCACCACCAUAUCCAUCGGGUUUCACAUUUUCCUCACUUUCUGACUUCGCUGUAGCUGUCAAAAAUAAUACAUUUCAAAGAUAUUAUUAGCACGUUCAAAUUUGCAUUCCUCACCCAGAAUUUAGAACUAUUUUUCUAUUUGCAAAAAAUAUUAAGAGAUAUAAGUUUGCAUCUCUAGCUAGUUUGUUUCAAAACAUUUACAACAUAAGAUAUACGUUCUAAACAUUUUUGCUCUAAAUGUUUGAGAUGAUCCCGAUACAUAUAAUAAGAAUUCAACAUCAUACUUAAGUGUAUUUUGAUUUUCGUAAGUCUCCAGCCUUAUAACAAACUAAAUAGUUGAAUGAAUCUAUCACCCAAUGGAAGAAGUAGACAGAAACAUAAAAAAUAAUGUUACAUACCCGACUGCCUUUCGGAUGCCGCUGCCCUUUCUGAGACGACGAAAAGAAGUGCAAAGAGACCCAACAGAAUUAAAGCCCUCGAAGCCAUUUUCUUCAACUGUUCAACUCUUUGUUUUAGAACGUGUGAUGAAUAAAAAUGUCACCAUGUAUGCCUCUAUUUAAAGAAAACGAGGAGGAGGGAAUGAGAAGAGUAAAAAAAAACCUAAUCCCUAGUCCAAUAAAAAUAACUCAAAAGAAAAGUUAAGAAAUUUAAUAAUUUAUGACAAUAAAAAUAGUAAGAAGAAGAUAAGUAUCGAUUGCAUAGGGCCCAUUUAUGGUUGGUUGUUGGAAUCAUUGUAAAUAAUUUUGAAACUCCUUAAAUGGCAACUCUCCACUAGUCUUUUAGAUGUUUCUAUAAAACGUCUCAAACACAGCGCAUUCACACGUAUAUAGUCAUAGACAUAUUAAAAAAUAUUAUUGGAUUAUUUCGAGAAUAAUAUUCAUUAUUGGAGAGUUGGAGACUUGGACUAUUGUUUAUGAAUCGUCCUUUACAAUCUCAACCGACAGAUUUUACGCAGAAGGAUAUAGACAAAUCAUAUGGACUUAAAAUCAGUAAGUCAUAUAGGAGCGAUACGUAGUAGUUAAUAAGGACAGACGCAAAAUAUUAAGUCAUAUAGGAGCGUACGUAGUAGUUAAUAAGGGCAGACGCAAAAUAUUGCACGGCUAUAUUGUUGGGAUAUCAAUCCAAGUUUCACAUCUAAAAUUUAAACUAAUGUACUCAAAUAUAUAAGUAAAAUGUUUAAUAGUUUAGUAUAAAAUUUUUUGGAAGAAAUUUAAAAACAAAUCCGUGCAUGCUUUGUCAUUUGAAUCCAAAGUGGACAAUAUCAUACUAAUAGAGAAUUGGACAUGGAUUUGAAAAGUUCAACAAUUGGUAUCAGAACCAGGUUCUGGAAAAAAUGGAUCUGGACAAAUGGGUGUGGACUGUGUGUUCGGUGUGGGAGGGAGAGCCCUCAAAGUAACCUUGCGAUUAGGGUGCUGGUGCUUUGUAUCAAAAGUCUUCCGAUUGGGCUUUUCAAGCUCAUGUCCAACUCCCUAUUAGUAUGAUAUUGUCUGCUUUGGGCCCAAAUGACAAAGCCCGCACAGAUUUAUUUUUGGAUUCGGGUUUGAGUGGUCCUUAGCUAGAGGAGAGGAUUGUUGGGAUAUCAAUCCAAGUCCCACAUCCAAAGUUUAGACCAAUAUGGUCUAGUAUAUAAGCAAGAUGUCCAAUAGUUUAGUAUGAGACCUUUUGAGAAGGAAUCCAAAAACAAAUUCGUGCGGGCUUUGCCAUUUAGGCCAAAACGGACAAUAUCAUACUAAUAAGGAGUUGGACUGGGCUUGAAAAACCCAAUAUGAAGACUUUCGAUACAAGGCACCAGCACCCCAAUCGCAAGGUUACCUUGAGGGCUCUCCCUCCCACACCGAACACACAGUCCACACCCACUUCUCUAGUCUACCUUUUCCAGAACCUGACUCUGAUACCAAUUGUUAGAUUUUCAAGUCCUUGUCCAACUCUCUAUUAGUAUGAUAUUGUCUGCUUUGAGUCCAAGUAGAAAAGCCCGCACGUAUUUGUUUUUGAAUUCCUUUCCAAAAGGCCUCAUACUAAACUAUUGGAUAUCUUUAUGUACUAGACCAUGUUGGUCUUUACUUCGGAUGUGAGACUUGGAUUGAUAUCCCAACACUUUUUAACAGUUGCGAAAAGGUUAGGAGAAGAGUUUCGUUGGUGCGUACGGUGAUACAAGAUGGGUGCCAAGUUUCGCAGGAGGUUGGGAGGCCACGGGUUUGUGUGAUCCUUGGCUUAAGGGGAGAAUUAUUGGGAUAUCAAUCCAAACCUCAUAUCUGAAAUUUAGAGCAAUAUGGUCUAGAAUAUAAGCAAGAUGUCCAAUAGUUUAGUAUAGGGCAUUGUGGAUAAGAAUCCAAAACAAAUCCAUGCGGGGUUAGCCAUUUAGACUCAAAGCAGAUAAUAUCAUACUAAUAGAAAGUUAGACAUGGGCUUGAAAAGCCCAACAUAUAUUAAUCACAGCUAUUCUAAUGGAAAAUUUUUUUAAUGAAAUUAUCUAUUCAAGUCAUUUAAGCGUAAGGCUUGAUAUUCAGUAAAUGAGUUGAGAAUUAGUUAAUAAUAUUAAUAAAGGUCAUUGAGUGUGGACAUGUUAGUUACUUUCCUGCUACUUGCAUUUGACUUAAGAGUGAAAUUCAUAAGAUUGUACAAACAAAUUGUCUAACACAUGAGACUUGUGAUACCAAGAACAAUACAUGCACACAAUAAGCCAUGGUAGCUCAAUUAUUCGUUUGGAAUGUAAAACAUCACAUACAUGUCUAAUUCAAGUUUUACUUGAUAUAAAAAUUAAACGGAUGAUAUAAAGGAUCUAAGAACACCUCCAUUAGUGAGAUACAUCAAUAUAAUAUUAAUACUGCAUUUAAAAUAUACUUUAACUUUGCAAUUUUAAGUUUUCUAAAAAACAUUCAUGAAAAGAUAUAUGUUACAUUAGUCUCUCAUAUGGUUUACAAAUGAUAAUCCAUUCUCAUUCCCCAUUCUUUCUUUAAUAUGAGAAAUCCAGUGAAAUAUUCUCAAUAGAGAUGUUUUAAAGCCUCUAAUUAAUUAGCAUGAAUAUUUUACUUAUUAAAAAUGUAUAAUUUCAAGCUUGUGACUCAUCAAGGAGAACAUCCAAAACGACUUAAUCAUAAGUACGAGUUGGGAUUAAGCAAGAAUUGGGAACUGGACAGAGAGCAAAAAAUUAGAAAAUACGGAACACAAAUAGUAAUAGUUAAUGGUAAUAGUUAAAGGUAUCAACUUAAUCAUAAGGACGAGGGUGAUCUUUGUCUUACACAUAAUUCUUUUCCCCCUUAUUUCCUCUUAGUUUGGUUGUAAGGAUUAUCUAGAGGGUUGUAGCCUGUAGGAUAUAUGAUCUAGAGAUUGUGAAAGAUCUCUCGAAAAUUCUCAAGAAUUAGUCUACAAAAUAAAUUCCUAAGAAUCCUUCCCCAAUCCAAAGGAUCACGCUAGCAAUCCCCAAACCUCCGCUUUUGUCACUUAUCUUACCCUAGAUGGAUCUUCAAUACAGAUCGUUUUAUCCAUUUGAUCAAUACCAUACAAUUUAGGUGUCUUUGUAUAACAAGGCGUAGUAUAUCCCUUAUUUGGUAUUCACGCAACACAAUGAAACACAUGACUAUAUCUUUGUGUUUUUCCACUCAUUUUCGAAUUCUUUCUCUUUGUGUUAGAUUUAUUUUUGAGAGGCUGUCUCUUUUUUUUGGACAAAAGAAUAGAUACCUACAACUGUUUUAUAACAUAAACAAUAUCUUGCAGUCCGCCGCGUUGAAUGUAUGAAAUAGAGAAAGCUAAAACCUUCCUUACACAUGUUGAAUUCCUCCAUGCGGUAUAAACAUCAUCGUCACCAACUCGAAAUAGUCUGUAACAAAAGAUGUUGUCUUCUGAUAUUCGAUUAUACAGUGCAUGAUCCAAAUGAAUGCUUCUACUUCAACGUGCAAAGGAAAGAUUUUCUUGUAGACUUUUGCUCCCAUUAAUAUCAUUCAAUAUAUUCUUGGAAGCAAUGCCAUCCUAGUCUGGAAAAAUUGUCGGUUUAGUUUUCUUGUAAGAGCAGUCUAUGUAGCAUCAAAUAAUUUAACCAAAUUUCCUUGGGUCAACGAUCUAUUUUUUUAUGGGAAUUAUCUAUAGCAUGAGAUGUCUCCCGACCUAUAUAUGCCUUCUUUCUAUAUCUCCACGAAAUCGGGUUAAGACCUAUUUGAGAGAUUAAUAUUUUUAAGUUUGUUUUUGUGGGGAUAUACACAGAGAAAAUAAUUUAAUGUACGUUAACAUCUGAUGAUGGCUGAUGCUACAGUAAAAAUUCUAUAUAUUAAUAAUGUUGGAACUUUAAAAUUUUAUUAAUUUAGCAAAUUAUUAAUUUAUAAAGAAAUUAAUUUAACCAAAAUUUAAAUUUAAAACCAAAUAAUUAAUUGAGUUUAUUAAUUUAUCAAAUAUUAAUUUAUAGAAUUUCUGUUGUAUAUAUAUGAUAGUUCUCGUGAUUCUUUCUAUCCUUUCUAAGAAAGAGAAGUUAUCAAAUACAUUUAAUGGUGGAUACGUGGAGUCUCGGUCAGGAUUGUUGAUCACCACACGUGAUAGUGAAAUUGUAAUUUGGUAAUAAUAAGGGGAAAUGUUCAGCUAAAAAAAUUAAAUGAAACUCAGACCAUGCAAGUGUUGGAACCUUACUCAAUGAAUUGAUUGCUUGUUUCGAUCCAAAAUUCAAAAAGCAAUAACUAUAGCUGAUGCUGACUAUUGAGAAGAAAGUUCUAAAUUGGCAACUCAAACUAACCACAUGAUAGUAUGAUACAUAAUGACAUUCUUUCAAUUUUAUAGCCUUUUCUAUCAAAUUGAAAAUAUGGAAAACCAAAUUAUAUUUUUAAUAUUUAAAACAAGAUACUAGCUAUUCUAUAACUUUAGUAUACCCAGGUAAAGAAAAUAAGAUUUAGAUUCUAUAUUGAAUAAGAAUCAGUCUAAUUAUGACUCAUAUAGUUAGAUUUCAAUUAAAACUCUUAUUAGUUAUUCAGAAAUUAUGUUUUAUAAUUUGUAAGUAAGAAAAUUUAAAAUUAAUCUAUAUUAAUCAUAAAUAACCCUCUUAAAUAAAUAAGAGGUUAUAAGACAAUAAUUUACAUUUUUCAAUUUGUAGUUUCUAUUUAUUUCUGUAUUUUACUUUUUAUUUUAUUUUAUUAGUUUCUUUUUUUGAACCAAAAAUUAUUUUGUUUUAUAUUUAAUUUUUUAAUAUUUAAAUAUAAAUAACUAAAAUUUAAAAACUUAAAUUAUUAUAUUAACAUAUGUUACAAUCUAAACUAAUAAUGACACAUAUAAUAUCUGUAAAAAGUUAUAAUUAUUCUAUGUGUCAUGCUAACGUAGAUCUUACCAAGUAGGAUUGUAACACUAGAUAGAUUCAACUCUGCAUAAUACGUAAAAAAUAAUAAAAUAUUUAGAUGAUCUGGUCAUCGAUCUAGCAAACCACCACAAGGUGAUCUCAAUGCCCAUAGACGAUCCAACCGAGCCAUCCGAAGCUGAUUGGAGCCUUGUUGAAGCUGUAUCGGUGAAACCAAAUACCAAAUCAACUGAGGGAAGGCAUUUUUACCAACCAACCAACCCCAGUGAAGACUGAUCAAGCAAAAACACUUUUGACUCAAACCAGAACUGAAGAUAACCGAGACAUUCCACCUAAUAGCCAAGGAGCGGUUAUACCAUCACCAUCUUUGACCAAACCGGUGAUUCAUGAUCCAAGAACCAAUAUUCAUCGACCAACCGACCAUAAGGAGUAUUCUGUACGAGAUAUUUCAUGUCUUAACCAAGCUAGAAGUAAAGAUAACCGGAGCCUCACCAACCGGCUUGAUUACAAACCAGAUUUUACCCGAGAAGAGACUUGGGCUGAUUUCUUAGAGAUCAAACUCAAUCACCAAGAACUAAUAUCAAACCUGAUUUGCUCUGUGUUCUUGACCCAUUAAGGAAUCACGGUGAAUUGGAAUCAGUCCAACUUACCCGAUUGGAAAUAUGCACCUUAAUUGAAGCAUUCCGACCAAGCCGGGAGGAAUUAAGCUGCGAAAUGACUUGUUCUGGAAUCUGGGUUCAUCAAGGAAUCCGGGAUAGUUGGAAUCACACCAAGUCCGGUUUUCAUUUGGGAGAUACUCCAUUUCUAAACCGACCGAUGGUUUCCCAGCUUGCCUUAUUUGAAACCCUAUGGGUUUAGGAGACACUAGACGUAUCAGUGGCAUCCAGGAGACUGUGCUAUUUCCAGAAGUUCCCUAAAAUACUCUAGAGUGCACCCGUACGCCUUGGAUCAGGCGGAUCCAUCUGUACCUUCAAUUGAACUAACUAGGGCCGAUUAUAGAAACUACGAAGACCGACCAGUUCAAUUAUGAGCAAACCAAGAUAUCACGACCAGAAGAGAUUCUUAGACAAUUAAGGAGCUUAAAAACACCUUCCCAUGCACCAGAAACCACAGGAUCAGACGGAUCUUCUUGCAAGUCCACUUUCCUUAUGUAGCUGCGUUCACAUUAGGAGCCAUAACUUUCCAACGGCUCUUUGUCUUUAAGUGCUACGAUAUGGACAACUUUUUUGGAGAUAAGAAUGUUCCAGAAAUUCUCACUAAUCCUCUUAAACCUUACGGAUACAAAGGCGUCAUCACAAUUGCCUUAGUUGCCGAGACCCUCCAUUAAGAGCCAACAGCUAGUUUUUGAUAUAUUUUUGAUUUGUUCCUUUACUCUAGAUUUUUAGACCGUUUGUAAUUAAGCUUGUAGGAGCUCUAUACAAGCUCAGCUCAGGUAAUUUUUACAAUUCACCUUUAAAUCCAGAUUAAUACAAAGUAUUCCUUUUUCUUUCAAAGUUGUGUCUUUGCAAAGACUUGUUCUUUUCUUUAGAAUUAAGUGUGAGAUUCACUUAGCUCUAUAGAAGCUGCGAAAUUAGUUUGUUUAUGAGAUUCAAACAAACUAUUUCGUCGACAUAUUGAGAGAGUCAAUCAACCCCCAUCGAUUGAGAGUCAAUCACCCUAUCAUCAUCUUUAUCUCGACUUCAUUCCACCUUCCGCAGAAUAAGUUUGGAAUAUCUUCAUCAUUAAGUGAUCAUAAGUUGGAGUGAUUUCAAUCUUGUAUCAAUUAAUAAUGACACAUGUAAUGAUAUAGAAAGUUAUAAUUAUCCUACGUGUCAUGCUAGCGUAGAUCUUACCAAGUAGGGUUGUAACACUAGAUAGAUUCGGCUCUGCAUAAUAUGCAGAAAAAUAAUAAAAUAUUUAGGUUUUCAAUUUUUAUAAUCUGCAUAAUUAUGACUUGUACAGUUUGAUAUAUACUAUUAUUUGCGAGGUCAAAAAUCUGAUGUGUCAUCAUCACAGUGAUUGUCUUAUGUGUCAUUAAUAAAAAACAAUUAUGUGUUGUUUUAAUUUGUUUUGAUAGGUCAAUCAUUAGUCCUACGUGUACAUAUCCAUGACAUGGUUUUUUUUCUUAAUUAUGGGCCAAAGAUUUUGCUAAUGGGCCACCGAUCUUAAAGUUUGUCCUAGCCACCGAUGUAAAAGUCGGUACUAACCUAAACCCUAGCGUAUCCAUCGUGCUAGAUAUACCCAUUUCGGUUUUCAUAUUUUCUUACAUAUAAUAUCUGUCUACUAAAAAAAAAAUUGUUCACCUCUUUUUUUAAAAAAAAACUAUCAUAGCAUUUAAAAAAAACGUCCACCUCUUUUUUAAAAAAAGGAUCAUAUCAUUUUUUAUAUACUCCAUCUCUUUUUUUUAAACAAUCUCUAUGAUUAUUUAUGCGUAUUUCUAAUGAAAAUAACCUACUAUUUUUUGUAUAAUUGAUAUUUUGAUGGUUCUAUAGUUCAUCUCUCGCCUUACAAUGGAAUCGUCAGGUAAAUAUACAUUUUUGAUUUUAUCUUAGUUCGUGCUUUUAAUGUUUUUUCAGAUUCUAGAAGUUUUUCUUUUGUAAAUCCACGGCGUAAUAGUUAUUUGCUUCAAAACUUUUAUGAAUUUUCUGUAGCGAUUAGCAAUCGUCCCUUUCAUGAUCCUCAGAUUUUCUAUAUCAUCUGCCGCCAUCUCAAAUCGUUUUUCCACGAGAUGAAGAUUCUUCUGCCAGUGUUAACAAUGAUAAAUUUAUCGGUUGGUCGAAGUGUAAUCAGGACUAUCCAGAAUCCAGAUCGUUAUGUAUUCUGAAUUUCUGACACGUUGGAUUUGAGAUUGUUAAAAACAUCAUGGCAUCCCCGUCUCUGCGGAAUCUCCACACCGAGUAUUAUAUCCAAUUGUAACCCCAACACUGGUACUGCUUAAGGGUUUUAUUGCAUGUCGUUUGCAGUCCAUGUUCUUAUAUUGAUAUAAGAACAAAUAAAUGGUGUUGUCCACCCUACUUUCAAAGAUGCAUGUUAUGUUUUAGGUUAAAUUCACGAUGAUACUGAGAAUGUUUAAGCUUUCUAUAAGGCAAGUCAAUGAGGUUCCCGCUUCUCUCUCUUCAAAUGAGGUUCACUACUUUGUUACAUCCAGGUUCUAUGAUGAAUCACUUUUGUGUAUGGAGAUCCAUUCAAUGUUUUUUAGUAUAAGUUUUGUCAAUUUUUUGCAUUGUCUUUGAUUUUCUUUUCUUUCAUUAUAUUAUUUUAACAAUUUCUUAGAUUUUUUAUUCUGUUCUGCCCGGUUUCGGUUGAGAGGUUUACUAUUUGAGAUUUUUGUUGGACGUUGUUAGGUAUUUUUAUUGGACGUUGUUAGGUAUUUUUAUUGGAAGUUGUUAGUCUUGGUGCUCAUGCUUUAUAUAUAGAUGAUAUCCAGUAGCUAAAGAUUUGUGUACUUAGUGGUUCGUUUGUUCGGUUGGUAAUUUUUUGUUUGGGUUUUUGAAUUUGGUUUUGUAUUAUUUUUUCAGUCGGUUAGAUUGAUAUUUGGUGCGUGUUGGUUAUAUAUUUUGUGGUUUAAUGAUUACACUAUUAUAUAUAUAUAUACAUAUAUAUAUAGUUGUAGUGUGGUUUUUAGACAAAAUUCUCUUUUUUCAAUUUUUGCGAUAGUUUAUUUUUCAAGAAUGUCACAUAUUUAUUCAUUGAGCUUUUGUGGUGUUUAUGAUUUCUAAUAUGUCUACGGUUUUGUCAGAUAUGAUUGUAAUUAUUUACCUAAGCUCUUAAAAUUAUUAUUUAUUAUAUAAUCUAUACAUAUAUUGUGAUCAAAGUAAAGAAUGUAUAUCCUAGGGUUAUUUAACUAUGAUCUGAAAUUUAGUAUUUAUUAUAUAUAAUCUAAUAAGGAGAUGAAGACGACCAAUGAAGUCGGAAGGUGAAGAUGAUAAAAAUAUAGAAGACAAAGUAAAAUAAAAAAAUGAAAAAAAAGAAGUAGAAGAAGAGGAGAAAAAAAGAUAAAUCAAAAUAUAAAGAAGAAGCUGUAGUUGAUGAUAAAAACUAAAGAAAAAUAUGAACAUAAAUUUGAAUAAAACCAUAGAGAAAAAGAAGAAGAUGAGAACACAGAAUAGUGAAGAAGAAUAUUGAUAAGAAAAAAGAAAUUUGGCUUUGAAUAAGAAAACCAGAAGAAAUAAAUGAAAGAUGUAGAAACAAAGUAAAGACGAGGAAAUGGGAAAAUGAGUAGGUGUAGAUGAAAAAAAAAAGAUGAAAACACUAGAAGAAGAUAAAUUUGACAAAGACCAAAGAGGAAUAAGAAGUAAAGAAUAAAGAAGGCUAAUAAAAAUCAAAAAAGAAAGAAGAACAAGAAGAAAAAGAAGAAAAAGAAGAGCUGAGAAAUAUAACGAUGAUGAAGAAGAAGUCAAAACGAUGAUGAAGAUGAAAGAAAAUUAUGAAAAAUAAGAAAAUCGAAAGAUAUAUAAGACGAAGAAGAAAGUACAAGUCAAAGAUGAUGAAUAAGAAGGAAAAUAUGAAGAAGAAGAAGACUUUGGGACAGAAAAAAAAAACAAUGUCUUUAAAUUAUAUAUUAGAGAAUGAAGAAGAAAGACAUAUAAAAACCAAAAAAAUAAAAGAAUAAGGAAAAUACAAAGAAAAAAAAAACCAAAAGAUAAAAAGUAGAAAAAAGAGUAGAACAAAAUAGAAGAGCAAGAAGAAGGAGACAAGUCUGAAGUGGGAAUUGAAAUAGAAGUUGAAGACGAUGAAGAAGAGGAAAGAAAACAUAAGAAAUAAGAAAAUUGAAGUCAAUGAUAAAGAAGAAGUAAAAGACGAAGAAGAAGACUGAAAAAAAGAAAAAUAAAAAUCAUAAUAAGAAAAAUUAUGACAAGACGAAAUGUUGACAACUAAAAAUGGGAAGAGGAUGACGAAUUUAGAGAGAGAGAGAGAGAGAGAGAGAGAGAGAGAGAGAGAGAGAGAGAGAGAAAUUGUGGUAAUGCUUUCAGGGACAUGUAGAUGGAGAGAGAGAGACAGUGAGUGAGAGAAAUAGAGAGAGAGAGAGAGUAAGAGAAAUGAGAAAGAGAGAGUUAAACAUUUCAAGUACAUGACAUUAAAUCUAUGUUAGUUCGUCUUUUCUGUGUUUCUAUUUUUUUUUAUAUCUGAGACACUUCUUACUUUAAAUGUAGUUGUCUAAAUCGUAGAUAUAUACAACUUAAGACGAGGGAAGAAGAGAGAGAGAGUGAGAGAGAAAUACUGAAACAGAGGGAGGGUAAGAGAGAGAAUGAUAGGGAGGGACGCAUGGAGGGGGAGAGAAAGUUAAAGUUUUCAGGUAUAUGUAUUUGAUUAAUAUAAAAGACGAAGAAAAACAAGAAGAAUAUGAAGUCAGAGAGAUCAAAGAAGACGAAGGUGAUGAUGAAGAAGAAGAAUUCGAAGUAGAAGAGGAAGAAGUUGCGAAUAAGAUGUGGAAAACAUGAAGAAGAAGAAGACGUGAUUAAAAAAAAAAAACUAAAGAAUAAGAAGUAAGAAAAGACAUAUAGAAUGAAGAAGAAAUAAAAGAAAAUGAAAAGAAAGUAAGAAUAUGCGAGAGUAGAAUGAGAGAUAAAGGUGGAAAACUAUGAAUAAAGAUAAGGAAAAGACAAUAAAGAAGAAAAAUCAAAAGAUAAAUAAGAGGAAAAAAAUGAUGAAAAGCGAUUAUGUGGAGUGAUAACUAUGAGUUUUCAAGACUCUUUGUAGAGGUUAUCAAUCCCUUGUCUUGUAGUACAAGGGGUUUAUCAAUCCAAGAAUGUGGUGAUAGACACUAAGCUAUGUAAUCAGGUUCUUAAUUCAAGCAAACAAGAGUGGUUUGGUUAACUAGAGACAACUACAAACUUAAACAGGAUUAAAGACUAAUGAAAUGAUUAAACAAGAACUAAACAAUGAGAAAUGAUGAGAAUGUAUGAAUGAUGAUGAGAAAAGUCUUAGACAUGAUAGUGGAUUAGGGUGCCUUCAGUGAUAAACUAAUGAGCUAAUGAAUCAUAUGAUCAAGCAAACCAUUCAACAUAAACAUCUUUAAUUAAGUUAAUCCUCUCAUGAAGGUAUUAACUCCUAUGCUAAAACAGUUUCUAACCCAAUCAUCAUCAGUGAAACAUGAGUUAACAAGCAUUAAGAAUCAGUUUAAUCUGUCAUUUAAGCAUAUAGACAAUCAUUCCCAUGAUGAAUAACACUUAAACCUAUAACAACCUUGGUUCAAACAUUUCAUCAAACACUUUUGAUGCAUGAAAUGCCCAGAAUCUAGACCACAUAUGAUUUGUAUGGAUCUAGCAUAGAGAACAAGUUGUAGAGAAUGGAAUAUGCAUGAUCUAACCCCUAAGCUCACUAAUCUACCACUUAAACACCCUAAUCUACAUAUCUAAGACCUUAAUAUGGAGAUUACUCACUAAUCAUGAUCAACACACUAGAUCCUUUGCAAGAUGUGUUGUUAAUCAUGAUUAGAAGUGUAUAGAUGGAGAGAUAGAUGAUAGAUUUUAGAAGAAAGCAGCUUUAAACACAAAGAUCUCUUAAACUCUCUUGAUUAAACACUCAAUAAUCAAUAUUUCUCUUCUUAAUGGAGUCUUUUCACAAAAGAGGCAAGAGACAAAAGGAAUAAAGCUUAGUCUUCUAAAAACCCUACAAAGUAUUUAUAUCUCUCUAAAAAACGAACCGGGUCAGCCCGGAACAAACCGGAUCCUGACCCGGCUUUAAUGGAUAAAGUGGAAAUUCUGCGGGUUGGUCCAGUGUCUCCCAGGUAGCAUGCCCAAGUCGCAGUAGAUGAAGAACUUGUCUUGUGAGACUUAAAUCGCCUUGUCUUAGUCGCACGCCCAAGUAGGAGUGUUUUGCGAGUCUUGCUGCGGCUUAAUCUUCUUCUUCUUCAACUCGCAGGACCAAGGCGGUUUCUGGGGAAUGUACAAACCGUGCGGGUUGGUCUCCAUUACACUCAGGUCGCAGGCUCAAGUCGGAGUAGAUUGAGAGUGAUCGUGCGGCUUGGUUCCAGGCGCGGCCAACUCGCAUGCCUAAGUCGCACGAUUGUGGACUUAGCAAUUUUCUUGCUCGGGAGCCUCAGACCUCAUCCAUUGAUAGCUUACCCGCACUUCUCAACUCGCAGCAUCAAUUUCCAGGCAUUCGUCUUCAGGCCUGCGAGUUAACCAAGUCGCAAGGCUUUCUCGCAGCAUUCAGAGCAGCUUGGACCACUUCGCAUUCCGGAGAGUUUAACUUCUAAGAUACUUGUCCGAAUUGAGUGAUUCCGGUUGAAGAGGACAGAGGACUCAUAUAUCUCCAACUUUGGUGAAGGAAGCUUCGGUGCUUGGGAAGUGGAAGGCUUCCUGGAGAGCUCAUCUUUGCAGUGCAUUUACACGAUCAGAGAGAGGCGUCUAGACAUGUGUCAAUUCCGGAGACCGUAUCUUCCUGCUCAUAGCUCCGAAUUGAAUGAUCUUGGACGUUAUGGAUAGAGGACUCAAAUGUCUCUGAUUCGCAUGAAGGCUCAGGAAACUGAAUCGGCCUGAAAGUGCACUGUCCGUCGCAUUCUUCAGAGCUCAUCGGCUUGGUCCAGAACAGCAGCGAGACAGGGGUUCCUUCCGACGAGCUUAACUUUCUGCUCACGCGUCCGAAUUCCAUGAUUUCACUUGCUAUGGAACCAUGAUCCAAUCGUCUCCAACUUCGAUGAAGCACCCGACAACUGAAUCGGACCGGAAGGUUCCCCGGACAGGCGAUUUCGGAAACGUGUCUGCACCCGGAGAUUUUGGCCGAAAGAUUCAAUAGCCGGUACGCGUUUUGGCCGAUAAAGUCUACCCGCGGUACGCGUUUUGGCCGAGAAAAACCUUUCUGGUGCGCGAGAAUGGCCGAUAACCUCCAAAGACCCAAUUUCACCAUUUUUCAAGCCUUGAUCAUCAUUCCACCUCCUGGAUUCAUCUUUUCAGCUCCAAAUACACCUGAUAAGCACUCAAAACAUGCAAAGACUCAUUGGGACCUAAUGCAUCUCCUAAGUUCUAAAACAAACCCUAAGGACCUAAAAUGCAUGGAAUAAAACAUGAUUUGAAAUGAAUUAUGCAACCUAAAUGAUGCAAAUUAUGAACAUAUCAACUCCCCACACUUGUCCUUUGCUUGUCCUCAAGCAAACAAGAACAAAUGAGAGAGAGAGGUUGAAUGCAUGGGAGUUCACAUUUUCUUUUUGAGAGAAGUGAUCACAAUGAGAAUUCAAAUUCAUGCUCAAUUAUGCAAUGCAAAGCCAUACUCAGAUAUAUAUCAACUCAGCAAGGAAUUUCCACAAGUUCUUCUCUCUCUCAACUCUUACAUUCAUUAAGCUUUUAUCAGGUGAAUCUCAUGAUGCAAUGUUUAAACAAGCUGGCUUGGCUAGGGAGAGGCUAUGAGAUUAAAAUGAUCUCAUUAGUGUUCAAGUGGGUUUAAUGCAGCAAAGGGAUCUCUCUAUGAAUGAUCAAACUUUGGCAGAAUACUAAAGGUAAAAAGCAACCUAUGCAUACAAGGGCAAAGACUCAUCACACCCCACCCUCUACUCAAAGCUUUCUCACUUGCUCACUCUCUCAAGGACCUCACUUUUCACACUUAUUUUCCUCUCACUAGGGGACUUACUUUUCACUUUCACUCUCAAGUCUUGGAGUUCAAACUUUACACAGCUCUUUUUCUUUUGCAACCUCUAGCCUCCUUUUCUUCUUUCUUUUCAAAACAUUUGAGCUCUUUGGCUUCUUUUCUUUUCCUUUUACUUAGAGGCUAGACUCUUUCUUUUCAACACACCAGAGCUCACUUUCUUUAACUCAAAACUCCAAGACUGAUUUCUUUUUCUUUCAUUCCCCUAGCUAUUUCCACUUCCUCUUUUCCACUCAUCUCACCUUUUUCCACUCACCAACAAGUCUUUUCCCCCACACUUAUUCCUCGCCAAAACUCUCAGUUCCUUGAUGUUGGAACACAGCACUCAAUGAGACCUGCCCUUGUCGCUCUAAACCUAACACUUUCUGCUAAGUUUGAUCCAAGGUGGCCUUUCAAUUCACACACAAACAUUGGCUUGAAAGAAAGAUGGGUUCAAGGUGAGGGAACUGAUCCAUGAUGCGGAUUCAGCUACUUGAGCUAAGCAAAAAAGGGGGGGGGGUAAAAACAAUGGUUCUAGCUCAAGUAUGUAUAUCGGUAUCCACAAGCUUUUUCAAACAAUGCAUCACAAGAUAUUUUCAAGUCAAGUUCAAGGUUCCCACUUAAUUAGAGUUGAGUUCAAUUCAAACUUGCUUCUCAGAUUCAGAUCAUUUCAGACUUUGCAAGCACAGAAAAAGAUUCACAAGCAUAUUCAGUUCAAGUUCUCAAAGUGAUGUACUCUCUAGAAAAUCUAUCAUUACUCCCUGCAAGAUGCAACCUACAUGAACAUGCAAUCUAGACUCAAUCCUAAAAAUGAGAAUGCAACUACAUGAUCAUUUUUUUUGUGAAAAUUUUUCAGAUUUUUCAUUUUUUUUGGGUUUUUAUAUGCACUUAGAUGAGACUACAUGAAUAUGCAACUAGAAUGUGACUCAAGACUCAAAGUAUAAAAUAAGAACAGAGAAAACAUGGUUAGUAAAAGAUGAAACUCCUCCCCCACACUUAAAUAACACAGUCCCUUGUGUUAUAAAAGCAUGAGAAAGGAGUGAAAGCAAAGCAAACAAGUAAAAAUGCAAAGAAAAAGAAAAUCUACAUGCAUAUUUACAAGGUUUAGAGUGUUACCUAAGAGCUGUUGAAGUCAGACCCCAAUGAGUAAGAGGGGUUUGAAGUGUGACCGGAUGGUGUCUCCCAAGAAUGAUGGCUUGCUUCAUCAGACCCGUCGUCGAGAUCCACCCAAGUUGUGCCAUAUGUGACCAGGGCUAUGCAGUUCAUGGAACUCUCUCCAACUUCCUCUCUGUUCCUUGGUGAAACUGGUGCUGGAGACCCACCUUUGCAAGGGUUUUCAAGCUUAUUAAUCCUCUUCUUCAUCUCCUUGAUGCACUUGGCCAUCUUGUGGAUGGUUUUGUCUUGGUACUUGCACCAUUGUUGGAGAAUACCAAUCUUUUGUUGAGCUAUGAACCCUGAAGUGCCUGGUUCCUCCCAGUUGUAAUCAUCAAAAUGGUAUCUAUUUCCAACAAAACGUUUUUGAGGUGGAGGCAGAUCAGCAUCUUGAGCACCAGUAGCACUUGUGGUAGCAUCUUCAGCGGUUGCUCUCUUUCCCUUGGAGGCUUCUUCUCUGCAAGCUUGCUUGUAUGUGAGGAUUGGUGGAUCAGUUUGGACAUUGUACAGCUCUUCCUUCAGCAAGAAGAAGUGAAUGUUCCUCUUAACUUGGACUGUGGUGAUGGAGGGAUUGGGCAGGAGAGUUUGUGCUGGCUCACUGAUGAGAGUCUUGAAGUUGUAUACUACCUUGGUACCCACUCUUCCUUGGAGGAAGCCAAUCUUACACAAAUGUGCUUCAUUAAUUAGAUCAAACUUUGCCUUGUUCUCCUUGAAUCUGUACCCCUUGGCUUUCAAAAUCUUUGUUACCACCCAUCCAUGGGCCAGCUUUGCAUCUUGCUUUGUAGAACCCCAAAUGCACUUUUUUUAGAACAUCAAAGACCUUGCUAAUUGAGAGGCAAGGCAAAGUGGGUAUUCAUACUGUUCAUAGGGUUCCCCAUCUUCAUGAGUUGGCAUCAGCUGUUUCAGCCCCACACCAAGAAGCAUCAGAUCGCCUUUGUGAACUCUUCCAUCAUCGAUUUUGAAGUAGAAGCUGUGAGAGAGAAUCUUGUGAACAUAUCUCAGCACUGGAUUCCUUAUCCAAGAGGACUUAGCUGUUCCAGCUAUGUACUUCCCAGAAGCAAUUGAUCUCCAUAGAAGUUGGACCUCAUCUUUUCUGAGAUUGACCUGGUUGGAGAGAAGUUCAUUUCUAGGUGUUAACAACCCAAAAAUCUCAUUCAAUUCUCUGAAUGACACUGAAUAAUCCUUCCCUUUCAUAGUAAACUCCAAAUGUCCAAGCCCAUCUCCUUGAAUAAUUCUUGAAUCCCUUGGGUAGUAAAUGAAAGCUUCAAAAGAAGCCAAGAACUCCUGAGAUUCCUCUUCAUAAGCGAUCUCUCUCAUCUCCAAAAGUGACUCAACACCCAUGUUCCCAAGCAAGGUUUUGACAUCUUCAUAGAUGCCAAUAUUCUUCAAAAAGUCCACAUCAGGGAACCUCCCUUGCUGGAUCUCUAUCUGUUGAAACUUCGCCAGAUAAUCAAGUGUUUCUGGUUCAGUUUUCUUGAACCUUUUUGAUCCCUCUUCAAUGGUGCCUUGUGAACCACCAGCUGAGCUGCUUGAGUCACUUUCAGUCUGUUCACUCUCAGAUACGACAGCCAACUGUUUCCCCUUCUUCUUGGAACCAGAAGCAACCACCAAAGAUUUUCCUUCAUGCCUUGUCCUUUUUGGCGCUGGAUCACACUUCCCUUGCUUUGUGGUAUUCUUUGCUCCUUGACCUUUUUCUCUUGGCUGUGAAGACCCUGAGACCAAACCUUUGCCCUUUGAUGCAGUGCUCUUCUUCUUGGCCAGAGAGUUGGUUCUUUCAGUCAUCUGCCAAGACAUUCUCAAAAACAAUGUUAGUACAAGAACAAGCUUCACAAAAUUCUCCAAAAUUUUGAAAAAAAAAAAUUGUUGCAAGAAUCGAUUUUAAAACCACAUGAACAGGUUUCUCAAGCCAAGCAUCAAUCCAAUAAGUUCAUAGCAAUGCAAAAACAAGAGUGCAAAGCAAGGACUCAGCAAUGAAAAUAGAUCUUUUUAAAAAAAAAAAAAAAAUCGAUUUUUCUCAUGAAUUUCUUACAACAAUUUUCAAAACUCAAGAACAAGGAAUCACCAACAGCUGUUUUCUAAGACUAUCUAGCACCCUAGCAUUUAUAAAAAUAAUCCCAAGGUCUAAAACAAUCUAUCAAAAUCGAUUCCACACCUUGAAGUUCAAAAAUCACCAUUGAAGAACAUGGAAAAAGGUGAAUUUUAACUGAAUGAAAUACCUUGGGAUUAAGAUGCAACGAGCUCGAAAUGCAAUCAAGAUGAUGUUAAAAACUCAAAAACGAGUUCAGAGCACUUUGAAUCAACAAAUUUGGUGGAGAAAUGAGAGAGAUAUGAUGAAAACAAUGGAGAGAAAUGAGAGAAAGAGUUGCAAACUCGGGUUUUUGGUGAGGAAGAGAGAGUGUGGGACAGGUUAAAGACUUUGGACUGGUGGUCAAUAGAUCUAUUUUGACCAGUCAAGGCUUUGACCUGUCCUUUUCUCGUUGACCAGCCUCCUUUCUCUCCUUUGUGCGACCGGGAACCGUCGGGAUCGGGCCGCAUGACGGUCUCGGUGUAGAACCGGAAAUGUUUUUGUGCUACCUGGGAUCUUCUGUGCCUCCCCCGCAUGACCAAGUCGCAGUAAAAGUCCUUCAGCUCGGUUUUAUCUUUCCUCAUUGCUGCUGCCUGGAACCCUUGCUUUCCAGCUAGCACGCCCAACUCGGAGUAAUUUGCGAACAUGUGUGCGGGUUAGACUCCUUUGUUCCCAGGUAGCAUGACUAUCUCGCAGGGUUUGGGACUUAAAAACCUCGGGGUUCCUCUUCUGGUGCGGCCUGGCCUCCAUACUUCCCAGGUAGCACGCCCAACUCGGAGUAAUUUGCGAGUCUUCAUGCGGGUUAGCUUCUUUGUUCCCAGGUAGCAUGACUAGGUCACAGGUUUUUGGACUUAAACAAUUUGGCCUUUCUUUUCCUGCUGCGACCUGGUCUUCAUGCUUCCCAGCUAGCACGCCCAACUUGGAGUAAAAUGCGAUCAUACGUGCGGCCUAGCUUCUUUGUUCCCAGGUAGCAUGACUAGGUCGCAGGUAUUUGGACUUAAGAUGUCUCGGCCAUUCCUCUUUUGCUGCGACCUAGUCUCCUUGCUCCCAGCCAGCACGCCCACCUCGCACACCUUCACACUUAGGCGUUUGGCUCUUCUUGAUUUCGUGCAGCCUGGUCUCUAUGAUUCCCAGCUAGCACGCCCAACCCGGAGUGAUUUGCGAAUGGAUGUGCGGUUUAACUUCUCUUGUUUCCAGGCCGCAGCAACUACUCGCAGGUUUUUGCACUUAAACACCUCGGCCAUCCUUCUUUUGCUGCAACUUGGUCUUCAUUCUUCCCAGGUAGCACACCCAAUUCGGAGUAAAUUGCGAUCAUGUGUGCUACCUAACUCCUUUGUUCCCAGGCCACAGCUCCUACAUCGCAGAUCUUUGGACUAAAGAUACCUUGGACCUUUUCUUUUUGGUGCGGCCUGGUUUCUCUUUUCCCAGCCAGCACGCCUAACCCGGAGUGAUUUGCGAAUGGAUGUGCGGCCUAGCUUCCUCUCUUCUUACCCGCAGCACCAGCUAGCACAACCUCGGACUUAGACGUUUUGGACUUCUUCUUUUUGGUGCGGCCUGGUUUCUCUUUUCCCAGGUAGCACGCCCAGGCCGGAGUAAAUUGCGAGUCCUGCUGCGACCUGGGCUCUUCUUGCACCAAGCCGCACACCUAGGUAGCACUGAGGCGUUCUCCAAGUUUUUCAGGCCCUAAAUACUUCUCUCAGCCCUCUCACAUGCUCCAUUCCAUUCAUCACUGAGCUAUGUUCUCCAAAAAUCACCUAGAACCUGAGACCAACUCACAAAACCCAUCAAAAAGUUCUAAAACAUAAAAGAAAAGAGAAGAAAUCAAAAGAACUAUGUACAAAGAUAAGCUUGGGGUGUCUCCCAAGAGCACUUUGUUUAAAGUCUCUAAGUUUGACUAUGGAAACCUGUUUAGCAGGCUGGAGGUGGGUCAAGAAGGGGAACUGAUGUAGCUUCCUCCUUCCCUUGUGAAACUAAGUAAUGCUUGAUUCUUUGUCCGUUUACCACAAAUUCUUGACCAUUCUUCCCUUCUAAGACAAUAGCACCAUAUGGUCUCACUUCAAGAACUUUAAAAGGUCCAGACCAUCUAGACUUAAGUUUUCCUAGAAACAACUUAAGUCUAGAGUUGAACAGCAACACCAAAUCACCAUCCUUGAACUCCCUUUUCAGAAUCUUUUGGUCAUGCAGAACCUUGGUCUUCUCCUUAUAGAUCUUUGAGCUCUCAAAAGCCCCAAGCCUUAUCUCUUCAAGUUCAUGGAGUUGAAUGACCCUUUUCUCUUGAGCUGUCUUGAUAUCAAAGAUCAGCAACUUCACAGCCCACAAAGCCUUGUACUCUAACUCAACAGGAAGGUGGCAGCUCUUCCCAUAUAGCAGAUUGAAAGGUGAUGUCCCAAUAGGAGUUUUAAAGGCAGUCCUAUAAGCCCACAAUGCAUCAUCUAGCCUUUUGCUCCAAUCUUUUCUGCUUGAGCUCACAGUCCUCUCAAGAAUGGCCUUGAUCUGUCUAUUAGAUACUUCAACCUGGCCACUAGUUUGAGGAUGAUAAGGAGUAGCUACCUUGUGUUUCACUCCAUGCUUUCUCAGUAAACCCUCCAAAGUCUUGUUCACAAAAUGAGAUCCUCCAUCAGAGAUAACAACCCUUGGAACUCCAAAUCUUGGGAAGAUAAUGCUCUUGAACAGCUUCACUACAACCUUGGAAUCAUUGGUAGGGGAAGCAAUGGCCUCAACCCAUUUGGACACAUAGUCCACAUCAACAAGUAUAUACUGAUUCCCAUAGGAUGAAAUGAAAGGCCCCAUAAAGUCAAUCCCCCAGCAAUCAAAGAUCUCAACUUCUAGAAUUGGGUUUUAAGGCAUCUCACUCCUCUUUGAUAUGCUCCCAUGCCUCUGACAAGCAUCACAUGCUGAACCACUAACUGAGCAUCUUUGAACAUUGUGGGCCACCAAAACCCACUCUGAAGAACCUUUGCCACAGUCUUGAAUGCUCCCAUGUGACCCCCAAAAGCUGAACUAUGACACUCUUGCAACACAGGCUGCAUCUCCUCCUCAGCAAGACACCUUCUAUACAGCUGAUCUUUGUUCAGGACAUAGAGGUAGGGCUCAUCCCAAUGGUAUCUUUGAACUUCUCUGAAGAAUUUCUUCCUGUGGUAAGCAUCUAAUUCAGGUGGUUCCACUCCACAAGCAAGAUAGUUCACAAUGUCUGCAAACCAAGGCAUCCUCCUCUCUUGAAUGCUGUCCACUUCUUCAAACUCCAAAUAAGAAUGGAGCACCAUCAGUGAUUCCUCAGGAAGACUGUCAUUAAGAGGCAAUUCAGAGUCUAUUCUCAACCUAGAGAGAUGGUCUGCAGCUCCAUUCUCUAUACCCUUUUUGUCAUGUACUUCCAUAUCAAAAUCCUGAAGUAGAAGAACCCAUCUCAAUAGUCUUGGCUUAGCAUCUUUCUUGGUCAUCAGAUACCUGAGGGCUGCAUGAUCAGUAUAUACAAUUACUUUUGAUCCCACCAGGUAACUUCUGAAUUUAUCGAAGGCAAAGACUAUUGCCAACAUUUCCUUCUCAGUAGUAGCAUACUUCUCUUGUGCAGGGCCAAGUGUUCUACUAGCAUAGUAAAUGACAUGAAGCUUCUUAUCUUUCUUCUGGCCAAAUACAGCUCCAACUGCAAAAUCAGAUGCAUCAGUCAUAACCUCAAAAGGUAGGGACCAGUCUGGGGCUUGGACAAUUGGUGCACUGACUAAUGCAUCCUUGAUCAUCUUGAAGGCCUCUUCACAUUCAGCAUCAAAGAUGAAAUCCACUUCUUUACAAAACAGCCUUGUCAAGGGCCUGGCAAUUCUUGAGAAGUCUUUGAUAAAUCUUCUGUAAAACCCUGCAUGCCCAAGGAAACUCCUUAUCCCUUUAACUGAAGUGGGAGUUUGCAGAUUCACCAUCACUUCCACCUUUGCUCUGUCAACCUCAAUACCCUUCUCAGAUAUCUUGUGCCCAAGAACUAUUCCUUCCCGCACCAUGAAGUAGUAUUUCUCCCAGUUUAACACCAAGUUAUCCUGCUCAAAUCUCUCCAAGACCUGUUACAAAUUAGAGAGAAAAUCCGAGAAGGAGGAGCCAUAGACACUAAAGUCAUCCAUGCACACCUCCACCUUCUCUUCAAUAAUGUCAGAGAAUAUAUGCAUCAUGCAACGUUGAAAUGUGGCAGGGGCAUUACAGAGACCAAAAGGCAUUCGCCUGUAUGCAAAGGUGCCAUAAGGGCAUGUGAAUGUUGUUUUCUCUUGAUCUCGGGGAUCUAUGGGAAUUUGGAAGAACCCCGAGUACCCAUCGAGAAAACAAAAGAAGGGGUGUUUUGCAACGCCUCUCUAACAUCUGAUCAAUGAAAUGUAAGAAACUAUCCUUCCUNNNNNNNNNNNNNNNNNNNNNNNNNNNNNNNNNNNNNNNNNNNNNNNNNNNNNNNNNNNNNNNNNNNNNNNNNNNNNNNNNNNNNNNNNNNNNNNNNNNNNNNNNNNNNNNNNNNNNNNNNNNNNNNNNNNNNNNNNNNNNNNNNNNNNNNNNNNNNNNNNNNNNNNNNNNNNNNNNNNNNNNNNNNNNNNNNNNNNNNNNNNNNNNNNNNNNNUCGUAGUAGUUAAGUGUAUCCUAUGGCUCUCCUGAACUUUCUUAUCUCACUAAGCAAUGCACUCUCUUGAUCCUCUAAUAGGCUAUCAUUGAUGAUUACUGGAUAUGUUGAGUUUAAGCCCAAGAAGGCAUACAUGAGCCCUGUUGGUAGAGGCUUGAGCUCAACAGGGGGUGCAUCAGCCUCAUUCCAAUCCUGGUCCAAGCUGCUUUGGCUGGUGUCUGAUCCUUUGAUAGCAAAAACCUCAGAGCCACUUUGUUCCAGCUCCAAAAACCUUGUCUCAGGACCCAGCUCUCUAGCAUUGUCCAAAUACAACUUGUACCCUUCACUUGCUUCAGCUAAGAGCCCAUUGUCUCCUUGUUCUUGAGUUAGAGCAGCUUGAAGAGGAUCCUCAGUGUUCAGCUCCUCUAGCAACUCAUCAGCCAACUGAUCCAUUGUCUCCACAUAGAAACAUUGACCUUCAAUGGUGGGUUUCUUCAUCAUCUCAUUCACGUCAAACUUGAGCUUUUCAGACCCAAGUUGAAGCUCUAUUAUCCCACCUCUCACAUCAAUUUUGGCUCCUGCAGUUGCUAAGAAUGGCCUGCCCAAGAUAAGAGGAUCUACUGGUUCUUCAUCCAUCUCCAGCACAACAAAAUCAGUUGGAACCUCAAAACCACCUAUCUUGACAGGUAGAUCUUCCAACAUACCAACAGGCAAUCUAACUGAUCUAUCUGCAAGGAUAAGAGAAAUCCUUGCAGGCUUGAAGACUCUAAAGCCCAGCUUCUUUGCUAUGGAGAAUGGCAUCAAGCUGACUGAUGCUCCUAGAUCACAAAGACAUCCAGAGAAUAGAAGAGGUCCAAUGGCACAAGGGAGUGUGAAACUCCCUGGAUCAGUUAACUUUCUUGGUAUGGACUUCUUCUGAAUGAUAGCACUGCAUUCAUGACUUAGUACCACCAUGCCUUGAAGUUUUUUUGUCUUGUUCAGAAUGGCAUCCUUCAGGAACUUGCCCAUCUAUGGCAUCAUUAAGAAUGCAUCAAUAAGAGGCAUAGUGAGUGGUGUCUCAUUGAGUGCCUUCUCAAAUACAGCUUUUGCCUUGUCCACAAGCUGCUUCUUAAAUCUCCCUGGAAAUGGGAGCUUGGGUUGGUAUGGAGGUGGUGGCACAUAUACCUUUUCUGGUUCAGGUUCCUUUGCUACCUUUUUACUCUUUUGGACAGGUUUCUCAGCAACCUGAUCAUCUUUUAAGGCUGCCUCCCCCUCAGUUUGAUCAUUGUCCUCAAUGAUCACAUUGUUGUUCUCAAUACCAGGUAACUCCUUUCCACUCCUCAGUGUAAUGGCCUUAGCAUAUUCCUUGGGGUUGGGUUCUCCGGUCUGAUUCAGUUGUCGGGUGCUUCAUCGCAGUUGGAGAAGAUUGGAUCACGGUUCCAUAGCAAGUUGAAUCAUGGAAUUCCGACGCAUGAGCAGAAAGUUAAGCUCGUCGGAAGGAACCCCUGUCUCGCUGCUGUUCUGGACCAAGCCGAUGAGCUCUGAAGAAUGCGAAGUACGGUGCACUUUCAGGCCGAUUCAGUUUCCGGGGCCUUCAUGAGAAUCAGAGACAUUUGAGUCCGCUUUCCAGAACGUCCAAGAUCAUUCAAUUCGGAGCUAUGAGCAGGAAGAUACGGUCUCCGGAAUGGACACAUGUCUAGACGCCUCUCUCUGAUCGUGUAAAUGCACUGCAAAGAUGAGCCCUCCAGGAAGCCUUCCACUUCCCAAGCACCAAAGCUUCCUUCACCAAAGUUGGAGAUAUAUGAGUCCUCUGUCCUCUGCCCUCUGCUACCGGAAUCACUCAAUUCAGACAAGUAUCUUAGAAGUUACACUCUCCGGAAUGCGAAGUGGUCCAAGCUGCUCUGAAUGCUGCGAGAAAGCCUUGCGACUUGGUUAACUCGCAGGCCUGAAGACGAAUGCCUGGAAAUUGAUGCUCCAAGUUGAGAAGAGCGGGUAAGCUAUCAAUGGAUGAGGUCUGAGGCUCCCGAGAAAGAAAAUUGCUAAGUCCACAAUCGUGCGACUUAGGCAUGCUAGUUGGCCGCGCCUGGAACCAAGCCGCACGAUCACUCGCAAUCUACUCCGACUUGAGCCUGCGACCUGAGUGUAGUGGAGACCAACCCGCACGGUUUGUACAUUCCCCAGAAACCGCCUUGGUCCUGCGAGUUGAAGAAGAAGAAGAUUAAGCCGCAGCAAGACUCGCAAAUGGUGGUUGAAACUGUUGUUGAACAGGCGCUUGCUGUUGGAACUGUGGAGGACCAAACCCUGGUGGUGCCUUUUGCUGCUGUGUACUGAAACUAGGACCUUGAAAAGGUUGUUGUUGCUGACCAAAACCUUGAUUCUGAGCAAACUGAUUCUUUGGUUGAAAAGAUCCUUGAAAGUUGUUCUUGGGAACAAAGUUCUGUGGAGCUUGAGAAUUGGGAUACACCUGGUCUUGUGGGUUAGCUACAUUGGUGUUCCUGUAAGAAAGGUUUGGAUUGGCAUUACCAUACUGAUAUCUCUGGAACCUCUGAUUCCCAAUGUAGUUUAGCUCCUCCUGGGUAAGACCUUCUUCACUUAUGUUCUCAAAGAUUUGAGAAGGUUCCUCAUACUCUCCAACAAAAUGCAUUGGCUUCUGAGUGGUGGAAAGGGUGGGGUUGGUGGUGCACCUGUUGUCUUUGCUGUACAUUGGCCUGAUGCCUCUGUUGAUGAGCUUGAGCUUGUCCCUGGUGGACAUAAGCUUGUUGGUGCACCUGUUCCUGAUGAACAUUACCCUGAUUUAACCCUUGACCAGCUCCAUUACCAGCUCCAUUACCCUGAGCCUGUUGCUCCUGAACCGGUUGUUCUAUAUCCACUACGUGCUCUCUUUGUUCUUCCAUAUCAGCCUGAUCAAUCUGUCUUCCACGUCUGUCCCUUCUCCUCCUUGGUACCAAAAGAUUGAUGUUGUCGUUGAGAGGGAAAGGUGGACCACAGCUUCUUGAUCUAGACCUGGUGUUCAUACCCGGACAGGCGAUUUCAGAAACGUGUCUGCACCCGGAGAUUUUGGCUGAGGGAUUCAAUAGCCGGUACGCGUUUUGGCCGAUAAAGUCUACCCGCGGUACGCGUUUUGGCCGAGAAAAACCUUCCUGGUGCGCGAGAAUGGCCGAUAACCUCCAAAGAACCAAUUUCACCAUUUUUCAAGCCUUGAUCAUCAUUCCACCUCCUGGAUUCAUCUUUUCAGCUCCAAAUACACCUGAUAAGUACUCAAAACAUGCAAAGACUCAUUGGGACCUAAUGAAUCUUCUAAAUUCUAAAACAAACCCUAAGGACCUAAAAUGCAUGGAAUAAAACAUGAUUUGGAAUGAAUUAUGCAACCUAAAUGAUGCAAAUUAUGAACAUGGAGACGAAGAACUCGCUUUUUUCUUAGUUCAAUUGGUUUUGUGAAUUUCAUAAACUUAUUUGGUAAGCAUAUACGUCUUUAAUUUUGGAUAGUAUUUAUUUUUUCGAUUUUAUUUUAUUUUAUUAUGUAUGUCUUAAAUAGUUGUUUUAAGUAAAAAUUACUCAAACUAACCUUUAAGGUGACCUAAAUGACAAACCUAACCUAACAUAUUUUGAGUCUUACUAGAUUAACCUUACAAAGUUGGUCUAAUACCAUUUUAUCCAGAUGUUGAAUAUUAUUACGAAAAUGCCAUAUUGAUUUUUUUUUUUUUAAAAAAUUCGAUUUGUUUUUUAUUUUAUUUUUCUGAAAAAAAUAUUAAAAAAGUAGAUACAAAAAACAAAAAAACAAACCUAAUAUUAAAAAAAAUUAUCUCUCUCAUCUUCUCUCUCAUCUUCUCUCUCGCUUCUCUCUCGUUUCUCUCUAACCUAGAUCUUUUUUUUUCUGCUGCAUUUCUUGAUUCCGGCAGUUAGCGGCGGUGGACCACUCCUUUCUUGCCUCCGUCGAUCACAAGAAUCGUCCGAUGGCACCAGUGCACCUCUCACUUCCCUUUAGAUGGCAAUUUUGUCCUUAUCUUUGAGCAUUGUGCUUCCCUUGAGUCUCUAGAUCCUUCCGCCUUCUACCACUAGACCGAAGACCUUCCUCUAGUUCUCCUCCAUUACUAUGAAGUCGCAGCAAGGCUCAAUCGCUUGGAUCCCUUGACAGUGUCCUUCACCAAGGGUUACAAAUCGAGUGACGACACAGCUGUGAGACCACAACUCUUAAGCGGCAUUCUCGCCGCAUCGCACACAACCGCAGUGGAUAGACGUUGUUUCAGUGGAAUGGUGGUUUUGAGGAGGUUGUCGGCGGCGUAAUUUUUUUUGUAAAACCCGUAACCCUAAUUUUUGUUUUGUUUCAGGUAAGUUUGAUAAAUAUAUUUGAAAAAACGAUAUUGUAUUUUUUAGUUGUAAAGUUCAUAACGUGUGAUGGUAGAUUUAUUUGAAAAACGGUAUGUAGUUUGGUAGAUUAUUAGUUAUUUGAUGGUAGAUAUAUUUACAAAACGAUAUGUAGUUUGGUAUAUCUAUUAGUUAUUUGAUGGUAAAUUUAUUUAAAAAACAAUGUGGUUUGGUAUAUUUAUUAGUCAUCUGACGGUAGACUUAUUUGAAAAACAAUGUGAUUUGGUAGAUUUAUUAGUCAUUUGAUGGUAACUUAUUUGAAAAACGAUAUGUGGUUUGGUAGUUUUAUCAGUUAUUUGAUGGUAGAUUUAUCAGUUAUAUAUAUUUGAAUUUUAUAUUUGAAUGAUGGCAUUUGUUUGUUCUUCUCUGACAGGUUAUGGGAUUUGUGAUGGCGAACGAGUCUCUGAUGGGUUAUGUUCUACUAUGAAUAUUAGAUUUGCAUUUGGUAGAUUUGUUUUGAAAUGAUGGUAGAUUUAUUAUUGAAUUGAUGGUAUAUCUAUAUUUGAAUUUGUACAAAUGAUAAUUAGAUUUUAGAUGAUGAUAUCUUUGUUUUCAAAUUAUAUUUGGCGCAAAAGAUUGACUCAAACAUUUCAUCUUUUUACCACUUUUCUUUACUUUCACUAUGGUUUAUAUCCUAAGUUAAUGAAAUUUUAAACAAAACACAUGAUUAAAGUCAUUUCACAUUGUGAUGUUCAAAAGUUUAUGUAAAUAUAAUUAAAUAUAACAAAAUAUUCACAAAUAAAAAUUAAAAGAUCAUAAGUUAAGAGAUAGUCAUUACAGACAAAAACGAUAAGGACAUAAGAUAAAUGUUUAAGUGAACUAGUAGGACAUAUAUGUUCAAGGUUAAUAUGUGAUAACACCGUAUUUUGACCACUUUUAUGGAUCGUUUUGAAAUACUUUUUCUAUGUUUUUAAUUGCUUUUAAGUACUUUUAUCACGUUUUUCUAGUAUUUUUAGUUCCAAGACUCUUUUCAGGUAACUUAGGGAAAAACUUAACAAAAUGGAUAGAAAACCAGAUUUCAGCUCAAAGUCAAACCGUCAGAAGUUCACCCCUGAUUGAAGGCCUUCUCACCGUCUGUUCCAGCUCAAAUUUGGAGACCUUAAAGAUGGAAGUAUCAACUUUCCAGCACACUUUACAGCUUGACAAUCCAACGGUUCAAUCAAAAGAUACGCGAAGAGCAAGAUGUCCCGUAAACCAGCCAGCAAGCAACUCCACCCGUGGCCAAUAAGCCAUUUCCCGCGGUCAGAAGCAUCCCGACCGCGGCAAACCACUCAUUCCCCGCGGUCACAGCACUCCCAACCGCAGCAAGCCAACUCCGAGCCCAAAAGCCCAUUUUUGAAGCCCACAAUGAUUCCCUCAUUUGGAGAAACCCUAAGUGACGUCCAGAGCACUAUAAAUACAUGUUUUAGGAACCCUAAUCGAAAAAAAAAGAGACCACCGAAUUUUUACUUCAUAGUUUUAUUGUUUUUGCUUUAGCUUUUAGGGAGAGAGAGAUUUGUUCUCUUGAACCCUUGUUCUUUCUUUUUUAAUUUCGGUUUCUAUUCUACUUAUUAAUACUAUGUUUUUGAUUUCGUUCAUUAUGUCUGAGUAGUUUUAUUGUUGGGAUUAAGGGAUUUUAGAUGGGGAUUUAUAUGUUCGAUGAGGAUUCCAUGAGCUUUUGAGCCGAAUCUUAGAACUUAUUCUUCUGAAUUCGUUUUUACUGCAUGAGAGUAGCGUCAUGAACUACAAUCUGAUCCAGAUGCUUUGUGACACGAAAGUGUUCAUCAGGUAUCAGAUCUAGUUUGGGAGAGCAAAACAAACAUAGGAGUGGAAACCUACCUAUGGGCGAUUUGUCAAUGCUGACGAGUCUUAAACAUAAUGCAUCUCUUCUUUUCCAGGGCCAUAGUGGAAACCUACUGGUCAGGGUUGAGAGAGAUAGUUGUCUAUGAUCACGACAGUGGCGUAUUCAUAUGUCCGUGACUCCAGUUCGAAAAGUUUAAGCUAAGAUCUUAGCAAUUUUACUCUCUAGCAAUGUUUUGAAUCGUUCGUACCCCUGAGAAAACUUCCCUGAACCCCAACGCCUUCUUUCCUAUUGAUUUACACCGUUUUUAUUUCAAGCUUUAGUUCAAUAUUGUCUUUCCUUUUUAGUAGAUUUUCAUUUAAGCAAUUAGAAUAUCCGUUUUUCUCAUUUUUAUUCAUUUUCGUUAAGUUUAGUUAUUAGGUCAUUUAAUUCCCGUAUUUUCUUUUAAGAUUUCGUUUUUACAUUUUAAACACACCACCAAACCCCCACAAAACCGUUUUGGUUCUAGACUUCCUUACUUUAUACUUAUUUCAAAGGCUUUUUGCAGGAAAAGAUCCUCUUUCCCCGUGGAUUCGAUCCCAAAGUACUACAAUCGAUCAGCUGUGCACUUGCGGCUAUUGAUUUCAUUUAGGUUAAAACUUGACAACCCUCACGACAACACCACAUCAAGUUUUUGGCGCUGUUGCCGGGGAAAGCACGCGUUUUCUUUUCUGCAACCCCGAGAAAGGUUGGUAAAUCGACUCUAAAACCCCUUUUUCUGCAAUUUUCCAUUUUUCGGUUUUUUUGUUUCCAUUUCAGAAGAUAUGGAUCCUAUAAAUCGAAAUAUACACUAUGAGGAAGGUUUAUAUAACACUCCUCAAGCCACCAGACACAGAACGUUCCAGAAGGAGCCCUGCGCAUCUCCAAUGGCCAACCCUGAACAACCCGCUCGUCGUUUGCCUCACCAAGAUGAAAACGUCCAACUCAUUCACUGAUUGAAAACACUAGAAGUGGCGGUCUUGCACCUACUCGACGUUCAAGCGAGAUCUAGAUCCACAAUCCACGAGAAAAUUGACGACUUGUCAAUGCGCUUUAACAGAAAGCUUGAAGAUCUUUCAGCUCAAGUCAAGACCAUCGAAACUCAACUAAACAAGGGUGCUGAAACCAUUAAGGAGAGGAUAGAAGCAAUCGAAGGACGAGUUGGAGAAAACGAAGUUCGCAUUCGCAAAGCCAGUGGGAACAUCCGCACCUUAGAGAUCAAACUUGAUGAAGCAGAAGAGACUAUUAACGACCAUAACAACCAAACCUAUUCCUACAUGGAAGAGAUUUAGGAUGGAGUACACAAGGUUCAAGACAAAACAGAGGAAAUAGACUCAACCGUGGACAAAGUAGUCUAUGCCCUCGAUGAAAUCGAAGAGAAGGUUGAAAAGCUUAUGCAAGGAUGUGAAACAAACGGUUCGACGCUUCUCAUCGAAGAUCUUACCUUAAAAAAGGAGGAAACGGAGCUAGAAUGUGCAGAAAUCAGUUUAGAUGGCAAAAGAGCAGACGAAACAAAGGAAACAACUCGGAGCCUUCUUCUCGCGGUCAGAACUCUCGUGACCGCGGCCAACAAGCCUCCAGCCGCGGUCGUGAGCCUCCUGACCGCGGCAAAACCCUCCCCACCCGCGGUCGUGAAACCUCUACCCGCUGCAAAUGCUCCGUCAGAUACCUUUCAGCCCUUUUCCACUCCUACAGGUCAAUGCUUAUUUGAUACAUCUGCUAGGAUGGUCAAAGCCCCUCUACAUGAGCAAACGGUGUAUGCUAUCAGCUCCAAAACAUCUCAAGAAGAAAAUGAGGUACUCCCUUGCAACAUAGUUUUAGCAUAUGAGGAUGAAUAUGAAGGGCACUACCUCGAAGAUGAAGACUAUCGUCUGUUCAUAGAAGGAGGGAAUCCAGACAAAAUGGUGGAAUUAGGAGCACCAAUCUCCAGAGAAAGGCUCAUUGAAUUCAACAAGUUUGUGAAAUCGAUCCCUCUUUACACAGGUUUCGAUGAUAUAUGGCAUCUUGGUUGUUUGCAAGUUUUCUUUAGGUACAGCAAGGAGACAAAGGAGGAUAUCAGAACCUAUUUUGGGAGGGCUAGACGUCUGACUUUUCCCAGAACAUCACCUGAUGCUGCAAUCUAUUCAAUUCACCUCAAAAAGCCGGAAGACUGCAGCCACUACACCAACAAAAUCAGCAAGGAAAAGCUCGAUGAAUUCAAUGAUGUGGUUCGAAAUUUGCCUGAAGAAAUCACGUUUGCCAGAGCUUGCAAGGACUUUAUGAUAGGCCACUACUUCUGUGAGAGCAAAGAAUCAAUCCCUGAGAUAGAAGACUUGUUCAAUCAUGCCAGAAGAGGUAAACCUGUUCGAACACUUCAUAAAAUAGAAGGUGUAGGUCAGUUUCUUAUCUCUUGUUCUAUUAGAGGAGAAAUGUUUAAAAACGUGCUAUGUGAUUCUGGAGCUUGUGUUAACAUGAUGUCCAAGGCAAUUGAUUUGAGACUUGGUAUUAAACACCUGCGCAGGACUAGAGCAAAGAUUAGUCUAGCUGAUGAUUCCAAUGCAACACCUCAAGGAAUAGCUCAUGAAAUUCCUUUGAGAAUAGGAGAUUACAUAGUGCCUGUCGACUUCUACAUUGUCGAAACGAGAGAUGCAACAUAUCCAGUGAUUCUCGGAUGGUCUUUUCUAGCAACUUUCGGAGCUAUAAUGGACUGGCCAAACCGGAGGAUUUCAUUUGCUAAUAUCGACAAAGAUGUCUUCACAGAAGCUGUUCCAUACAACAGCAAAGCAGGAAAACGUUCUGCAACAGAAGAGUUUGAAGAAGAACUUUGGAGUGACGAAGAACCUGCUAGGCAAAGCAAGGAGAUGUCGAAAAAGACUUGUCUCAGGACAAGGUCUUCUUCAUUGGAAUAAGUCACGUCCAACACCAAAAGUCGAGCUAAACGACUUAAAACAGAAGCGCUUAAUGGGAGGCAACCCAUUUAGGUAUUGUUUUCUUUAGGAUUUUUCUUUCUUUUUCUUUUGAUCUUUUUCUUUUUCUUAAUUUCAGGUGUUUCUUAUAAAACAAAAAAACCAAAAAAUCAAAAAACCCGAAAAAAACCAAAAAGAAGGAUGGUACCUGACUGCUCGGCCCAGCAGGAACCAAGGAGAAGCAGGAAGAGGCCGCGAAAUAAGCCUCCGCGGUCGCAGACGUUCUGACCGCGGGAAACUACUCAUCGACCGCGGUCGCGUGAUCCUGACCGCGGCCAAACACUUGGUUGCCGCGGUCGCGCGACCCCUGUCCGCGGCACUUGGUCGUUGACAUCAAACCCAACCCCAAACCACCCACUUCACCCCAUUCCACCUCACCAAUCACCCUCCACCUCAUUCAUCACCCUCCACCACCUUCAUCACCCCCUAAUCACCUUCCCAAACCUCUUCGAAUGAAUCCGGUUCAUCUCCACCAGCAUCCCGGAUCCAGGUAAGUUCUCUUUGUCCUUACCAAUUCGAUUAUCUAUGCAUUUUUCUCAUCCAAUCUCGACUUGUUUCACACUGAGGACAGUGUGAUUUAAGUCUGGGGGAGGAUUUCAUCCUUUUCUAACCACUUUUCUUUCAUGAGUCUUGCAUUAUCUACACUUUUUGCAUUUUCCUUAAAGUUUUUCAAAAUCGGUUUUCAAAACAAAAUACGUUUUAAAGGGAAUGGUGAACAUAAAUCAAUGAUAGUUGACUGUGUGCUUUAGACUAUUCCUAGUGACAUGCUCAUUCAUGAUUUAGGACUAGACUAGGCGGUAGCUAAGCACAUUUGAAACGAAGUACCCCAGAGGAAUUUGAAUGAUUUCGAUUUAGAUGAAGGGAUACACUAGCUCUGUUUUAUUUGGACUUAAUUUGGACUCAAUUUUCUCAUUGAAGCUUUAGACCAGGGAAACGAAUCAUACAUUCAGGACUCCUUUAUCCUUUUACCACUCUCAGUUGAUCCUGAAUGGCUAGUUCAUCUUUAGCUAGUUCCCCACCUUAACCAAUCCUCUUUCAAACCACAUGCACUCUUGUUUUCUAUUGUCUUACAUGCAGAUAAGUGCAAAAACGUUGGAGAGAAAGAGGAACGACGCAGUUUUCAGUCACCAAGGAUAGAGACCUGCGAUUUGCCGGAAAAGUUUCCGGAAGGAUCCAACACAAGAGGAAGCUCAGUUUGCCUUAGAAAAAUCUCAAAUUUUGGUACAAUCUCGUCCUCUAGUCUCUCUCUCUUUAAAAGGCAUUUCCUAUUCUAAAAAAAAAAAAAAAAAAAAUCCAAAAAUAAGAAAAGAAAGGAAAUAAAAGCCUUAGAGAGUCUAGAGAGCUCGAAUUUUAAGUCCCAAGGCAACUGGAGUUUGAUUUUAUGGAGUUUUGGAGAUCGUUUUCUGAUUCCUGGAAAGAAUCUAAGUCUGGGGGAACAGCUGUUUACAACAAAGGAGGAAGGAUUAUGCAACAACAUUUGGCAAGAAGAAGUGACUGAAAAACUGUGGUCAUCAACAGGUCCUUAUCUCUCUUGCGGUUUUGCAUAUUAUCUUGCAUCCUCCAGAUCUUCAGGUAACCCGAAACACUUUAACUCCACCACUUAAACAGUCCUUUAAUGCCAAACGCCGUCUACCCUGGAUAAUGUCUUUAAUGAGAAAUCACUAUUGAACUUAAUGAAUGUAGAGAGCUAGUUGACUGGAAUCAAGAUUUAGAUUUUUUAAGUUUUGCAUGACGGAAAAAGUGGACUAGUAUCUUUUGUGUCUUGGUGAGAAUUUUCUAGACUAAGUUGUGGAUUGAUGCACUAUCUUUGGUUCUAGUUUAGGAGUUAAUGUCUCUGAGAAUUGUGAAUUUCCUAUUUUUGUUUUCACCUAACCAGUUUAGACUUUUGCUUUGCUUGAGGACAAACAAAGGUUUAAGUCUGGGGGAGUUGAUAACACCGUAUUUUGACCACUUUUAUGGAUCGUUUUGAAAUACUUUUUCUAUGUUUUUAAUUGCUUUUAAGUACUUUUAUCACGUUUUUCUAGUAUUUUUAGUUCCAAGACUCUUUUCAGGUAACUUAGGGAAAAACUUAACAAAAUGGAAAGAAAACCAGAUUUCAGCUCAGAGUCAAACCGUCAGAAGUUCACCCCUAAUUGAAGGCCUUCUCACCGUCUGAUCCAGCUCAAAUUUGGAGACCUUAAAGAUGGAAGUAUCAGCUUUCCAGCACACUUUACAGCUUAGCAAUCUAACCGUUCAAUCAAAAGAUACGCGAAGAGCAAAAUGUCCUGUAAACCAGCCGGCAAGCAACUCCACCUGCGGCCAACAGGCCAUUUCCCGCGGUCAGAAGCAUCCCGACUGCGGCAAACCACUCAUUCCCCGCGGUCACAGCACUCCCGACCGCGGCAAGCCAACUCCGAGCCCAAAAGCCCAUUUCUGAAGCCCACAAUGAUUUCCUCAUUUGGAGAAACCCUAAGUGACGUCCAGAGCACUAUAAAUACAUGUUUUAGGAACCCUACUCGAAAAAAUAGAGACUACCGAAUUUUUACUUCAUACUUUUAUUGUUUUUGCUUUAGCUUUUGGGAGAGAGAGAUUUGUUCUCUUACCCUUGUUCUUUCUUUUUCAAUUUCGGUUUCUAUUCUACUUAUUAAUACUAUGUUUUUGAUUUCGUUCAUUAUGUAUGAGUAGUUCAAUUGUUAGGAUUAAGGGAUUUUCGAUGGGGAUUUAUAUGUUCGAUGAGGAUUCCAUGAGCUUUUGAGCCGAAUCUUAGAACUUUUUCUUCUGAAUUCGUUUUUACUGCAUGAGAGUAGCGUCAUGAACUACAAUCUGAUCCAGAUGCUUGGUGACACAAAAGUGUUCAUCAGGUAUCAGAUCUAGUUUGGGAGAGCAAAACAAACAUAGGAGUGGAAACCUACCUAUGGGCGAUUUGUCAAUGCUGACGAGUCUUAAACAUAAUGCAUCUCUUCUUUUCCAGGGCCAGAGUGGAAACCUACUGGUCAGGGUUGAGAUAGUUGUCUAUGAUCACGACAGUGGCGUAUUCAUACGUCCGUGACUCCAGUUCGAAAAGUUUAAGCUAAGAUCUUAUCAAUUUUACUCUCUAGCAAUGUUUUGAAUCGUUCGUACCCCUGAGAAAACUUCCCUGAACCCCAACGCCUUCUUUCCUAUUGAUUUACACCGUUUUUAUUUCAAGCUUUAGUUCAAUAUUGUCUUUCCUUUUUAGUAGAUUUUCAUUUAAGCAUUUAGAAUAUCCGUUUUUCUCAUUUUUAUUCAUUUUCGUUAAGUUUAGUUAUUAAUUCAUUUAAUUCCCAUAUUUUCUUUUAAGAUUUCAUUUUUACAUUUUAAACACACCACCAAACCCCCACAAAACCGUUUUGGUUCUAGAUUUCCUUACUUUAUACUUAUUUCAAAGGCUUUUUGCAGGAAAAUAUCCUCCUUCCCUGUGGAUUCGAUCCCUAAGUACUACAAUCGAUCAGCUGUGCACUUGCGGCUAUUGAUUUCAUUUAGGGUAAAACUUGACAACCCUCAAGACAACACCACAUCAAGUUGUGAGAUAACACCGGAUUCUGACCAUUUUUAUGGAUCACUUUUAUAUCUUUUACAGGUGUUUUUACUCCAUUUUCAAAGGUUUUCAAAGGAUUUCUAUGUUUCCGGAUUUUAAAAGACUUUUCAGGUAAUUUGGGAUAAAGAGGCACAAAAUGGAACAAAAAGACUCUUUUGAAUAAAUGCAGAUCGUCAGAACUCUCAUGGAGAGACGAAGACCUUUUCACCGUCUGAUCACCCUCAAAAUUGGACAACUUAUAGGAGAAUCAACCAGCUUUCAAAUGUACUUGGUUUGGAGACAUUCCAACGGUUGGAUCUCAAGAUAUUCUAUUAGCCCCGGAGCCACUUGAAGUCGGCCAGCAAGUCACGCGACCGCGGUGAUCAACCUAUAUCCCGCGGUCAGAAGCUUCCCGACCGCGGCCAACCAGCCAAUCCCCGCGGUCACAACACUCCCGACCGCGGCAAUCAAUCUCCGAAUUAAAGCCCAUGUAUCUGAAGCCCAAAGUCAUUCUCAGCCUCAAUUCCGGAACCCUAGAGACCAUGGAGUAUUGGAGACUAUAAAUACAUGUCAUUUAGGUCGUUUUUAGGGAGAGCCAUUCAUACUUUACAGAAACCCUUUUUCUUUAGCCGUUUAUAUGAGAUUUUUGUAGAAGAUUGUUCAAGUCCGAGUUCUUCAAUAGAGAAGCUUUCUUUAUCUCUUUUCUUUACUGUUUUUCAUUACUUUUAUUAAAACCAAUGAUGAUGUCGACCUCAGCCAUGUCUGAGUAGAUCCCGAGUUGGGCUUAGGGUUCCCGGAAGGGGCUCUCAUAAUCGAUUAAGACAUCUAGGUUUAUAGAUCUGGGAUUUCGACCUGUUCUCUUUUUAUUCUUGUUCUUAUUGCAUGUAUGCUUGAUUGAUCACCUAGUAUCUGAUCUAGAUAGUUAGUGUUGCAAAAGUUUUCAUUAAGUAUCAGCCCUAAAAUGAAACAGGCGAUUUUUCCGUAGGACUGGAAACCUACCUGCGGCGAGAUCGUGAGUAUUGACGAGUCUUGUGCAGCUCUUGCGUUCUCUCCCUUCUAGGGCCAGAGUGGAAACCUACUGGUCAGGGUUGCGAGAAACAGUUGGUUAUGAUCACGACAGUGACGUAGUCAUACUGCCGUACUCUAGCUCUAGAACCCAUAUAUCGAUAUCCGUCAAUCCCAAUCUAUUUACCCUAGUGUUAAAACCGAUUAUGAUCCCUUAGAGUCCCUAAAAGCUCAGCGUUUUUAGCCAUAGUUUACAAUUCCAUCGAUUUUUAUUUGCUUAUUUAGGCCUGCAUUUCAAUUUCCUUAGUUUGUUAUUUACUUACUUUACUAGUAUUUCAUUCGAUAUUUUACUUGCCUUAUUAGUCUUUCAUUCGAUAUUUUACUUGUUCUAUUUGCCUUUCAUUCGAUUUUUUUACUUGCUUUUUAGGAUAGAUUUAUUUGCUUUCUUUUGUUUUAGUUUAAUACAUCAAACCAACCAACCUUUAAAAACCAAUCUAGUCUAGACAUAAAGUUAAAAACCGUAGAAGAAUACCAGGCACACAAAUCUCUGUGGAUUUGAUCCCUAAAUACUAUAACUGAUUAGCUGUGCACUUGCGGCUUUCAUUUGUUUUGUUAAGGGUAAAACUUGUUCCCUCACGCAGUUGACACGACAUCAAGUUUUUGGCGCCGUUGCCGGGGAUUUGUUUCGCUGCCUUUUGCUAUUUUUCUUGUUUUAACUUCUGUUAUAGACACUUGAUCUCUAGUUCUUUCUUAAAGUUUUGCUGAAUUAUCUUUCCCUUCUUUUGUUUUUCUCUGAAUUGCAUGAAUACCAGGCGCAUACCUGUAGAAAACAUUCCAAUUCUAGACGAGAUAGACAGACACGAAAGACAACUUCGAAGACUUAGACGAACACAAAGAAUGGCCAACGACAACCAGCCUGGAGAUCCUAUUAAUCGAACUUUAAAUAUGGACCAAGACGGGUCCGAACAUGGGGAAAAUGAAGAGAAUGAUCACAGUGGAGGUGAUCAUGCUCGACAAGAUGGAGAGGAAGAUGAGUUUCCUCCAAGAAACCACCAGAACCGAGAGAGAGAAGGACGUGAAGACCUUGAUCCACCCAUCAAUGCAGCCGAUGGUGACCACCCAGCAAUGCAGCCAAAUGAACGCAUUCACCGCCCCAUUCCGCCAGCAAAUCAACACCGAAGACAAGCCAGGAACCAUCGCAUAGCUGAUUUUGAUGGACCUACUCAAAAUUUUCAGAAUCGAUCUGCAAUUCAAGUACCAUUUCCAAACCGGAAUGAGUUUGAAGUCAAGCCUCAAAUCAUCUCAUUGGUGAAGCAAAACCAGUUCCAUGGAGUUCCUUCUGAACACCCAAUGGACCAUAUCGAGCUCUUUGAAGAAAUUUGCAGCAUGAUGAGAACAAAUCAAAUUCCACCAGACUAUUUAAAGUGUAAGUUGUUCCUUUUUUCAUUAGCAGAUAAAGCUCACCGUUGGUUGAAAUCUUUGCCUGCAGGAUCGAUUACCAAUUGGGAAGAAUGCAGAAAUGCUUUCCUAAACCACUUCUACACUAAGUCAAGGUCGAAUCAGUUGAGAACAAAGAUCUCAAACUUUCAACAAGGGCCAACUGAAUCUUUCUAUGAAGCCUGGGAGCGUUUUAAGGAGUAUGAACGUGAUUGCCCUCACCAUGGAUUUCAUGGAUCAAGCCUGCUGAGCACAUUUUACCGAGGUUUGCAACCAAAAUAUAAACUUUCACUUGAUACAGCUAGCAAUGGAGAUUUUGGACAAAAGAUGAUAACCCAAGGAAGAGCUCUCAUCGAAAAUUUGGCUCAAGCCAAUAGCAAUGACUGUCCUGAAUAUGAUCGAUCAAUGAAGCAAGCCGGAACAGACAACAAGGAGAUAACCGAGUUGAAGAACAUGGUGAGCCAGCUUCUGAAGAGUAACAAUCGCCCAAUCCAUGCUUGUGAGACCAACAAUGGCGCAGAAGAUGAAGGACCUAGUGAUAUCGAUCACAUUAAUCAAGCCUUUCAAGAGGAAGAUGUGAACUAUGUAGGAGCACUGGUGCCAUAUCAAAAUCGCUCCAAUAAUAGCUUCAACAACAACUUCCGGAAUGCAAAUUACAACAAUCUCUCUUACCGCAAUCCAAAUGUGGAGAAUCCUCAAGACCAGUACUACCCACCUCAGCAAAAAUCCUUUCAAAACAAGUUUCAAGGUGGAAACGUUGGAGGAAUAGUACCAUAUCAACCACGACAGCCAUUUAACUACCAAGGUACGGGUUUUAACAAUCAAUUUGUACGACAGCAGGGAGUCACGACGAACCAGCUAGCUUCACAAAUCGGUAGACUUGAACAGUCAAUCCAACAGCUCGUUAUGACGAACGAAAAAGCAUCUAAAGACGUGAACGUGAAAGUGUACUGCAUGUACAAUGAUCUGAAUGGUAAGUUUGAAUCUUUAUCUUCGCACGUAAAAAAGUUAGAUGUGCAAGUCGCCCAAACAGCCGACUCUAUGAAGAGGCAAAGUGGAGUACUUCCAGGAAGAGUUGAAGAUAACCCUAAGAAGUUUUGCAACGCCAUAACCACAUUGCCCGAAGAAGAGGCCGGAACCAAUGGAAAGAAAGAAGAAACCCCAAUCUUUGUACCACUGUACAAGGAUAUCAAUCCCAAGAAGCCACCGUUUAAGGUACCUGAACGAUCACCGUUUUAAAGGCUUACCAAAGCCGAUGAUCCAGGACGUUUUGUUUUCCAGUGUUUCAUUUCAGGAAUCAAGUUUACAGACUGCUUGUGUGAUUCCGGAGCCAAUGUCAACAUCAUGUCUAAGACGUUUGCCGAAAAAUUGGGCACUAAAACCUUAAAGACAUCGACGGUUAAGGUUAUUUUUGGAGAUUCAUCUCAAAAAGAUACCAAAGGGGCAAUUCAUGAUCUACAAGUUCUAGUGGGAGACAAAAUCGUUCCAGCAGAUUUCCAAGUCCUGGAAAUGGAUAAAGACAAGGAGAGGCCACUCAUUUUCGGGAGACCAUUCCUAGCUACAGUAGGAGCAGUAAUCGAUCACGCAAAACGACAUGUUGUUUUCCUCAAUGUGGAUCGAAAAAAGUACUAUCCGACUAUCUUAGACGAUUUUCCAAGCAAAGGAAACAUACCAAAAGAGAAAGAGAAGGAGAAGCCGAAAGCUUUUGCAAAGAUCAAGAUCAUCAUUCCACCAGAUGCAACAGAAACUAGUGAGGACUAAAUCCAGGAGCUGAUCGAAAACACAAAAAGGGUUUUAAACAAUAUUAAAGUUCGAAAGAAGAGUAAAGGAAAGAAGACGGCUCCUCAAGGAGAAGAAGUAAAACCUCCAGCGACCGGAAGUGAUAAAGGCACAUCAAGUGGAGUGCCAUUCAAAUCAGCCUGAUUCCUCAUGCUUACGUCGAGCUAAACGACUUAAAACAAAAGCGCUUAAUGGGAGGCAACCCAUUUAGGUACUCUUUCUUUUAGUUUUCUUUUCCUUUUUUUUUACAAUUUAUACUUUCUUUUUCUUUUUAAGUUUUAGGUAUUUUAUAAAACAAAAACACAAAAAAAAUCAGAAAAUUAAGAAAACCAAGAAGAAAAAGGUAGGUUUUUAGCUGCUCGGCCCGGCAAAGACGAGAAGGUUGGACAAAGGCCGCAUGAGGAAGAGCCGCGGUCGCGACUGACUGACCUGCGGCCAAGGGAGCAUCGACCGCGGCACCGUGAAUGUGACCGCGGCCGAGCACUCGACCACCGCGGUCGCGCGUCUCCUGACCGCGGCCGUUGGUCGUUGAGGUGAUUCCGCGGAUUUCUGCCGCUUUUCGGUGUUGCCUGGUGUUUGCCUGGUGAUUCCUGGUGUUGCCUGGUGUAUUCUCGGUGUUGCCUGGUGUUUGCCUGGUAAUUCCCGGUGUUGCCUGGUGUUUUCCUGGUGUUGCCUGGUGUUUACCUGGUGUUUACCUGGUGUUACCUGGUGAUUCCCGGUGAUUCCCGGUGAUUCCCGAAAUGUUCCCGGUAAAAUCCGAAAAGCUCCUCCGUAAGUUUUAAACUUUCCUAAUGUGCAAACAAGAAAGGUAAGUUCCCGUAAACUUAAAAAUUUCUAGAAAUUUUCCGUUUUUGCUACAAAAACGCUUUUUAAAGAAAAGAAACAAACUUUUUGGAUCAAAACUCCUUCUUCUCUUCUCUUCCAAAAGAUUUGGAGAUUUAGGAGAUAGAAUACAUUUUUCAAUUCUUAAGCUUUUUAAAAGAUUUUUGGCUCAAACCUCACUCUUUUUCAAAGCUGAUUCCAAUUCUGCAAUCAAAUCUCUCUUUCCAGCAAGGUAUGAACCUCAAACUCGCCAUUUUUAAUUGAUUUCAUAACUUAGGGUUUUUUUAAAAAUCCCAAAUCUCUGUUUAUUGAUGGUAGAAAUAGAUUAAGAAUGAUAGAUUAUCCAUUUAGGUUAUCUAAAAAUUGAUUUUAGCACCUAGCUUAAGAGGAAUUGAGAUUUUUGAAAUUUGGAUUCUACAUGCUUCAUAAAAAUCGAAUUUGGAACAGCAAAAUUGAUGAGUUUGAUUAAGUCUUGUGUGAUUAAUGAUUAGUAUUGUGUGAGCCAAAACUCAAACAACCAGAAAUUUGUUUAAGGAAAACUAAGGGAUCGGAAACUUCUAGGGUUUAUCGCCAAAAACAGUAAGAUCGAAAGAAAGUUUUUCUUGCUGUAAAAGUGUUUAGCUCUUAUUGCUUAGGGUUGCAAAAGUUACAGAAUGAAUUGUAUACAUCGUCUAUUUAUACUAACUCUCUGAACCGCCUAGCCGAGAAUCUCGGGAGAGAUUUUCGGAAUAUUUCCUUAUCGCCUCGUGCGGCUCACCGCCUUUGUAUUUCGCCUAGGAUUUUUAUGGGCUUCGUCUCCCAAGGCCACGGUUUGGCCCAUCAUUCUCCUUUGCCACGGCUCGGCCAUCUAAUUUCUUCACGGCUCGGCCCACUUGCCAUUUCGGUCGAGACAUGAUCUGGUCCACCUCACCGAGGCGCGGCUCGGCCCAAGCAUGUUGGAAUGGGGCUCGGCCCAUUUCUUACGAUACGGCUCUCCCUACUGGUCUAUCGUCACGGCUCUCCCACUUGGUGAUCGCGGCUCUCCCGCUUGUCUUGGUGAGAACGGCUCUCCCACUUGUCUUGGUGAGAACGGCUCUCCCACUUGUCUUGGUGAGAACGGCUCUCCCAUUUGGUGACCACGGCUCUCCCACUUAUCUUUCUUCCAUACUUAGUCAUUUUGAGAUGGUUUUAUCUGCGUGGGGUGAAAACCGACCCCAACAGUUAGCCCCACUGCUCGUCAGUUUCGGAGGCGAGAGUAACGAGGUCCAUUACUCCUGACCGUAGGAUAAACCAUCGAGUCAAGCUGUUAUGACAUAGGCCCAGAUGAGGUGUUUUGGGAAUGAAGACGCCGAGGUGUUUCCAAGGAGUGCCGAGGGUGCCGAGGUGUUUCGAAAGGGUACCGAAGAUGCCGAGGCAAGUUAAGGACGAGGCGACCUCGUUUGGUAAUAAUGGGCCGAUGCGAUUUCGUUUAGUAAUGAUGAGCCGUGACGAGGCGAUUUGAGAAGGUUAUACCGAGCCGAAUAAAUGGCGAGGCGUUUCGAGAGAAAGUUUGUGCCGAGCCGUUUCGUUAAUGACAAGGCGUUUCGAGAGAAAAUUCGUGCCGAGCCGUUUCGUUAACGACGAGGCGUUUUGAGAGAAAGUAAAUGCUGAGCCGUUUCGUUAACGACGAGGCAUUUCGAGAGAAAAUUCGUGCCGAGCCGUUUCGUUAACGACUAGGCGUUUCGAGAGAGAGUAAAUGCCGAGCCGUUUCGUUAACGACGAGGCGUUUCAAGAGAGAGUAAAUGCCGAGCCGUUUCGUUAACGACGAGGCGUUUCGAGAGAGAGUAAAUGCCGAGCCGUUUCGUUAACGACGAGGCGUUUCAAGAGAGAGUAAAUGCCGAGCUGUUUCGUUAACGACGAGGCGUUUACUUUGGUAAGAUAUCGGCUGAAAAAUUGGGCAUCACAACUGUUGGUCUUCCGAGAGAAAAUUCAUGAUCUGUUGGCGCGUGUGACCGACGCAGUUCGGUCUAGCCGUUCCACUGCGGAUCCCACGCGCUGUUUGGACGGUUUCCCGAGGUUUACGCGGAAUUCACGCGCUUCGGUUUUCCUAUAAAUGGGUGAGCUCCUUCAUUCUUCCUCAUUAUCUUCAGACUCACUUUUUUUACUAAAGGUAGCUCUCCCUUCUCUCUUCUUUCUCUCUCUAGUUUAUUUAUUUUCCCGCUAGGGUUUCCGAGGUCUCCGCCGUUCCAGAUCUUUUUCCGGCAGAGGCUCGCCGAGUCGUGCUGUAAUUCUUGUACAAGUCGUAAGUUAUGUCGAGCCACUCCGACGAUUCGUUGGAUUCACUCUUUCACUACGAGCCGAGCCGUGUAGAUGCCGAGGCGAGAGGUACAACAGAAUCCUCCGAGGCAUCCGUUUCGCCGAGCCCUUCCAAUCGUUCAUCUGACGAGGCGUCAAAUCAUGCAAAACCGUCAGAUGUCGACUCUACAGAUGAUGAGCCAUCGGUUUCGACGAGCCGUCCCCAGGAUCCCAUUCCUGAUGAAGGUAUCAACUGCGCCGCAGUCUAACCCGAGGAGGAGGCAUUUCCCUUUGACCUAUUCGAGGCGAAGCGUGAGUUGGAACGUCUCAUAGCGUCUCGAGGCGCUUCCACAUCUGGGCGAGGGCCACGAGUUAAAAGACAAAAGCCUGACCCGCCUGGCUCUACGCUUUGCUCCCUUGAGUCGCUCUAGGCGUUGAGGCAUCGCUUCAGGAUAUCCGAGGCGGUGGAGUUCAUCGUUCCAGAGAAGAGCGACCGAGCCGACAAGCCUCCAGAGAAUCACUUCACUCUGUACGAGGCGUUCUUCGAGCUUUGCUUUCUCUGGUUCCCAAUCCCCGGAGUGAUCCUUGAAUAUCUCUGGAAACACGGGAUCUCGAUUGGGCAAAUCAUGCCGAGGGGAUUACGGCGUAUGAUUGGCAUCUUAGUUCGUAGCUCCGAAUGCGGACUCGAUAUCGAGCUGAAUCACCUGCUGGACUUGCUGGAAAUCAGGAAAGCCCCGAAGGGAAAUAGAUUCUAUAUUUCCAACAAGGCGAAACGACGGAUCAUAGGCGGUUUUCCCAGCAAGGAUCAGUUUUGGACUGAACGCUUUUUCUACGUCUUGGUGAACGAGGCGUCGGUCGGCGAGGAUUACGUUCAAAGAACCAAGACCGCUUGGGGAUCACUUGGUAGCCGACCCGAAGCUCUGCCUCGGCUCGGAACUGCUUUUGGUAUCCUCUUCCUUUUCUGAAUUUUUUUCUUUUUUGCUUUGUUUUGCAGUUCGGUGCUUUCUUCCCCCGAUUCCCGACGACCUUUUUACUGUUCAAGACUCUCUUUCGGCGCGGAAGGUUAAUUGGAGAAAGAACUUCACCCUCGAAAGAGUAGAAAGAGCGCGAGCCAUCCUUGCCGGAGUCCCCGUCAGCUCUUCGUCCUCAAGUUCUUCAAGACAUACCCGGGAGAAGAUAGUAAUAAUCGCUCUCAGAGAAAGGAAGAGGCGCGAGGAAGAGGAGGCCGCUAGAUGAGCUGCCGAGGCGGCUCGCGCGCAUACCGAGGCAGUUCCAGCGCAAGCCGAGGCGGUUUCAGCGCAAGCCGAGACCAUCCCUCAACCCGACCCGCCGAGCCAGGAAGGGGAUGUAAUGGUCCAAGCCGCAGAAGGAGACACUGCCGAGGCGGCUGAUAAAGAUGCAGCGCCCGAGGUGGAACCGGGCGAAAUUAUCCCCGAGGUGUCCGGGGACGGCUCGGCGGCGCGGAGUAAGACUCCUUCGCACACCGCCAUCCUGGCCCUCCCGAAGUCGACGAGGCCACCGACUUCGGUUGUUCAGAAGCAUGACUCUAGCCGAAAACGUUCGGCUACUGACAAGGGGAAGGGCGUCGCCGUUCAGAAGGACGAGCCGUCCAAGAAGAGGCGGAAACCGACGCCCGGGGACCCGCCGCGCAUAAGUUGGUCGUUGACGACCCCAACGCCUCUGCCGUCAUGUUCUCGCGUGUAAAUAACGCGAACACGAGUCUUCCUCCUCUGGAGAAGCUGAGGAGGCCGAGGUCAUACGGCACGAUGGAACAGCACGGUACCAAGGUACGUUCUAUUUUCUUUCCUUUAUUUUUGCAAAUUUUACGAGGUGUUUAACGCACGUCUGUUCUCUGCAGUUUGUCGCGGCCAUUAACGACCUGAUGGCCGAGUAUGAGGCGGACCUGUCUAAGGUCGAAUGUCGUUUGGACGAGGCCCGAAAUGAAACCGUGGCGUCAAAGGUGAAGCUGGAAGAGGCGCAAAACGAAGCCGCGGCCGCGAAGGGGAAACUCACCGAGGCGAUGACCCGAGUGUCGAGGUUGGAAGAGGAGAAGAUAGUUCUCCGCGCUGACGUCGACAAAGUUUCCGCCUUGGUGAUUCGCCUGGAGGAAGCAAGGAGAGCUAAAAGCGCCGAGGUGGCGAUGCAAGAGGCGUAUCGAAGCCAAGGACGCUCUGUUUGAUGCCAAGGUCAAGCGGGCAAAAAAGGAGGCGAGGCGAGAGCUUACGGCUAAGUUUCAGGAACGCCUCGCCAAGGUAGAGGAAGAUUUGGUCAAGCUCGAGAAGGCCAAAAAUGAUGAGAACGAUCUGGGGCAGAUCAAGGGCAAUCUUGCGAUGAUUGCCGACCUGAAGAAGCCGGACACCCCGACGCUUGAUGACGAGGAGGCGAAGCUGAAAAGUUGGGAGAGUGAGUAUGCCAACGACGAGGCGUACGAGCGUAUUGCUUCCGAGAUUCAAGGCGAGCUGUUUUACUCUCCCGUAUCGCUGGACUCGGUAGACACCAGCAUUGGCAACGAGCCGCUUGAAGAGACAGCGGCCAACCUGGGUGUCGUUGAUCCGACCAGAUCGAACGCGGGGACACCAGCCCUCUCGAACCUCCUUGCCGAGCGCGAGACGCAAUCCGUGGCUUGAUACUCUCUGCUUUCCCUCACCCUUUAUUGCACAUGUUCUUCUUUUUGUUUUUGUACUUAAGUUUUUUCAUGAUUCACUUUUCGAACUCGUUAUGUAAUUGGUGCCUGGAUGGCUUUAUCCACUUGACUUUUAUUUUUGCUUUAUGGAUAUAUUUUAUUUUCCUUAGCCAUUUUCGGAUUUACUUGUCUAACAAUCCAUGAAAAUGUUUACGAAAACUGUUGGCUUAGAAAAAUUGUCAAGGAUGAAAACUGUGUGUCGAGAAUGAUUUGAUUGCUUCCUUAGCCGGGCUUUUCGAAAUUGAUAGAAAUACGGGCUAAGGGGUGAAUUGUGUUAAGGAUCUCGUUUGGAUUCUUAAUCCCGAGCUGGGAGUUUAGGUGAUAAUGUCGAGGCAAAUUUCCACUGGCAAUGCCGAGCCGUAUUUAACGACGAGGCGUUUUCGCUGUGUAAGGUGCCGAGCCGUGUAAACGGCGAGGCGUUUUCUCUAAGCGUGGUACCGAGCCGUGUACACGACGAGGCAUUUUUUCUGUGCAUGGUGCCGAGCCAUAAGAACGACGAGGCGUUUUCUCUUUGCGUGGUGCCGAACCGUAAGAACGACGAGGCGUUUCGUUUUUUGUUCAGCCAAGAAUGAUUUGGUAGUCUCAUUGAAUCUUACUAUGGACCGGCGUUUCCGAGAGGAUGAAUAUGUUUGUCCGGGUUUUAAGAGUUUACUUCGGUUUUAGAGAAAGCGAUGUAGUCUCGACUUACAUUCUCGUGUGCGAUAGUAAACCGUGGCGACCUGAUACGUUUUUGGUCUGAUAUUUGUAUAGCGCUUAAUUUUUAUCCGUAGAGGAUGUAACUUGCACCCUCGUCCUAGGAAAGGUGGUAAAGUUCGUUUAGAGAACUUUGUAUUUGUUGCCCCGUUAUGGCCAGCAACGAGACGAGGCGUUCGGAGGCUUAGUUUGCCGAUCUGAAACUGAGGACCGAUUAAGGUCUGAGGUAAUCAAGUCAUGAUAUCGUGCCGAAGUGGUAUGAUUACUCUCCGAAGUGAUGAGUGAUAAAAUUUUAAAAAUCCGAGCUUGUUAAAAUAAGUUGCUGAUUUAGAAAAAAUGAGAAACUAGCCGAAGCGAUAAUGAACGAACUAGAAAUCCAAGGUAAACGUGCAAUAAGUAGAUGAUUAAAAACGAACUGAGAAUGUGCCGAAGUGGCGAUGUUCCUAAGUGAGCAAGUUAAAAUUGUAGAGUUAAAGAAGGUAUGUGUAUAAGUACCCACUCCCCCCCCCUUUUUAGGAAGGGGGACAGCUGAACCCGUCCGAGGACGGGCUGCCUACGUACCCUUUGAAGGGAUCAAGCCGUCCCGUAGUUCAUGCUUGCCAUGCUGUACCUUUAAUGAUAAUACUUUUUUAGAUGCAUUGCGUUCCAUGAUCUUGGAAUCGCUUCGUCAGCUAGUGUCGCGAGUUCGUAGACUCCUGGACGAACCACUUUUGUGACCUUGUAAGGACCUUCCCAAUUUGCUCCGAGCUUUCCUGCGUUCUUCUCGGCAGUGUUUUGGAAGACCUUUCGGAGGACGAGCUCCCCUGCUUUGAAUCUUCGACUACGAACGUUUUUGUUGUAGUAUCGCGCCGUUGCUUGUUGAUAGUUCUGGAUCCGAAUUAAGGCUUGGUCGCGCUUUUCGUUGAUUAGGUCGAGCUCAUCUAGCAUCAUUAAGUGGUUCAAGCCCUCCUGUCCUGGUAGAAGUCUUCGUCGAAUACCUGGGAAAUCCACCUCGGGGGGAAUUACGCACUCCGAUCCGUAGACCAAAGCGAAUGGAGUUUCCCCGGUGGCUCGGCGCGGAGUUGUCCGAUGAGACCAAAGGACUCCUUCGAGUUCGUCUGCCCACCGUCCCUUCUUGGCGUCGAGCCUCUUUUUCAGACAGUCGAGGAUCAUCUUGUUGGCUGCUUCGGCUUGUCCAAUCCCUUGAGGGUAUCUUGGCGUAGAUUUGCUGAGGCGGAUUUUCCACUUCUCGCAGAAGGCUUCGAAGCGUGUUGAGAUGAACUGGGAUCCGUUGUCGGUGACUAUCUCGUAGGGGACCCCGUGUCGGCAGAUGAUAUUUUUCCAGACAAAGUGUUCGACUUGAACAUCCUUUAUGCUUGCGUAGGAAUCGGCUUCGACCCACUUGGAGAAGUAAUCCGUGAGGACGAGCAGAAAACGAUUCUGCUUUGAGCAAUGUAGAGGUCCGACGAUGUCCAUCCACCAUCUCAUGAACGGAUAGGGUGAUGAAAUUGACGCAACUCGGUAGGUUGAUGAAUUGUUGGAGCGUGCCGCUGACACUUCUCGCACUUCGCCUUAAAUUUCUCGUAGUCCUUGACCAUCGUGGGGCAGAAGUAGCCGUGCCGUUUUAUCUUGAUAGCGAGCGACCUUCUGCUGGAAUGGUUCCCGCACGCGCCGCUGUGCACCUUGUGCAUGAUCUUUCUUGCCUCCGGUCCUUCGACGCAUGUCAUGAAAGGCCCUGAAAAUCUCCAUUUAAACACCUCGCCACGACGAGGACAUACCGUGCGACCUGAGCUUUUAGUUUGCGGGCUUCCCAUUUGUCGGUUGGCACCUCUCCAUCGGCGAUAUACACUCGGAUAGCUCCGAGCUAUUCUUUGUCGCAGCCGUACUCCGGCUCGGUCGGUGAGGCGUCUUCAUCCAUAGGAAUGGCUUCGUCGUCCUCUGGUUCUUGUUCAGGAGGAUUUAUCAGCCGAACUCCUUCCACCUCUUUGAUGCUAGGACGUUCGAUGAAUUCGACUGGGAUCGUCCGUCGGAGGUCUGGGUCUGAGGUCGAAGCGAGUGCUGCCAAGGCGUCGGCCGAGGUGUUUUCCCCUCGGGGAAUGCGCGUGAGUUCGUACUCGUCAAACUUUUGCACCAACUCUCGGACCACCUUGAGGUAAGCUCCCAUUCGUCCAUCCUUCGCCUCGUAUUCUCCGUUGAACUGACAUGCUACGAGCUGUGAAUCGCAAAAGGUUCUUAUCUUUCGAACUCCGAUUCCCUACGCUAGUCGUAUGCCGGCGAUCAGUGCUUCGUAUUCCGCUUCGUUGUUCGAGGCGUGGAAGUUUAGGUGAAAAGACUGCUCCAAUAUCUCUCCGGUGGGAGAGGUGAGGCGAAUUCCUAUACCCGAGCCGUGUUUAGACGACGAGCCAUCGACGUGCAGCGUCCACACUUCGUCUAGAGUCGGCUCGUUUGUUUCUUCGGCGGGAAGUUCAAUGAGGAAAUCUGCGAGCACCUGUGACUUUGCAGACGACCUGUUCCGAUACUCGAUGUCGUAUUCGCUUAGCUCUAUGGCCCACUUGGCGAGCCGACCGGAUUGGCUAGGGCUGUGAAGGAUCGAGCGCAGCGGAAGCGUAGCGAGCACAACAAUCGAAUGUUAUUGAAAGUACGGGCGCAGUUUGCGAGCCGAGACUACGAUGGCUAGGGCGACCUUCUCGAUCUGGGGGUAGCGGGUCUCGGCGUCGGUUAGUGUCUAGCUGAUGUAGAAAAUGGGUUUUUGCUCGGAUCGUUCUUCUCUGAUAAGCACUCCGCUUACGGCUGUAGCAGACACUGCGACGUAGAGGAAGAGCGGCUCUCCUUCGACUGGUUUUGCUAAGAUUGGUGGGCUCGCCAGAUAAUUCUUCAGUUCCUGGAAAGCCGUCUCGCAUCGUUCGUCCCACUCAAAUUUCUUGUUUCCUCGGAGGGUGUCGUAGAAGGGCAGGCAUUUGUCUGUAGAACGGGAAAUAAACCUGUUUAGCGCGGCGACUCUACCUGUGAGCCUUUGCACUUCGCGCUUCGUUCUUGGAGAGGGCAUCUCAAUUAACGUCUUGAUCUGCUUGGGGGUUGCUUCUAUGCCUCGGUGAGUUACCAGAUAGCCGAGGAAUUCUCCCGAGGUGACCACAAACCUGCACUUUGCCGGGUUUAGUUUCAUGUUGUGCUUGUUCAAUUGUUCGAAGCAUUCCCAUAGAUGCGCGACGUGGUCUUCCUCCUUGAGUGAUUUGACUAACAUGUCGUCGAUGUAUACUUCCAUGGUUUUUCCGAGCUGAGCCGCGAACAUUUUAUUGACGAGCCGUUGAUACGUUACUCCUGCGUUCUUGAGCCCGAACGGCAUGACUUUGUAGCAGUAUAUCCCUCGAUCAGUUAUGAAUGCCUUUUUUUCUCGAUCAUCAGGAUGCAUCAGGAUCUGAUUGUAGCCGGAGAACGCGUCCAUAAAUGUUAACAGUCUAUUCCCUGCAGUGGCUUCGACGAGCCGGUCGAUGUGUGGCAAGGGAAAGCUGUCUUUUGGGCACGCCUUGUUGAGGUCGGUGAAAUCCACACAUACUCGCCACUUGCCGUUCUUCUUCUUCACGACCACCGGAUUUGCGAGCCAAUCCGGAUAUUUGGCCUCGGCGAUUGAUCCUACUUUGAGUAACCUUUCAACUUCGUCGUUAACUGCUUUAGCUCGUUCGGGGCCGAGCUUCCUUCUUUUCUGCUUGACUGGCUUAAAGGUCGGAUCCACAUUCAGCUCGUGACAGGUUACGUCAAUGCUUAUGCCUGGCAUAUCUUCUGCUGUCCAGGCAAAAGUGUUGAUGUUCUCCUUGAGGAGGGAAAGGAGUUCGCUUCUCAGAGGCUCUUCUAGUUUUAUUCCAAUUUCGAUGCAUCGCUCCGGACGCGCCUCGUCUAUGCACACCGAGUCCACUGCAUCGCAUACCGGCUCGGCGCGUGUUUCGCGGUUCUCCGUGAUCUGUAAUUGCUAUAAGAGUUUCGAGAGCUCGUUUGCGGGCUCUCGGUCUGUCUUCAUCUUUUUGCGGUCUAUAUCUGCUCGUGCGUCAGUGACGGGGUUCCUCAGCUUGUGCUCGGCUAAGCAGCACAUUCUUGACUCCUUCUGAUUCCCCCAUAUCGUUUUGACACCCGAUGGAGUUGGGAAUUUGAGACAGAGAUGAUAGGUGGAUGGUACCGCCCUCAUCCCGUUGAUCCAUGGAGUUCCCAUGAUCACAUUGUAGAUUGCUGGGUGAUCAGUGACGCAGAAUUCGACGAUCUUAGUGACUCCGCCAGCUACCACAGGAAGCCUGAUCGUUCCCAUAGUCAUCGUCGUUUCUCCUGAAAAUCUGGUUAGAGGUUGGGGAUUGCUUCCACCUCGGAGAGGUCGAUUCCCAUUUUUCUGAGUGUUUCUCUGAAGAUGACGUUCACUGAGCUUCUAGUAUCGAUGAGCACCCUUGCCACAUCAUGAUCCAUGAUCGUUAACUCGAUCACCAACGGAUCGUUGUGAGGUCGAUCAAUUCCUGCCGCUUCCUCCUCGGCGAAGGAGAUCACUGUGUUUGGGAUGUCGGUUGGUUUUAUCCAAUUCUCCUUUGCUUCGGCUCGGCGCUGAUAGGCUUUGAUGGAGGACACGGUAUCAUGGUAGUAUUGAGAUCCACCCAUGAUCAUAUUGAUCCUUUGCCUCGGCACGGGUCGCUCUUCGGGUUCACCUCUCCUGUCGCGCUUGGAGUUAUCGCCUCUUCGCGCUGCUCGGCUCGGCUCUCUCUUGUUGUUCGUUAGGGACGAGGUCUUUGAGGUUGACCGCGUUUUGGAGCUCUCCCGCUGCCAUCUUAGGCACGAGUUUUGCUCCUAGAGUUCGGCACUGUGCCGUUGAGUGCCCGUAGGUCUGGUGAUACUCACAGAAAGCCUUCUCGUCGUAGUUGGCGGAUUUCCUCACCCAAGUGUUGUUGCGCGGCUCUCCUCUUCCGCGUCCGGUGCCUACCUGGUAGUUAUGGGCACCUCCGCUUCUAGGUUCAUCCGAGCUCUGCGUUGUUGCGUUGUUUGAUGGGUUGCCCUUCCUCGCGGGGCGCGGCAAAAUUGAGCUUCGGAUUGCUGCUUUCGUCGCUUCGUACCGCUCGUCCAAGUUUUUCAUUUCCUCCUCGUUUACGACGAAGUCUGAUGAUCGGUGCAGAGCGUCUUGAAUUGUUUGCGGCGUGUUGAGAGCCAUCUCCCGUUGGAACUCGGAUUUGUACCACAAAGAUUGUUUCAGAGCCUCGAGCGCAGCCUUGUCGCUUAUCCCUUCUAUUUUGGAUACGAGUGCCUUGAAUCUUGCCAUGUAAUCCCGAAGCGGCUCGUUCAGUCCUUGGGAUAGUGUCCACAGAUCGGCAUCAGAUGUUCCUCUGUCCAUAAACAUCGAGUAUUGUUUCUGGAACAAGGCGGAGAGCUGUUGAAAAUUGCCGAUUGAAUUUCGUUCCUGCCUCGAAAACCACUCGAGUGCGGCUCCCUUGAGAUGCUCCACGAAGAGCAGGCAGUAUCCGGCAUCUACUUUGCGCUCGGUGAGUUUAGCGGCGUUCUUUGUGAAGGCUCGUCCCAUUGCUAUCCGAAACGCUGUGAUGUGUGCUUUCGGGUCGGUUGUUCCUUCGUAGAACGGGAUUCUCACCUUCCCCGGCUCGGGAAUCCUGGCCUCCGUGAUUCUUGCAGUGAAUGGAGUUCUCUGAGUUUCUUCAAGCAUUCGGUCGAUUUCGGGCGCUGCGCUUGUCACGUUGUGCACUUGGGAUUUCAUGGCGCGUAUUUCAGCUACUGUCCGAGCUAUCGAGGCUCGCAGCUCUUUGAGUUCGAGAGUUUGUGUGUGAAUCAUUCCCUUUGAUUGGGGGAGUCGCUCCCGCUCCUCUCUCCUCGGCUCGUCUUCGCGCUCUGCCUGUUCGAUCCAUUGGCGAUUUUCUUCCUCCUCGGUUGGAUUGUCGCUGCGGGUCGGGUCGGAAACUUCGUCAGUUCGGAUGCCGUUUAGUGCCGAGGCGAGGUCUUCUUGACUUAUUCGCCGAGCCGAGCCGGUUUGUUGCGGAUUCGUGGUUCAGUCGUUAUGCUGGGCGUCUACGUCGAUCGCAUGGUUUUCUUCUUCGCCGGCUCGCCGCCUUGAGUUUCGGCGGAGAGGGGGCGGCUCGGUCAUGUUGACUCUGGUUGCUGCGGGGGGUCUUUUCGUCGAGGAGACGAAACAUUGGAGGAGCCGAGGGGUUUCUUGCGCCACUCCCUGAGGCUUCUGCAGGUGUCGAGAAAUCGAAGCGUCUCCGGAUUCCAUCCAUCGGGUCGGGAAUUCCGGCUCUCCAAGUUUGGUGCAGUCGCUCAGCCGCCAUCGCGUCGAGCCUUUCCGUAAUCGCCUCGUUUCUUUUAUCCUGUUCGUCGAUUUUCUUCAUCAACGCAGCCAUCAUGUUUGCAUCUCCUCCUGGGUUUUGAUCGUUGCUGUCGUUGUGCCCGAUGCCGGAGCGUCCUUCUCCGUGCCGUUACCGGUGUUGUUGUUGUUGUUGUCGUCGGGGGUGUUGCUCGCCAUGUUCUUCGGAUCUUAAAGUCUUGUCGAUUUAGAGUAAGAAAGUUUCGAUUCCCCACAGACGGCGCCAAAUUGUGUGAGCCAAAACUCGCACAACCAGAAAUUUGUUUAAGGAAAACUAAGGGAUCGGAAACUUCUAGGGUUUCGCCAAAAACAGUAAGAUCGAAAGAAAGUUUUUCUUGCUGUAAAAGUGUUUAGCUCAUAUUGCUUAGGGUUGCAAAAGUUACAGAAUGAAUUGUAUACAUCGUCUAUUUUUACUAACUCUCUGAACCGCCUAGCCGAGAAUCUCGGGAGAGAUUUUCGGAAUAUUUCCUUAUCGCCUCGUGCGGCUCACCGCCUUUGUAUUUCGCCUAGGGUUUUUAUGGGCUUCGUCUCCCAAGGCCACGGUUCGGCCCAUCAUUCUCCUUUGCCACGGCUCGGCCCAUCUAACUUCUUCACGGCUCGGCCCACUUGCCAUUUCGGUCGAGACAUGAUCUGGUCCACCUCACCGAGGCGCGGCUCGACCCAAGCAUGUUGGAAUGGGGCUCGGCCCAAAUCUUACGAUACGGCUCUCCCUACUGGUCUAUCUUCACGGCUCUCCCACUUGGUGAUCGCGGCUCUCCCGCUUGUCUUGGUGAGAACGGCUCUCCCACUUGUCUUGGUGAGAACGGCUCUCCCACUUGUCUUGGUGAGAACGGCUCUCCCAUUUGGUGACCACGGCUCUCCCACUUAUCUUUCUUCCAUACUUAGUCAUUUUGAGAUGGUUUUAUCUGCAUGGGGUGAAAACCGACCCCAACAAGUAUUGGGUAAUCUUUAGAAUUUACAUGGAAAUUGCUUAUAAAAACCAAUUUUUAGAAGAUUUCUAUGUUGAGAACAUCAAAAAUCCGAAUCUGGUCAUGAACUACUUGAUUUCUCUGAUUUAUUAUCGAUUUUGUUUGCUCAUGGUUUUAAUUAAUCUCUUUAUGCUAGUAUUAGUAUAACAGAUCUUAAUGUGUUAAAAUCAGCAUCCAAAUUCACUCUUUUUCCAAGAACUAUUUCGUUUUGCAGAAAAAUGGACCAAAACAGAUCCCGAAGGAGCCGUCGCACUGGUGGCAGCUCCGAGGACAUUCCCGAUGAUGCUACUCUAGGAGAGUACAUGCUGAACCAAACCAGACCGAGAAGGAGAAACUAUGUGAUGAGAUUGCUCCAUCACUCAAGAGAAACACAAGCAGCUCCCGAGCCACCACAGAUUCUAUACAUUGGGAGGGAGACAAACCCGAGAGUGGACUAUGCAAGACGUUUCAAGAAGCUGAACAUCAAACCCACGCCUUGCAUAGAUUAUCAUACACUCGAGAUGCUUGGAAUCAGAGAAGAUGUGAUCUGGUACAUCAAUGCACUUAAGCUGAGACCCUACAUGGAGCUGAACCUUCCGACUUAUCCUGAGCUAGUCCGUGAAUUCUUAGCGACUAUUACACUACACCACACGAAGAGGAGGAACCCCAGAGCAUCAGAUGGCAUCUUGUCAUUCUCUAUCCGCGGACAGCCUUACUCUCUCACCAUUUCUGAGGUUUGUGAAGCUCUUAAGCUUCCAUACACUGAUGGCAUUUACCUUGAAGAUGAACCUGAUCUUAACCUGUGGAGAGAGAUGGGUCAUGGAGUCUAUGAUAGUGGGAGAUCGAAGUCAGCCCUUCUUACUCAUCCAGCAGUGAGAGUUGUGCACAAGCUAUUAGCACACACGAUCUUCUCUAGAGCAAACAUGGGAGGUGUUUUAAAGACUGAGCUCAUUACACAUCAGAUUCCGUUUAUGGACGACCCACGACUUGCUUGCUUUGCCUGGAUCAUAGCGCAGAAUACGGUAAACGUGAAGCAUGACUUACAUGGUUGCGAGGACGCUACUCCAGCUUUCAGGAGUGCUAUUACAGCGAUACUACAGGCUGUAGGAUUCGAUUUCUCAUCUGAUGAGCCACUUCCCGAUGUCUGGUAUGAUCUACUUUAUCUCUCUCGCGAUCACACUAUCUCUCGUGCCGCUUUCGAUCCAGACAGGUUUGGUUACAAGUAUUGCACUGGCACUGAGGAGCACCGAGUCAGUUUGCCUUCGGUAUCUAUCCCGAGAUUGUGUAACGGAGGACGUCCGCGAUGGACUCCGGAACCUGAUGAUUUUCUGCCUUCUGUACCUCGUCUACCAUUCACCAUUGGCCAAUACAUAGUGGCCAAGGUGAAGCGUGAUGCAGCUGCGGCCCGUGCCCAUUUUCAGCCAUCUGUUUUGACCGGCCACACCUCAUCAUCUACAUCAUCUCACACUCAUUCCGAUCUGGAGCGCAGAGUUGAGAGACAGGGACGACGCUUUGAGCGCGUUGUCACCUUCUUACAGGAGCAGCACCAGUUUGCAGACGACACAUCGGAGGAUGAGUGAUUGAUCAGCACUUCACUACCAUCACGGUUCUAUCAUCAAUUUCUUUUCUUUUAUCUUAUUUUAUUUCUCUUUUAUUCACCAUCUUCUCACCAACUUUUUCACACUGGGGACAGUGUGAUUUAAGUCUGCGGGAGGAUGUCUAUCCGUACUAAUCAUUUUCUUGCUUUUCUUUUUAAAUUCCAAGUACUUUUUAAAUUUUAAUAUGUAACCUAUUCGACAUUAAGUAUUUUUCAGGAAUGUUUGACGCAAAACUAUGAUGAUUUAGACCUGCACGCUUCUACACUAUGCAUGAUUGCUCAUUUGUGGUUAGCACUAGACUAGGCGGUAGCUAGAGUACUUGCACUACGAACUCCCACCAGAGGACUUCUAUUCAUGGAGAUUCUUUCUGACAGGAUAUACUAGCUCAUUUUAUUUGGACUUAAUAUUGAUAUCUAAUUUUUUCAUCAUUGAUUUUAGGCAGGCAUCGACAUACACAUCUAGGACGUCUUCUACCCUCACUUUUACCACUCUUUGUCGUCCUAGAUGACCUGUUUAUCUUUAUCUGGUACCAUACCCUAAACCCAAAACCCUUGUUUUCAAUCCUCAUGCAUUCUUUCUUUAGUUUAUAUCAGCAGAUAUGUGCAAAAACGUCGGAGAGAAGAGGAGCGACACAGUUUUCAGUCACUCACAAAGGAGACUGAAUGGAAUUGGGAAGGAAGAGUAUCAGAAAAAUCAUGAAGCUUUACAAGACAGAUAUUGACUGGUAAUUUCGUGCUCUCUAAGACUCUAUAUCUAAAGGUGUUCCCUUUCUCCCACAAAAAAAAAAAAAAAAAAAAAAAACGUGAAAAAAGAAAGGGAAACAAAAAGCCUAAUGAGUCUUAGAUUGUCAAAAAUUUGUGGAGCAAUAAGCAACCACUAAUCGUUUAAUUUUGAAAGAUUUACAUAAAUCUAAGUCUGGGGGAGUUAGGAGAGAACCUGAGGAAGAAGACCAGGAAUCUAUGGCACGAAGAAAGUGACUGAAAACUGUGGAUACCAACAGCUUAACUCUCUCUUGCGGUUUUGCAUAAUAUCAUGCAUCCUCCAGAUUUUCAAGUAACCCGUAAACACUUUAAACCUUACCCCUAGAAUAACCUUUUUAACACCUAGCCUAGAUUGCCUUGCCUAGACUUUCUUUGAUGAGAACCACCGAGAUUUUUAAUGAAUGUUAAGAGCUAGUUGACUGGAAGUUAGAUCCUAGUGCAUAGAUUUUCGCAUGAUGGAUUAACGGACUAGUUAUGCCUGUAUUGCUAGUGAGUAUUUUCUAGGCUAUUCCCGAUUGAUGCAUACUGAUUGAUAUUGGUCUAGAAGUUUGGUCUCUGAGAUUUUGUUUAGUUCCUGCGUUUUCAAACCUCUCACCGAGAUUUAGCCUUUGUUUUGUUUGAGGACAAACAAAAGACUAAGUCUGGGGGAGUUGAUAACACCGGAUUUUGACCAUUUUUAUGGAUCACUUUCAUAUCUUUUACCGGUGUUUUUACUCCAUUUUCAAAGAUUUUCAAAGGAUUUCUAUGUUUCCGGAUUUGAAAAGACUUUUCAGGUAAUUUGGGAUAAAGAGGCACAAAAUGAAACAAAAACUCUUUUGAAUAAAUGCAGACCGUCAGAACUCUCAUGGAGAGACGACGACCUUCUCACCGUCUGAUCACCUUCAAAACUGGACAACUUAUAGAAGAAUCAACCAGCUUUCAAAUGCACUUGGUUUGGAGACAUUCUAACGGUUGGAUCUCAAGAUAUUCCAUUAGCCCCGGAGCCACUCGAACUCGGCCAGAAAGUCACGCGACCGCGGUGAUCAACCUAUUUCCCGCGGUCAGAAGCUUCCCGACCGCGGCCAACCAGCCAAUCCCCGCGGUCACAACACUCCCGACCACGGCAAUCAAUCUCCGAAUUAAAGCCCAUGUAUCUGAAGCCCAAAGUCAUUCUCAGCCUCAAUUCCGGAACCCUAGAGACCAUGGAGUAUUGGAGACUAUAAAUACAUGUCAUUUAGGUCGUUUUUAGGGAGAGUCAUUCAUACUUUACAGAAACCCUUUUCCUUUAGCCGUUUUUAUGAGAUUUUUGUAGAAGAUUGUUCAAGUCCGAGUUCUUCAAUAGAGAAGCUUUCUUUAUCUCUUUUUUUUACUGUUUUUCAUUACUUUUAUUAAAACCAAUGAUGAUGUCGACCUCCGCCAUGUCUGAGUAGAUCCCGAGUUGGGCUUAGGGUUCCCGAAAGGGGCUCUCAUAAUCGAUUAAGACAUCUAGGUUUAUAGAUCUGGGAUUUCGACAUGUUCUCUGUUUAUUCUUGUUCUUAUUGCAUGUAUGCUUGAUUGAUCACCUAGUAUCUGAUCUAGAUAGUUAGUGUUGCGAAAGUUUUCAUUAAGUAUCAGCCCUAGAAUGAAACAGGCAAUUUUUUCGUAGGAGUGGAAACCUACCUGCGGCGAGAUCGUGAGUAUUGACGAGUCUUGUGCAGCUCUUGCGUUCUCUCCCUUCCAGGGCUAGAGUGGAAACCUACUGGUCUGGGUUGCGAGAAACAGUUGGUUAUGAUCACGACAAUGACGUAGUCAUACCGCCGUACUCUAGCUCUAGAACCCAUAUAUCGAUAUCCGUCAAUCCCAAUCUAUUUACCCUAGUGUUAAAACCGAUUAUGAUCCCUUAGAGUCCCCAAAAGCUCAGCGUUUUUAGCCAUAGUUUACAAUUCCAUCGAUUUUUAUUUGCUUAUUUAGGCCUGCAUUUCAAUUUCCUUAGUUUGUUAUUUACUUACUUUACUAGUAUUUCAUUCGAUAGUUUACUUGCCUUAUUAGUCUUUCAUUCGAUAUUUUACUUGUUCUAUUUGCCUUUCAUUCGAUUUCUUUACUUGCUUUUUAGGAUAGAUUUAUUUGCUUUCUUUUGUUUUAGUUUAAUACAUCAAACCAACCAACCUUUAAAAACCAAUCUAGUGUAGACAUAAAGUUAAAAACCGUAGAAGAAUACUAGGCACACAAAUCUAUGUGGAUUCGAUCCCUAAAUACUACAACUGAUUAGCUGUGCACUUGCGGCUUUCAUUUGUUUUGUUAAGGGUAAAACUUGAGAGAAAAGGUAUAUCAUCGAAAAAAAAUUCAUGCAAGAAAAUUUUGACCAUUAUUUGUGGUGUCUAUACCAUAAAAACCAAUAAUCAUCUAUGAUCGGAUCAGAAUUUACCGGCGUAAUCUCAGCAAACCCAUGCAAAAAAACGUCAAUAGUAACAAAACCAACUCAAAUAUAACCAUGAAACAAGUCUACCAUACAUAUGGAAUCUGUUUAACAUACAACACCCCAAAACAAGUCUACCACACCUUUGGUUUUUUUGUAGAUUGCUGAAUACCUUUAGGACAAAUAAGUAAUUUCAAUUGAAUAAGUCAAAUGUCUACCGAAAACAAUGUAACUAAGUCUACCACAAGCAAUGUAAAUAACUCUACCAUAAGAAAAACUCUACCUUCAAGCAUCAAAUAUGUCUACCAGAUUGAGGUUAUCUGAGUAAACACCAAAGUUAUUUAAUCUACCACAUGAAGCUCAAUAGAAGUCUACCAUACGUGCAAUAACUUUACCAAUUGAUUGAAAAUCUACUACAAUAACAAAAAAAAUCUACCACCAUUUUAUAAGUCUACCUCAUGUAACAAUAAAUUUACUACUCAACGGAAUGAAAUCACCAAAUUUUUACUUGAUUUAAAUCUUCCACAUUACUUAUAAAUCUACCACAAGAGCGAUAAAUCUACUCACAUGAUAUAACUCUACCAAUUUCAUAACUAAUCUACCUCAAUAGGGAUAAAUCUACCACCACGUUAUCUUAAAUUUUGGUGAAUAAAUCUGCCACCAAAAGAAAUAAGUCUACCAAUUCGAGUAUUAAAUCUACCCCCAUUGUCAACAAAUCUACCAACAAAAUCAACUAUGCGAGAGAGUCAACGAAUUCCUUAACAAGUCUACCAACACUUUAACAAGUGUGGCAUACAUGACAACAAAUCUACCGAAACUUAACAAAUCUAUCGUGUCAUUGUCAAAACUCUACCAAAAAAAGUAUAUCAACAUUUUACAAAUCUACCAAUUCUCGAAUAAAUCUACCAUCGUCCUAACAAAUAUGCCAUCUAAAAAAUUGUGUUGACCAACAUCUGAUAAGUCUACCAUCAAAGACCGGUAGGCUUAUCAUUUUUCAAGCGCAUCUUUUUGCCUACAUGGCACAAAAAAGUAAUGGCAUUUUUUUAAUUAGGUUUUUUUCAUCAAAGGCGAAAAUGAUGUUUUCGGUAUGCUAUGUUAUUUUUGUAAUAAAAAUAAAAGUAUGUCAAGCAAACAAUAAACAUACAUUUAAAGGUUUGUAUAGUAAUCCUUCCUUGUUUUAAUUCUUUUGAAAAACAGUUUAUAACAUCAAAAUAUGUUGUACAUUUUUAAAACCCUUAUGUCCGCGCAAAGCGCGGACCAACACCUAGUUAUAAUUUAAAAUCCAGCUAAGUUAUCUACAUACUAUAAUUCAUAAUUCACUAUUAAAAAAAUCAAAAUUCAUCCAUAUUAACCAUAAAUCUUACAAUUUUUAAACACACGAUAACAAAUUGGUAUUUUAUAAUUCUAUAAAUUAAGAAUCUUGUAUAGAUUUUAUUCAUAAUUCAUUUUUUAUAUACUUUUUUUUUGUCAUCAGCCUAAGUACCUAAAACGGUUCGGCUAUCCAAACCGGUGGUACCGAGUUUACAUAAAUGACGUCUUGAGGGUAGACACGAGCACUUCUUGCUAGGUUGUCCGCCUUCGAGUUUUUUGCGCGUGGGAUAUGUGAUAUAAGGAAGAAACUGAACUUGUCCUUCAUUUUCCUAAUCUCCUCCAAAUGUAGAUCAAAAGCUGGCCAUUCUUUGGGUGUAGACACCAUCUUCACCAACUCCAAACAGUCUGUUGCAAAAGCUACUUCCAUCUUCUGGUUUUCGAGCAUACAGUGCAUAGCCCAUAUGAGGGCUUCUAUUUCUGCAUGCAGAGGUGUAAGACUUUGUCUUACAUUUUGUGCUCCCAUUAUUCUUUCCGUAGCAUCUUCUUUAAAGAAGUACCAUCCUAAUCCCGUUAAAAGAUAUGUAUCUUUCCAAGAGCCAUCAGUAUAACACCACCAGCCUUCGUAGGCCAUAGGUGUUUACAAGUUCAGAGAAGUGCAAAGAUCGGUAGGAAUUGAAUCCUGUUCAGACCUUUGAGCCUCUUCCCACAAUGUUGCUUCUUUUUCCGCUAUUUUCAAUGUAAUCUGUGGAUCUAUAUCAUUAUUCGAAUACACUUUCUCAUUCCGUGCCUUCCAAAUAUACCAUGCGAUCCAUGGGAAUUUUGUGUUAUUCAACUCUUUUGGAAGUCGCCAAAAGAGAUGAUCAAAAUUCGAAUAAACCGAUGGUCCUGGGAAAAUCCCAAGAGGUGUUGGUAUCCGGGAUAAUGCCGAAGUUUGCAAAGCAGGAGGACAUUCAAAGAGCACAUGGUUAAUUGUUUUUUCAUCUGCUCCACACCGUGUACAUUGUGUGUCACAUUGUAUUCCACGGGUGCUUAAUCUAGCCGACACUGGAUGGCACCAAGAUAUUGCUUGCCAGAUAAAAUGUCUUAACUUCGACACACUUUUCAAUUUCCAAGCAUAUGCUUGUAAAGCCUUUAUGUCUGGGCCAAAGAUCUCCUCUGUUAUUUCUUUAGAUAAAUAACGCUCAGUUUUGUACCCUGAUUUUACAGUAUAUCGUCCGGAUUCUGUGAAAUGCCAUCCCAUUGGGUCUGGCCUAUAGGUUCUACUAAUGGGAAGUCCACGAAUAAUUUCCACAUCCGCUGGGUCAAUAAUUGCUGUUAUCAAACCCAUGUUUCACGAGUUUGUCACUGGGUCAAUCAGGUGAUUAACCAUAAGAUUCGGAUAAUAAUUGAAACCCUUACAAGUGGCUGAUCUCGGGCGAGUAGAAGGUAUCCACGGAUCAUUCCAGACAGAAAUGGAGCAUCCUGAACCUACCCUUUUAAUUAGCCCUUUAUUAACCAGAGAUCUAGCCGAUAUUAUACUUCGCCAUCCAUAAGACGGUGAGUAGGAUCUCACUGGGUCCAAAGGACUUGGAUUCCGAAAGUAUCGUCCUUUAAAGACCUGCGCAAAUAAGGAAUUUGGUCUAUCAAUCUGCGAAAGUAUCUUCAUUUUUUAUAUACUUUGUAUUUACUAAUCUUUUCUUUUAAUUUUUUCUAUUUUUUGAAUUUACAUUUAAAAAGGUAUAAUUAUUUUUCUAUUCUUAUUUGAAAUAAAUAAUUAAAAUAAGAAAUUUUAUCUCAUUUCAUUGACACAUGAGUCAAUCAUAAAUAACUGUGAUAUAUGACACAAUAUAGUGAGUUAUAAAAAUAUAAUGUCUUAUACAUAUAGAAUUUUAUUUUUGGUUUACUUUUGUUAUUUCUAUUUUGUAGUUUCUAUUUUCAUCUACUUUAGUUUUUUCUAAUUUAGUAAUUUACAUUUAAAAAUGUAGAAUUCCUUUUGUUUAGAAAAAAAAUAUAAUUUAACAUAUAAGAUUUUAUAUUAUUUUAUUGACAUAUGUUACGAUCAUAGUUAAGCGUGAUACAUGACACAAUAUGGUGAAUUAUAAAAAUCCUAUGUGCCAGUGUCACGUUGAGAGCACUGAACUUUCUUUUUUUUUUUUCACUGAAUAUUACGUAUAUUAAUAAUCGAUGAGCUUACAAGCAGACAAUACAAAACAUGAUCAAAAGCAAUCAAACACUCAUAUAGAACAUGAGUAUUACAACAAGGUAAUACUACUUUCAGAAACAAAAAUCUCUUCUAACCACUGAGGAUAGCCCGAGGCUAUAUAUGAUUGUCGACGAUCAUCUUUAGUCACACUUCUAGCAAUGAGGAAAGCACCUUGAUUUGUAACUCUUUCCUCAAGCGUAAGCUUCCAAUCCAAAAAAAUUUCCAAACCAUUCAAGAUCUCAGACGAAUAGAAUUUGAAAGAAGGCCAGGCUGGUGGCCGAUGAACCGCUCCUAUUAAAUCUGAAUCUUCCGAAGCAAAGACCAUUUUGGUGAUACCUAAGCUAUUCAAACUUUCAAUUGCCCAGAUCCAACUUUUGAAACUAGCAUCAAUGUGGCUGGAUACAGAACAGAAAGAUCUUCUACUGUGUAAAAGGACUGAUCCAAAAGAGUUCCUAAGAACCCAUGCAGCACCACCACAUCCUUUCUUUUUAUCCCAGGAAGAACCGAUAUUACAUUUCAACCAAGGUCUAGAGGGAGGAAGCCAAACCUUCGGGGGUUGAAUCACCUCCAUCUUUUUUUUAAUAGCUUCCUUUUCAUCCAACUCUUGAGCGUGAAACCAUUGGUUCACAUCUUCUUUAAUCUUGCCCAUAGUAUCAGAAACUCGGAAGCUCAUUCCUUCAAAAAUGAAGAUGUUGAGAUUCUUCCAGAGUAUCCAUAAGAUCCACGGGAUUGAUCUUCUGAUUUCCAAAGGCACUGAUAACUUUUUACCCACCAUCAAUAAAUGGAACAUGUUCUGAUAGAUGGAGUUUGAUUCAUAUCCAUUUUCAGGACUGGGUACAUUCGAAGAGGCCCAAACCUGUCUAGCAAUUGUACAUUUGAAUAGCACAUGAUUUAUGGAUUCACCUUCAAGCCCACAGAUUUGACAUCUCGAAUCAAUCUUCAUACCUCUCGAUGCAAUUUUGUCUGCAACAGGAAUGGCACCACUAAUUGCUUUCCAAAGAAAGUUUUUGAUUUUAGUGGUUGUAUUGAGCGCCCAGAUUUGGAGUUUGAUUGCAUUCAAAGACGGUUGCAUCAGAGCUUCCUUGAGGGCUUCAGAUGGAUUACUUUGAGAAGCAAACCAAUACCCUGAUUUAACAGAAUAUUCGCCACUUUUGGUAUGUUCCCAGCAGAAAAAAAUCCAAUGAAGAAACCACCGGGUUAGUUCUUAAGAUUAGACCAACGUCUCUUUGGAAGAAAUGCUCAUCGAGUUUAUCCCUAUCCCAGCUUUUGGAUAUCGGAUCAAUGAGGUCAAUAACUCUCAAAUCCAAAUUAAAGAUGAUGUUCUUUAUGAAGGGAGCUCUCAUAACCCCAUCACAAAGCCAUCGAUUAGUCCAUACACUAAGCGAAGCUCCAUUGCCAACCAUCUGUCUAAGACCUUUUUCUAAAAGAGAUCUUCCAUGAAGAAUGCUUCUCCAAGCAAAAGAGGGUCUAACUCCAGUAUCUGCGAGAAGGAAGGAGGAAGAAACAAAGUAUCGGCUCUUUAAGAACAAAGCAAGGAGACAAUCCUUAUCUUGUAGAAUUCUCCAAGCUUGUUUGGCUAAAAGAGCUUGGUUGAAGAUUUGAAUGUCUUUAAAACCGAUCCCUCCUUGAGCUUUAGGAAUGCACAAUUUAUCCCAUCCAAUCCAAUGCAUUUUCCUUUUGUUCUCGACAGUGUCCCACCAGAAAUCAGCCAUCGCAGAAGAUAACUUAUUACAGAUAGUUACUGGCAAUUUAAAACAGGUCAUGGAGAAAACUGGCAUCGCCAUCGCAACAGAGUUGAGUAACACUUCUUUUCCACCUUGAUAUAGAAGCUUUGAAUACCAUCCAGACAUUCUUCCUUUCAUUUUGUCGUGGAUGUAAGACAACAUAUCCACUUUAGAUCCACUAAAACAUUCUGGAAGACCCAAAUAAGUGCCCGCUCCACCUUCAUUGAUAAUACCCAAUUUGGUUUGAAUGAUUUCCUUCAUAUCCAUAUUCACGUUAGCACCAAAAGUGAUGGAGGAUUUAUCAAGGUUGAUGAUCUGACCAGUAACUCUUCCAUAAAGAGAAGAAUGGAUUGGAGGGUUGUGCACUGUUCUUCAUCCGCUUUAAUCAUAAAAAGACUGUCAUCUGCGAAUAACAAAUGGUGAAUGGCUGGACCAUCGGGAGAGAAUUGAAUCCCAUUAAUCAAGCCAGAUCGUUCAGCACAGUUGAGCAGAUAUGUCAAUCCUUCAGUACACAAAACAAAAAGGAAAGGUGAUAAGGGAUCACCUUGCCUUAUUCCUCUCUCAGGAAUGAUCAAACCAAAAGGCUGUCCAUUAAUCAGAACUGUAUAAGAAACCGAGGAGACACAGAACAUAAUCAUCUGGACCCAUUUUUGAUGAAAACCGAGAGCCAAAAGGAGCGCUUGAAGAUAGGACCACUCAACACGGUCGUAAGCUUUUGACAUGUCGGUCUUCACCGCCAUGAACUCCGUCGAAAUCCUAUCAUGAGUUCUCAAACCAUGGAUAGCUUCAUGAGCUAUUAUAAUGUUAUCUGAGAUAAGUCUUUCUUCAACAAAGGCAGAUUGAUUAGGAGAGACAAUCUCAGACAGAAAGGGUUUCAUUCAGGACACCAUGAUUUUGGAAAUCACUUUGUAGAGAACAGAACAGAGACUAAUUGGCCGUAGGUCACUCAUGUGAGGAGAGUUGACCUUUUUUUGGGAUAAGACAAAGAUUAGUGAAGUUCCAUUCUUUAGGGAAAACACCCGAUUCAAAGAACUUGAGAACUUCCAUCGUGACAAGAUCACCAACAAUAUCCCAAUAGUUCUGAAAGAAAAGACCAGUCAUACCGUCUGGGCCAGGAGCACUAGAGGCUUUGAUCGAGAAAACAGCUCUUUUCACUUCUUCUUUAGAAACCAUACUGAUAAGACUGUCGUUCAUUCUAGAGUUGACUCUCGGCAUGAAAUCGGAGAAGAAUUCUAUCUGAUUUGAAGGAGCAGAUGAUGAGAAAAGAGUCUGGAAAUAGCUAGUCGCCACUUCACCCUUUGAAGCUUCAGAUCGAUGCAUGAUUCCAUUUAUAUCCAUAAGCUUAUCAAUACAAUUCCUUGACCUAUCAGACUUGACAGAAGCAUGGAAAAACUUGGAGUUUUUGUCACCAAGAUUCAGCCAUUUAUCUCUACUUUUCUGUUGCCAAAAACUUUCUUCUUCCUUGUAAGCCUCCACCAGACUUUUUUGAGAUUGAAGAGACGACAUGAAGAAGGAGAUGACGAGGAUUGUUCAAACUCCAGAUCAUCUUCAAUAGUUUUUAUUUUGAUCUGAGAAUUAGCAUCGUUGACUUUCUUCCAUUGACUGAGAGCUUUCCUGCAACUUCUUAAUCUCGAAGAGACACUAAGAUUAUGAGAGGAUGAGGGACCAAACCAAGCCGACUUUAUGGCUUCUUUGACAAAAGGUUUGUGGAGUAAUCUUUUUUCAAAUCUAAACGAACCCCGAUAAGACUCUUGAGAAGAGAAGAGAUGAACCAGGACCGGACGAUGAUCGGAUCCUCUUUUAGCCAAAAAAGCUUGAUUAGAAGCAGGGAAGAAAGAAGACCAGACUUUGUUGCCGAAACAUCUGUCAAGCUUACACUGAAUCCACAAGGUGCGUCUUCUGCCACCCCAGGUAAAGCUAUUCCCUGUACUUGGAAGUUCUCUCAUAUCACAAUCUUUCAACAUGUUGGAAAAAGUAAGGAAAGAAGAAUCACUCCUUCUUGGACCACCAUUUUUUUCCUCAUUGUUGAGAAUUUCAUUAAAGUCUCCAAGCAUACACCAUCCAGUUUUUCUUUGAAUCCCAAUACGAGUCAGCCUUUCCCACACUAGGUGUCUCAAACUCGCAUUUGGGUUUCCAUACACACACGUAACAAAGAAACUGCUUGAACCAAACUGUACAUACAUGUCCAGCACAUUCUUAUCUACAUACUUGAGAUCGAUAUCAACACCUUUUUUCCAGAAAAGAGCCAAACCCACCGGAUCAACCGUAUAUACAUGCUCAUAACCCAACCAAACUUGAAUAUCUACAAUGAUAUUUUUACAGUUUAUCGUUUCCAUAAGGAACAAGAUCUCAGGGAAGUGUUUUUUACGCAUCUCCAUGAGUCUGGGAAUCGUCAGAUCUUGAGGCCGCCCCAAUCCCUGGCAAUUCCAGCUUGAUAUGCUCAUAAAUCAGUGGACAGUUCCUCAUUUGGGACCAUCUCAUGUGUUUUUGACCUUGCGGCUUUGGAAACACUCUCCAGUUCACUAUCAGCUUUCCUUUUCUCCACUGAACCCUCUAAAGAACCCUUCUUUUUCUCCACAUCUUCGGCAAAAGAAUUCUCCAAUUUUCCUUUUAACUUCCUUCGAGAUUUUGGAGGCCUCUUUCUUGGUUUUGGUUUUUUCAUAGCAGUCCCGGAAGGACCAGCAACAGAGUGCCCGAUCCUAUAACCCGUUGAACUGUUGUGAAAAGGGACCGACUCAUCACCAAAAUCUGGGGAAGUAGAAUCGGUUUGAAGAGGAUUGGAGCCAUAAUUUCUCCUAGAGCUAGCAUCCGCUUGAAUUGCAGCAGACAUAAGCUUUUGACCUCGAGGCAUGAUCACUUCAGUUUUUGUAGUCGAGUCCUCAGAAUCAUAGCCAAAGACUGGACCUUUCCCUUUGUUGAGAUCACGAGUGAUAAUUGGAACAGGUUCUAGACGAAGCACCAUUUUCUGCGUGAUUAAAUUCUUUUCUGCCUCACAAACAGAAUUCUUCACACGAUCUUCUCUAACCUUACGAUCAUCACCAUUAGCAAUUAACAAAUAUUGUCUCAUGCCUUCUAGAACCUCAGCUGCAAUUCUUGGACGACCUGUUAAGGGAUUCAAGCCAACCUGGUUCUCACCAAGAACGCCAAAAAGAGGGUCAGAUUCCAACAGGACAGGCUUGGGGAUCUGUUUUUGGGGAGCAUGUCCAAGUCUUCUUUCAGCCGCCAAAGCUUGACGUUUCAUGAUCAAAAUAGGGCACACCUCACGCGCGUGAGUUAACCUUUGACAAGAAUAGCAUCUCUUCUGAAUUCUUUCAUAGAACUAGUGAACUGUGGUUGAGCCUCCCUUAGGCAGAUUGAUCACUUUCGACUGUCUAAGAGGUUUAGACACAUCAAAUUUAACUUUCACUCUCACAAACUCUUUGUUCUGCGCUUUAGUAGGAUCAAAUGCAAUUUCAGUAACAAGACCAACAAGAUCUCCUAAAGCAGUAAUCGCCUCCUCAGUGUAAUGAUUAAUAGGAAUGUUUCUGAUUUGCACCCAGAUCGGAACAAACUGCAGAGAUUCACUUGAAGGCUGCUCUUCCCAACGCUCUGUAGCAAGAGCCCAUUCAUUGAAAGUAUGGACACCUUUGUCCAAGAUUUCAUUUAGGUCAUGUUCAUACUUGAAGAAAAACUGGAAACGCUCUCUUGAUAGAGCCACACCUCUGACUCUAUCAUACUUUUGCCAUUUUCUAGGCAAAUCCAAAAUCAGGUUAGCCAUCUUUUGACAUUCUGGAUUAAGAAGACGACCUAUCAGGCUGAACUCAUUUUUAUCACUUGAACAGUAAGCUGGGGUAUCAGGAAGAUCGAAUGGAACUUCUUCUUCCUCUAGAGACAUGGCCAUCAGCGCCUUAUCCAUAGCAGAAGACAUGGUAACCGAAAAUAACUCUGAACCACAACCACAGGUAGAAAAUCUGAACGGCCCAAAGAAGAUAGACCACCCAAAGCAAGGAAACCACGAGAUGAAAACUUAAGCAGGAGAUGAGACGAAAUUUUUCUAGACCCAGCAAAUGAAGAACACGGAUGAACCCUAUAUUUCUUUAUAGAUCUGAAAAAAAGUGUUUGAAAAGGUGAAAAGCGGGAUGAAUAGUCAAAAGGGAAAGAAGUUUUUCCACACAAAAGCUCUAUUCUCGAAGAGAUGAGAUACUCUUACACAGAAAGAGAGUCCUAAGCCCAAAAAAGGGAAACAGAUAUUUUUUCUACUAUCUUCAUCUUCUAUCUGCACCACUUGAGAGCACUGAACUUUCUAUAAUAAGAUUCUAUUUUAAAAAAACUAUUAAAUGUGUAGAAGAAAACACCACCAAAUGAGAAGUUUUGACGAUGGGACUUGGGAGGUAAGAAAAGCAUAUAAGAGUCUCCAAGUGUCUGGUUAUACUUUUUUUUGCGAUCCAGUUUAUUCUUUUGUCCAACCUCAAGGGUAGAUGUUAAUUUGAUUUAAUUUUGUAUUGGGUCAGUUCAAUUAAUUUGUAUUUAAUAAAAUUCUAACUGAAUUUAAAUGAAGUUAAUUCGUGGUUUUUCUUCAGUUUGAUCUAUUUUUGGUUAAAAAUAAUAAAAAAGUCAAUAUGAAAAUAAGUCAUAACAAAAUAAAAGAGAAAAAAGAAAAAUUUUUUGGCACUUAUUUUAAAUUAUUGCGAUUUAAUAGAUACGACACAUUUAGUUAAGACAUAUAUGUCUAGGACACAAAAGAAAUAUUGAAAUGUUGUAGUGACUUCAUAACACUACUACAAAUAGAUAAAAUACUGGGAUGGUGUAUUGACUUGGCAAUACUGUUACAAAUCUCAGAUAUAUUCUAAAAGAUAUAGUGGAAUGGUGUGGUGACUUCAUAACACUACUACAGAUAAAUAAAAUACUGGGAUGGUGUACUGACUUGAAAACACUGUUACAAAUCUUAGAUAAAUUCUAAAAGAUAUAGUGGGAUGAUAUAUCAAUUUGUGACACUACUGUGUACAUCCUACCCAAGAUCCAGAAAUUCAUUGGGUUGACUCGGUUUAUUCCAGGUUGAUCUAGUUUGCCUCCUUUUCCUAUUUCAGCGUUUUAAACCUAAUUUUUUAAGUUAAGUUUAGUACUAACUUUGUCUCUCUUUCUUUUUUAAGGUUUUACUUAAAAGUUUGAUGCUAUCAUAACUUAAACACAGAGAGAUUAUAUACACACUUUAUUCUCAUAGUUUCACUUCUUUUUAUCAUUCCCCUUUAAUACAGUAAAGGCACUUAAAUCAAUAUAAAUUAAAGACACUAUUGUACUAUGUAAUCACUCAUUUUAUUUCACUCAUAAAAAGAAUUACAAAAUUAAUACAUCUUAGGAACUGAUGAUGAUCGACCUAUCAAAACCCAAUUGUAAAGAAAAUAUCUAUCUAGCAACUAAUGAGCAGACUAUUAAAUUCAUCAACUAAAUAAGAAAAGUAAAAUAACUAUUAAUCUUCUCUCUUCUAACAGCUUUCUCUGAUUAUGCAGUCUACGUCAGCAGUGAUCACUCCCUGGUAGCAGUUAAUUGGUCUUCAUCUUCCAGCUCAUGAUCUUCUUCUUAGGCACAUAGCUCUUGAGGUAUUAUAAAUACCCACAUCGAAAACAAGAAGCUUUUCUUCAAUCUUAAGUGUGAAAAUUGCUUGAUCAUAGGUGCAGCUCUCUCCCAUGUCCUCUCAUUAUCUAGAAGACCUGUCCAACUAAUUGAUGUUUCCAAAUGAUUAGCAAGAUCAGAGUGAGUAACUAAAACUGAUACCGGUUCAAUAAUGAGUUCAUCAUCAACUGAGAAGGACUGUGGAAGUGCAGAAACAUGAUGAUCUGUUCCUAAGACUUUUUCACUAUCAAGUAGACCGCCGAUGCAAAAGUUAAAUACCAUGAUAUAACCUUUAAAAAUUUUAGUACCACAAUAAUCACUUUUUGUUGAAACCUUACAAUGCAAAAUCAUAAAGUGACAAAUAGGUACUUGAACCUUUUUUUUUUCAUCCAAUACCAAACUUGUUUUUUCAUCAUGAUUCACCUUCUCUAACAUGUACAAAUAAGAAUACAACACCUUAAAACUUUAUUUUUUAGUACAACGCACUUCAUUAACAUCUUUUUUUCCUCUCAAUGUGGUAGAUUAAGAAUGCUGAUCUAGUAACUAAAUAAGAAUGCCCUGUCAACUAAAUCUUGCCAUGCCUGCUUAGUUCGAAAUUUUUGACAUAAUUCUCAUGCAUCACGUGGAAGUUCAACAUAUCCAGGCAUACACAAGAUAACCAGACUGUUAUCUACACCAUUAUCCACACUAUUAUCCACAUUGUCACGUGAUAUAUUUGUAACACAUCUAUCAACAACAUUCUUGAUCAAUUCAUGAUGUUGUUCUGUUGUUUUGUCAUCUUCUUAAAGAGUAACAAAACCAUCAUUAACUCUAGAAUUAUUUCUUCCACCUGAAAACAGAUCGCCAAAAUUCACACCAAAUAAAAUUUCUCAUUCUACUCUUAGAAGUUGCUUGCCCAACUUAAUGUUUUCCAAAUCUUUGGUGACCUCUACAUGCAAAACACUUCUACAUAGUUCCUUAUUCAUGGAGAUAAACAUAAACGUCCUCAUUAUUGAAAAUAUAUUAUUGUCUGUGAGGUUUCACUACCAAUGGAAUUAAAGUCACUUUCAGCUUUGUCUAAGAUAUAUAUAUGAUGUCGUAAAUGAUAUACUAUACAUGUGAUCUUCUAUUGAAAUCCAUCAAUUCUAUGAUCUUUGAAUAAUAUCCUUCAUAAUCAAAUAUAUGUUUGUGAAACUAUAGCUUAUUGUCUUAGGAAGAAUAGAAACUACUUUAGCACGUGUUAUCUUGAAUCAAUAAUAUUAUUUGUACCAAUUAUAACACUUCUCUAAGUAAUAUCAACUGUUACAGUUGUUUUUCUGCAAAUUAGGUGACUUCGGGCCACUGAUAUGUUCAUAAUUUGCAUCAUUUAGGUUGCACAAAUCAUUCCAAAUCAUGUUUUAUUUCAUGUAUUUUAGGUCCCUAGGGUUUGUUUUAGAACUUAGGAGAUGCAUUAGGUCCCAAUGAGUCUUUGCAUGUUUUGAGUGUCUAUCAGGUGAUUAUGGAGCUGAAAAGAUGAAUCCAGGAGGUGGAAUGGUGAGCAGAGCUUGAAAAAGUGGAAAACUUGAGUCUAUGGAGGUUAUCGGCCAUUCUCGCUGGCCAGGAAGGUUUUACCGGCCAUUUUCAUGUACUGCGGGAAGCUUUACCGGCCAUUUUCACGUACCGCGAAUUAAGUAUAUCGGCCAAAAUCUCCGGGUGCGAACGAGUCUCAGAAAUCACCUGUCCGGGGAGCCUUCCGGUCCGAUUCAGAUGGCGGGUCCUUCAUAGAAGUUGGAGAGCAUUGAAGCACGGUCUCAUAGCAAUUGGAAUCGUAGAAUUCGGACGCGUGAGCAGAGAGAUAAGCUCGUCGGAAGAAACCCCUGUCUCGCAGGUAUUCCGGACCGAGCAGAUCAGUUCUGAAGGAUGCGAAGGACGGUGCACUUCCAGGCCGAUUCAGCUUCCGGGUCCUUCAUGAGAAUCAGAGACAUUUGAGUUUUCUUUCCAGAACGUCCAAGAGCAUUCAAUUCGGAUCUAUGAGAAGGAAGAUACGGCCUCCGGAAUGGACACAUGUCUAGACGCCUCUCUCUGGUCGUAUACAUGCACUGCAAAGAUGUGCCCUCCAGGAAGCCUUCCACCUCCCAAGCACUGAAACUUCCUUCACAAAAGUUGGAGAUAAAUGAGUCCUCUGUCUUCUGCAACCGAAAUCAUUCAAUUCGGACAAGUAUCACAGGAGUUACACUCUCCGGAAUGCGAAGUGAUCUAAGCUGCUCUGGAUGCUGCGAGAUGGUCUUGCGACUUGGUUAACCCGCAGGCCUGAAGAUGAACACCUGAAUGCUGAUGCUGCGAGUUGAAAUGUGCGGGUAAACUAUCACUGGAAGAGGUCUGGAGCUCCCGAGCAAGAGAAAUGCUAAGUCCACAAUCGUGCGACUUAGGCAUGCGAGUCAUCCGCGCCUGGAUCUAUGCCGCACGAUCACUCGGAAUUCACUCCGACUCGAGCCUGCGACCUAAGUGCAAUAGAGACCAACCCGCACAGUUUCUACAUCCCCCAGAAACCGGCUCAGCCCUGCGAGUUGGAGAGGAAGGAGACCAUGCCGCAGAAACACUCGCAAUUUACUCCUAGAUAGGCGUGCGGCUCCGACAAGGUGAUUCAAGCCUCACAAGACAAGUCUUCAUCUACUGCGACUUAGGUGUGCGGCCUGGGACAUACUGAACCGACCCGCAGCUUUUCCCACUUUAUCCAUUAAAGCCGGGUCAGGACCCGGUUUGUUCCGGGCUGACCCGGUUCGUUUUUAAGAAGGUAUAAAUACUUUUUAGGGUUUUUUGGGGGAGAACUAAGUUUUAUUCCCUUUGUCUCUUGCCUUUUUGGUGAAAAGACUCCAUUAAGAAGAGAAAUAUCUUUAUUUGAGUGUUUAAUCAAGAGAGUUUAAGGAGAUCUGGGUGUUUAAAGCUGUUUUCUUUUGAAUCUAUCAUCUCCAUCUCCAUUUCUCAUCAUUAAUCAUGCUAAUCUACUCAACUUGCAAAAGUUUAAGAGAGAUUAGUAUGAUUAGUGAGUAGUCACCUUAAUGAGGUUCUAGAUGUGUAGGUUAGGGUGCUAAAGUGUUAGAUUAGGAGUGCUUAGGGCUAGAUUCAUUGAUUCAUCUCUCUAAACAGCUGUUCUCUAUGCUAAAUCCUUGAUAAUCACUUGAGAUCUAGAUUCUGGGAAUUUCAUGCACCAAAAGUGUUUGAUGAAAUUCCUGAAAGAGUUGUGUUAGAGGUUUAAGUAAUUUUUCAUCAUGGGAAUGAUUUGUUAAAUGCUUGAAUGAUCAUUAAGAGCUGUUUGUUAAUGCAUAUUGAUUCAUGUUUCACAAAUGGGAAUUUGGUUUGAAAAUGGAUUAGUAUAGGGGUUAAUACCUUCAUGAGAGGAUUAACCUAGAUUAGAGUUCUUAAUCAUUUGAAUCAUGUCUCAUCAUUGUCAUUAGCAUUUCUAGUUUAACACCAAGGCACCCUAACCAACUAUCAUGUCUAGAAUCUCAUGCCUCCAUCAUAUCAUAUUCACAUCAUUUGUCAUUGUCAUUUGUCUUUAAACCUGUUUAUGUUUAUAGUUGUCUCUAGAUUAAUCAAAACCUAUUCUUGUUUGCUUGAAUUAAGAACUUGAUCAUAUAGCUUAGUGUCUAACACCACAUCUGGAUUGAUAAACCUCUUUGUACUACAUUGACAAGGGGAUUGAUAGCCCUGAGACCCUUAAAAGUCAUAUCUAUCAAUUGGCGCCGUUGCCAAAUUGUGGUUUGAUUAGCAUUAAGCUCUGAUCUGUUCUUGAGAUCAAGUGCUUACUUUCUUGUUUUUACUGAUUCCUUUCAAGUUCUGUUUGUGAUUUCAGGUGUAUGAACACCAGGUCCAGAUCAAGAAGCUGCGGUCCUCCUUUUCCUCUAAACGACAACAUCAACCUUCUGGUACCAAGGAGGAGAAGAGACAGACGUGGUAGACAACUUGAUCAGACUGAGAUGGCCGACCAAGGAGAUCACGGGGUAGAUAUAGAACAACCAGUUCAGGAGCAACAGGCUCAAGGUCAGGGAGCUGGUAUUGGAAUUGGUCAGGGGUUUCACCAAGGCAAUGUUCAGCAGGAACAGGUGCACCACCAACAAGCCUAUGUCCACCAGGGACAAGCUCAGGCUCAUCAACAGAGGCAUCAGGCCAAUGUUCAACAAAGACACCAGGUGCACCACCAACCCCACCCUUUCCAACCACAACAAAGAAGAUAUGAGCAACCCCAAAUAUAUGUUGGCGAGAAUGACAGGGCCAAUGCUCAUCAGUAUGGGGCUGGUAUUCAGGCACCACCUGUGCAGAACAACAACUUUGAAGUGAAAGCAUCAUUGCUGAAUAUGGUCCAGAACUCAAAGUUCCAUGGGUUAGCAAUGGAAGAUCCCUUGGAACACUUGGACCAGUUUGAUAAGGUGUGUGAUCUGACCAAGAUUAAUGGAGUUUCAGAAGACAGCUUUAAGCUAAGACUAUUCCCAUUCAGUCUUGGUGACAAAGCUCAUCAAUGGGAGAAGAAUCUUCCAAGAGGCUCCAUUCAAACCUGGGAGCAAUGCAAGCAAGCCUUCUUAUCUAAGUUCUUCUCCACCUCAAGAACUGCAAAACUGAGAAACCAAAUCUCUAGCUUCACUCAGCACAGCAAUGAAAGUUUUGGUGAAGCAUAUGAGAGAUUCAGGAGCUACACAAACCAAUGCCCACACCAUGGGUUUAGUGAGGCUUCUCUUCUCAGCACACUGUAUAGGGGAGCUCUUCCCAAGAUUAGAAACCAGCUGGAUACUGCUUCCAAUGGGAACUUUCUGGGUAAAGAGAUUCAUGCUGCUUUAGAGCUAGUGGAGAACUUAGCAUUGAGCAAUGAUACUUAUGGUGAAGACUAUGACAGAUCAAAUAGGUAUGAAGGUUCAAGCUCAGAACAGAGGCUCACCAGAGAAGUUAAGGAGUUGAGGAGUGAAUUGGACAAGCUGAAAUUCACCACUCAGAAGCCAAUGCAUUUUGUUGGAGAGUAUGAGGAACCUUCUCAAAUUUUUGAGAACAUAAGUGAAGAAGGUCUUACCCAAGAGGAGCUCAACUACAUUGGGAAUCAGAGGUUCCAAAGAUAUCAGUAUGGUAAUGCCAAUCCAAACCUCUCUUACAGGAACACCAAUGUAGCUAACCCACAAGACCAGGUCUAUCCCAAUUCUCAAGCUCCAAAGAACUUUGUUCCCAAGCACAACUUUCAAGGGUCAUUCCAACCCAAGAAUCAAUUUGGUCAGAAUCAGAGUUUUGGUCAGCAACAGCAACCAUUUCAGGGCACUGGUUACACUUCACAGCAGCCAAAGGCACCACCAGGGUUUGGUCCACCACAGUUCCAACAGCAGGCGCCGGUUCAACAACAGUUUCAGCCACCAAUGGUUCAACAGCAGCCACAGAUGGGUACAGAUAUGGUUGGUAUUCUGCAACAACUACUUCAGGGUCAACAGACUAUGCAGCAGGAAAUCAAGGAACUGAAGCAAAACCAGGCAUCAAGCUCAAGGAACCAAGGUCACCUACCUGGAAAACCAGAACCCAACCCCAAGGAAUAUGCCAAGGCCAUAACACUGAGGAGUGGCAAGGAGUUACCUGGUAUUGAGAACAACAAUGUGAUCAUUGAGGACAAUGAUCAACCUGAGGGGGAGGCAGCCUUAAAGGAUGAUCAAGUUGCUGAGAAACCAAGGUCAGAAAAGGGUAAAGAGGUAGCAAAGGAACCAGAACCAGAGAAGAAGUAUGUGCCACCACCUCCAUACCAACCCAAGCUCCCAUUUCCAGGGAGAUUUAAGAAGCAACUAGUGGACAAGGCAAGAGCUGUAUUUGAGAAGGCACUCAAAGAGACACCACUCACAAUGCCUCUCAUUGAUGCAUUCUUAAUGAUGCCAAAGAUGGGGAAGUUUUUGAAGGAUGCUAUUCUGAACAAGACAAAAGAGCUUCAAGGCAUGGUAGUACUAAGUCAUGAAUGCAGUGCUAUCAUUCAAAGGAAGUCCAUUCCAAGGAAGUUAACUGAUCCAGGGAGCUUCACACUCCCCUGUGCCAUUGGACCUCUUCUAUUCUCUGGAUGUCUUUGUGAUUUAGGAGCAUCAGUCAGCUUGAUGCCAUUCUCCAUAGCACAGAAGCUGGGCUUUAGAGUUUUCAAACCUUCAAAGAUUUCUCUUAUCCUUGCAGAUAGAUCAGUUAGAUUGCCUGUUGGUAUGUUGGAAGAUCUACCUGUCAAGAUAGGUGGUUUUGAGGUUCCAACAGAUUUUGUUGUGCUGGAGAUGGAUGAAGAGCCAGUAGAUCCUCUUAUCUUGGGCAGACCAUUCUUAGCCACUGCAGGAGCUAUUAUUGAUGUGAGAGGUGGGAUAAUAGAGCUUCAACUUGGGUCUGAAAAGCUCAAGUUUGAUGUGAAUGAGAUGAUGAAGAAGCCCACCAUUGAAGGUCAAUGUUUCUAUGUAGAGACAAUGGAUCAGUUGGCUGAUGAGUUGCUUGAGGAGCUGAACACAGAGGAUCCUCUUCAAGCUACUCUGACUCAAGAACAAGGAGACAAUGGGCUCUUGGCUGAAGCAAGUGAAGGGUAUAAGCUGUAUCUGGACAAUGCAAGAGAGCUGGGUCCUGAAACAAGGUUUGUGGAGCUGGAACAGAAUGGCACUGAGGUUUUUGCAAUCCAAGAAUCAGUCACCAGCCAAAGCAGCUUGGACCAGGACUGGAAUGAGGCUGAUGCACCCUCUGUUGAGCUCAAACCUCUACCAACAGGGCUCAGGUAUGCUUUCUUAGGACUAAACUCCACAUAUCCUGUCAUCAUCAAUGAUAGCCUAUUAGAGGACCAAGAGAGUGCAUUGCUGAAUGAAAUAAGAAAGUUCAGGAGAGCCAUAGGGUAUUCUUUGGCUGAUAUUAGAGGGAUCUCUCCUGACAUCUGCACCCAUAGGAUCCACCUAGAGGACCAAUCUAUGUCCUCUAUUGAGCACCAACGUAGACUUAACCCCAACCUUAGGGAAGUGGUUAAGAAGGAGAUACUAAAGCUUCUUGAGGCAGGGAUAAUUUACCCAAUCUCUGACUCAAGAUGGGUAUCUCCUGUUCAUGUUGUGCCCAAGAAAGGUGGGAUCACGGUGGUGAAAAACGAUAAGGAUGAACUCAUAGCUCAAAGAACCAUAACUGGCCACCGCAUGUGCAUUGACUAUAGGAAAUUGAAUUCUGCUUCUAGAAAAGAUCAUUUUCCUUUACCAUUCAUUGAUCAAAUGCUUGAGAGGUUAGCUAAUCAUCCUUAUUUUUGUUUUCUCGAUGGGUACUCUGGAUUUUUCCAAAUUCCCAUAGAUCCAAGAGAUCAAGAGAAAACAACAUUCACAUGCCCUUAUGGCACUUAUGCUUAUAGGAGAAUGCCUUUCGGUUUAUGUAAUGCACCGGCUACUUUUCAAAGGUGUAUGAUGCACAUUUUCUCUGACAUUAUUGAAGAGAAAGUUGAGGUGUUCAUGGAUGACUUUAGUGUCUAUGGCUCCUCCUUCUCGGAUUGUCUCUCUAAUUUGACACAGGUGUUGGAGAGAUGUGAGCAACACAGCUUGGUGCUGAACUGGGAGAAGUGUCAUUUCAUGGUGCAAGAAGGGAUAGUUCUUGGGCACAAGAUCUCUGAAAAGGGCAUUGAGGUUGAUAAGGCAAAGGUGGAGGUUAUGGUGAAUCUGCAAACCCCCACUUCAGUUAAAGGGAUAAGGAGCUUCCUGGGUCAUGCAGGGUUUUAUAGAAGAUUCAUAAAGGACUUCUCAAGGAUUGCCAGGCCCUUAACAAGACUGUUGUGCAAGGAGGUGGAUUUCAUCUUUGAUGUUGAAUGUGAAGAAGCCUUUAAGUUGAUCAAGGAGGCAUUGGUUAGUGCACCAAUAGUUCAGGCACCAGACUGGUCCCUACCUUUUGAGGUCAUGACAGAUGCUUCUGACUUUGCUGUUGGAGCAGUACUUGGACAAAAGAAAGACAAGAAGUUGCAUGUGAUCUACUAUGCCAGUAGAACACUUGACUCUGCCCAAGAGAAGUAUGCUACAACUGAAAAGGAAAUGCUGGCAAUAGUUUUUGCCUUUGAUAAGUUCAGAAGCUACCUGGUGGGAUCAAAGGUCAUUGUGUAUACUGAUCAUGCAGCCCUCAGGUACUUGAUGACCAAGAAAGAUGCCAAACCAAGGCUGUUGAGAUGGGUUCUAUUGCUCCAAGAGUUUGAUAUGGAGGUGCUUGAUAAAAAGGGGAUUGAGAAUGGUGCUGCAGACCAUCUCUCAAGGCUGAGGAUUGAAGAAAAAGUCCCCAUAGAUGAUGCUUUGCCUGAAGAGUCUCUGAUGGUGCUCCAUUCAUACUUGGAGUUUGAGGAAGUAGAGAGCAUUCAAGAAAGGAGGAUGCCUUGGUUUGCAGAUAUAGUGAACUAUCUUGCAUGUGGGGUGGAGCCCCCUGAAUUGGAUGCUUACAAGAGAAAAAAAUUCUUCAGAGAUGUCCAGAGAUACUAUUGGGAUGAGCCCUACCUCUAUGUUCUGAACAAGGAUCAGUUAUACAGAAGAUGUCUUGCUGAAGAGGAGAUGCAACCUGUGUUGCAGGAAUGUCAUGGUUCUGCUUUUGGAGGUCACAUGGGGGCAUUCAAAACUGUAGCAAAGGUUCUUCAAAGUGGGUUCUGGUGGCCUACAAUGUUCAAAGAUGCCCAAUUGGUGGUUUCAGCUUGUGAUGCCUGUCAGAGGCAUGGAAAUAUAUCUAAAAGAAGUGAGAUGCCUCAGAACCCCAUUCUAGAAGUGGAGAUCUUUGAUUGUUGGGGGAUUGACUUUAUGGGACCUUUUAUUUCAUCCUUUGGAAAUCAAUACAUACUUGUUGCUGUGGACUAUGUGUCCAAAUGGGUUGAGGCCAUUGCUUCCCCUACCAAUGACUCCAAGGUUGUAGUCAAGCUGUUUAAGAGCAUCAUAUUUCCAAGGUUUGGAGUUCCAAGGGUUGUCAUUUCUGAUGGAGGAUCCCACUUUUUGAACAAGACUCUGGAAGGUUUAUUGAGAAAGCAUGGAGUUAAACACAAGAUAGCUACUCCAUAUCAUCCCCAAACUAGUGGCCAAGUGGAGGUAUCUAAUAGACAAAUCAAGGCCAUUCUGGAAAGGACUGUCAGCUCAACCAGAAAAGAUUGGAGCAAAAGGCUGGAUGAUGCAUUAUGGGCUUACAGGACUGCCUUUAAAACUCCAAUUGGAACAUCACCAUUCAGUCUGCUAUAUGGGAAGAGCUGCCACCUUCCUGUGGAGUUGGAGUACAAAGCUAUGUGGGCUGUGAAGUUUCUAAACUUUGAUAUCAAAACAGCUCAGGAGAAAAGAAUCAUGCAACUCCAUGAGCUUGAGGAGAUUAGGCUUGAGGCUUUUGAAAGCUCAAAGAUCUAUAAGGAGAAGACCAAAGUCCUGCAUGACCAAAAGAUUUUAAAGAGAGAGUUCAAGUGUGGUGAUUUGGUCUUGCUUUUCAACUCCAGACUUAAGUUGUUUCCAGGAAAGCUUAAGUCUAGGUGGUCUGGACCUUUCAAAGUUCUUGAAGUGAGGCCUUAUGGUGCCAUUGUCUUGGAAGGAAAAAAUGGUCAGGAAUUUGUGGUGAAUGGACAGAGAGUCAAGCAUUACUUAGUUUCACAAGGGAAAGAGGAAGCUACAUCAGUUCCUCUCUGAUCACCAGCUGUUAACCAGUUCUCAAAGUCAAACUUAGAGACUUUAAACAAAGUGCUCUUGGGGAGACACCCCAAGCUUAUCUUUNNNNNNNNNNNNNNNNNNNNNNNNNNNNNNNNNNNNNNNNNNNNNNNNNNNNNNNNNNNNNNNNNNNNNNNNNNNNNNNNNNNNNNNNNNNNNNNNNNNNCGAGUUUGCAACUAUCUCUCACUUUUCUCUCCAUGUUUUCACCAUAUCUCUCUCAUUCUCCACCAAAAUUGUUGAUUCAAAGUGCUCUGAGCUCGUUUUGAGUUGCUAACAUCAUCCUGAUUGCAUUUCGAACUUGUUGCAUCUUAAUCCCAAGGUAUUUCGCCCUGUUGAAACUCAUCUCUUUCCAUGUUCUUCAAUGGUGAUUUUUUUUUUUUUUUUGAACUUUAAAGUGUGGAAUCGAUUUUGAUAGGUUGUUUUAGACCUUGGGAUUAUUUUUAUAAAUGCUAGGGUGCUAGAUAGUCUUGGAAAACAGAGCACUUUGUUUGUAAUUACCUGUUCUUGAAUUUUGAAAAUUGUUGCAACAAUUUUUUUCAAAAUUUUGAGACUUUUGUGAGGUUCAUCCUUGUACUAACAAUAUUUUUGAGAAUCUCUUGGCAGAUGACUGAAAGAACCAACUCUUUGGCCAAGAAGAAGGGCCCUGCAUCAAAAGGCAAAGGUUUGGUCUCAGGAACUUCAAAGCCAAGAAACAAAGGUCAGGGUGCAAAGAAUACUACAAAGCAAGGAAAGUGUGAUCCAGCGCCAAAAAGGACAAGGCCUGAAGGAAGAGCUUUGGUGGUUGCUUCUGGUUCCAAGAAAAAGGGGAAACAGUUGGCUGUGGUAUCUGAGAGUGAACAGACUGAAAGUGACUCCGGCAGCUCAGCUGGUGGUUCCCAAGGCACCAAUGAAGAGGGAUCAAAGAAGUUCAAGAAAACUGAACCAGAAACACCUGAUUAUCUGGCUAAGUUUCAGCAGAUAGAGAUCCAGCAAGGGAGAUUCCCUGAUUUGGACUUUCUGAAGAAGAUUGGCCUCUAUGAAGAUGUCAAGACUUUGCUUGGGAACAUGGGUGUUGAGUCACUUUUGGAGAUGAGAGAAAUCGCUUAUGAGCAAGAGUCCCAAGAGUUCUUGGCCUCCUUUGAAGCUUUCAUUUACUACCCAAGGGAUUCAAGAAUCAUUCAAGGAGAUGGGCUUGGACAUGUGGAGUUUACUGUGAAAGGGAAGGAAUAUUCAGUGUCAUUCAGAGAAUUGAGUAAGAUCUUUGAGUUUUCAACACCUAGAAAUGAAUUUCUCUCCAACUCGGUCAAUCUCAGAAAAGAUGAGAUCCAACUUCUAUGGAGAUCAAUUGCUUCUGGGAAGUACACAGCUGGAACAGCUAAGGCCUCUUGGAUAAGGAAUCCAGUUCUGAGAUAUGUACACAAGGUUCUCUCUCACAGCUUCUACUUCAAGAUUGAUGUUGGAAGAGUUCACAAAGGAGAUCUGCUGCUUCUGGGUGUAGGGCUGAGGCCGCUGAUGCCAACACAUGAAGAUGGGGAACCCUAUGUAGGGUAUGAAUACCCACUUUGCCUUGCAUCUCAAUUAGCAAGGUCUUUGAUGUUCUACAAAAAGUGCAUGUGGGAUUCUACAAACAAAGAUGCAAAGCUGACCCAUGGAUGGGUGGUAACAAAGAUCUUGAAAGCCAUGGGGUAUAGAUUCAAGGAGAACAAGGCAAAGUUUGAUCUGAUUAAUGAAGCACAUUUGUGUAGGAUUGGCUUUCUCCAAGGAAGAGUGGGUACCAAGGCAGUCUACAACUUCAAGACACUCAUCAGUGAGCCAGCCCAAGUUCUCCUACCCAAUCCCUCCAUCACCACAGUCCAAGUUAAAAGGAACAUUCACUUCUUCUUGCUGAAGGAAGAGCUGUACAAUGUCCAAACUGAUCCACCAAUCCUCACAUACAGGCAAGCUUGCAGAGAAGAAGCCUCCAAGGGAAAGAAAGCAACCGCUGAAGAUGCUACCACAAGUGCAGCUGGUGCUCACGAUGCUGAUCUGCCUCCACCUCAAAAACGUUUUGGUGGAAACAGAUAUCACUUUGAUGAUUACAACUGGGAGGAACCAGGCACUUCAGGGUUCAGAGCUCAACAGAAGAUUGGUAUUCUCCAACAAUGGUGCAAGUACCAAGACAAAACCAUCCACAAGAUGGCCAAGUGCAUCAAGGAGAUGAAGAAGAGGAUCAAGAAGCUUGAAAACCCUUGCAAAGGUGGGGCUCCAGCACCAGUUUCACCAAGAAACAGAGAGGAAGUUGGGGAGAGUUCCAUGAACUGCACAGCCUUGGUCGCAUAUGGAACCACUUGGGUAGAUCUUGACGACGGGAGUGAUGAAGCCAGCCACCAUUCUUGGGAAACACCGUCAGGCCACACAUCGAACCCCUCCUACUCAUUGGGGUCUGAUUUCAACAGCCACUAGGUAACACUCAAAACCUUGUAAAUAGCAUGUAGACUUUUUUUUUUCCUUUUGCAUUUUGCUUGUUUGCUUUGGUUUCACUUCUUUCUCAUACUUUUAUAACACAAGGGACUGUGUUAUUUAAGUGUGGGGGAGGAGUUUCAUCCUUUACUAACCAUGUUUUCUAUUUUCUCAUUUUACACUUUGAGUCUUGAGUCACAUUCUAGUUGCAUAGUCAUCUAAGUGCAUAUAAAAACCAAAAAAAAAAAAAUGGAAAAAUCUGAAAAAUUUUCACAAAAAAAUGAUCAUGUAGUUGCAUUCUCAUUUUUAAGAUUGAGUCUAGAUUGCAUUUGCAUAUAGGUUGCAUCUUGCAAGGAGUAAUGAUAGGUUUUCUAGAGAGUACAUCACUUUGAGAACUUGAAUUGAAUAUGCUUGUGAAUCUUUUUCUAUGCUUGCAAAGUCUGAAAUGAUUUGAAUCUGAGAAGCAAGUUUGAAUUGAACUCAACUCUAAUUAAGUGGAAACCUUGAACUUGACCUGAAAAUAUCUUGUGAUGCAUUGUUUGAAAAAGCUUGUGGAUACCAAUAUACAUACUUGAGCUAGAACCACUGUUUUUACCACUCUUUUCCUUAGCUCAAGUAGCUGAAUCCACAUCAUGGAUCAGUUCCCACACCUUGAACCCAUCCUUCUUUUAAGCCAAUGUUUGUGUGUGAAUUGAAAGGCCACCUUGGAUCAAACUUAGCAGAAAGUGUUAGGUUUAGAGCGACAAGGGCAGGUCUCAUUGAGUGCUGUGUUCCAACAUCAAGGAACUGAGAGUUUUGGCGAGGAAUAAGUGUGGGGGAAAAGACUUUUUGGUGAGUGGAAAAAGGUGAGAUGAGUGGAAAGAGAGAGUGAAAAUAACUAGGGGAAUGAAAGAAAAAGAAGUCAGUCUUGGUGUUUUGAGAAAGUGAGCUCUGGUUUGUUGAAAAGAAAAAUCUAGCCUCUAAGUGAAAAAGAAAGAAAAGAAGCCAAAAGCUCAAAUGUUUUGAUAAGAAAGAAAGAAGAGGCUAGAAGUUGUAAAAGAAAAAGAGCUGUGUAAAGUUUGAGUUCCAAGACUUGAGAGUGAAAGUGAAGAACAAAUCCCCUAGUGAGAGAAAAAUGAGUGUGAAAAGUGAGGUCUUUGAGCAAGAGAGGAAGCUUUGAGUAGAGGGUGGGGAGUGAUGAGUCUUUGCCCUUGUAUGCAUAGGUUGCUUUUUACCUUUAGCAUUCUGCCAAAGUUUGAUCAUUCAUAGAGAGAUCCCUUUGCUGCAUUUAACCCACUUGAACACUGAUGAGAUCAUUUUAAUCUCAUAGCCUCUCCCUAGCCAAGCCAGCUUGUUUAAACCUUGCAUCAUGAGAUCCACCUGAUAAAAGCUUAAUGAAUGUGAAAGAGUUGAGAGAGAGAAGAACUUGUGGAGAUUCCUUGCUGAGUUGACAUAUAUCUGAGUAUGGCUUUGCAUUGCAUAAUUGAGCAUGAACUUGAAUUCUCAUUGUGAUCACUUCUCUCAAAAAGAAAAUGUGAACUCCCAUUGCAUACAACCUCUUUCUCUCAUUUGCUCUUUUUGCUUGAGGACAAGCAAAGGACAAGUGUGGGGGAGUUGAUAUGUUCAUAAUUUGCAUCAUUUAGGUUGCAUAAAUCAUUCCAAAUCAUGUUUUAUUUCAUGUAUUUUAGGUCCCUAGGGUUUGUUUUAGAACUUAGGAGAUGCAUUAGGUCCCAAUGAGUCUUUGCAUGUUUUGAGUGUCUAUCAGGUGAUUAUGGAGCUGAAAAGAUGAAUCCAGGAGGUGGAAUGGUGAGCAGAGCUUGAAAAAGUGGAAAACUUGAGUCUAUGGAGGUUAUCGGCCAUUCUCGCUGGCCAGGAAGGUUUUACCGGCCAUUUUCAUGUACUGCGGGAAGCUUUACCGGCCAUUUUCACGUACCGCGAAUUAAGUAUAUCGGCCAAAAUCUCCGGGUGCGAACGAGUCUCAGAAAUCACCUGUCCGGGGAGCCUUCCGGUCCGAUUCAGAUGGCGGGUCCUUCAUAGAAGUUGGAGAGCAUUGAAGCACGGUCUCAUAGCAAUUGGAAUCGUAGAAUUCGGACGCGUGAGCAGAGAGAUAAGCUCGUCGGAAGAAACCCCUGUCUCGCAGGUAUUCCGGACCGAGCAGAUCAGUUCUGAAGGAUGCGAAGGACGGUGCACUUCCAGGCCGAUUCAGCUUCCGGGUCCUUCAUGAGAAUCAGAGACAUUUGAGUUUUCUUUCCAGAACGUCCAAGAGCAUUCAAUUCGGAUCUAUGAGCAGGAAGAUACGGCCUCCGGAAUGGACACAUGUCUAGACGCCUCUCUCUGGUCGUAUACAUGCACUGCAAAGAUGUGCCCUCCAGGAAGCCUUCCACCUCCCAAGCACUGAAACUUCCUUCACAAAAGUUGGAGAUAAAUGAGUCCUCUGUCUUCUGCAACCGAAAUCAUUCAAUUCGGACAAGUAUCACAGGAGUUACACUCUCCGGAAUGCGAAGUGAUCUAAGCUGCUCUGGAUGCUGCGAGAUGGUCUUGCGACUUGGUUAACCCGCAGGCCUGAAGAUGAACACCUGAAUGCUGAUGCUGCGAGUUGAAAUGUGCGGGUAAACUAUCACUGGAAGAGGUCUGGAGCUCCCGAGCAAGAGAAAUGCUAAGUCCACAAUCGUGCGACUUAGGCAUGCGAGUCAUCCGCGCCUGGAUCUAUGCCGCACGAUCACUCGGAAUUCACUCCGACUUGAGCCUGCGACCUAAGUGCAAUAGAGACCAACCCGCACAGUUUCUACAUCCCCCAGAAACCGGCUCAGCCCUGCGAGUUGGAGAGGAAGGAGACCAUGCCGCAGAAACACUCGCAAUUUACUCCUAGAUAGGCGUGCGGCUCCGACAAGGUGAUUCAAGCCUCACAAGACAAGUCUUCAUCUACUGCGACUUAGGUGUGCGGCCUGGGACAUACUGAACCGACCCGCAGCUUUUCCCACUUUAUCCAUUAAAGCCGGGUCAGGACCCGGUUUGUUCCGGGCUGACCCGGUUCGUUUUUAAGAAGGUAUAAAUACUUUUUAGGGUUUUUUGGGGGAGAACUAAGUUUUAUUCCCUUUGUCUCUUGCCUUUUUGGUGAAAAGACUCCAUUAAGAAGAGAAAUAUCUUUAUUUGAGUGUUUAAUCAAGAGAGUUUAAGGAGAUCUGGGUGUUUAAAGCUGUUUUCUUUUGAAUCUAUCAUCUCCAUCUCCAUUUCUCAUCAUUAAUCAUGCUAAUCUACUCAACUUGCAAAAGUUUAAGAGAGAUUAGUAUGAUUAGUGAGUAGUCACCUUAAUGAGGUUCUAGAUGUGUAGGUUAGGGUGCUAAAGUGUUAGAUUAGGAGUGCUUAGGGCUAGAUUCAUUGAUUCAUCUCUCUAAACAGCUGUUCUCUAUGCUAAAUCCUUGAUAAUCACUUGAGAUCUAGAUUCUGGGAAUUUCAUGCACCAAAAGUGUUUGAUGAAAUUCCUGAAAGAGUUGUGUUAGAGGUUUAAGUAAUUUUUCAUCAUGGGAAUGAUUUGUUAAAUGCUUGAAUGAUCAUUAAGAGCUGUUUGUUAAUGCAUAUUGAUUCAUGUUUCACAAAUGGGAAUUUGGUUUGAAAAUGGAUUAGUAUAGGGGUUAAUACCUUCAUGAGAGGAUUAACCUAGAUUAGAGUUCUUAAUCAUUUGAAUCAUGUCUCAUCAUUGUCAUUAGCAUUUCUAGUUUAACACCAAGGCACCCUAACCAACUAUCAUGUCUAGAAUCUCAUGCCUCCAUCAUAUCAUAUUCACAUCAUUUGUCAUUGUCAUUUGUCUUUAAACCUGUUUAUGUUUAUAGUUGUCUCUAGAUUAAUCAAAACCUAUUCUUGUUUGCUUGAAUUAAGAACUUGAUCAUAUAGCUUAGUGUCUAACACCACAUCUGGAUUGAUAAACCUCUUUGUACUACAUUGACAAGGGGAUUGAUAGCCCUGAGACCCUUAAAAGUCUUAUCUAUCAUCCAUCUAACAUUUUACUUUCGUUUUAUGAAUAAGUUCUCUUUCCCUUAGCUGUUUUAGGAUUUGAUGUACUUAAUCGAUCAAGAAAACAUGGUCACCAUUCCAAUGUUCAUUAAUUACCAACAUCAAAAGAAUAAUAUUGCAAAUCUAAUUGAAAUCUUCAAAAUGUGAAUACAAAAUGGUUUCUACAUAAAAAUAUAAGGCCGGAAUAAUAUGAUAUACCUUUACAUAAUCAUUAAAUGGUUUUUUUAAAUUACGUGUUUUCUUUCGAGAUUAUUGCUCCCUUGCCAACAUCAAUGAUGACGUUUAUUCCACGUCAAAUAUGACAUGGCAAAGGCGCUAGCUCUGCACAAUUUCAUUGGAUGCUAAUGCUGAUGUGUAAUUUUUGUCCAAGUUUUUCUGAUUUAAAAAAACAAAAAAAAAGUGAAAAUCAUAAACGGAUAAACAUGCGGAUCUUUAUACCCGAUCUAGCCCAAUUAUCUGUAUUUUAAAAACAUCCUUUGGCCCAAUAAUUCAUACAUUCCCAUUUUUAAAAUUUUUGAAAUUAUGGUUUUUAAAAACUUUCCGCGUAAGAAAAUAGAAAUUUUUCCCAAAAUGGAAGAUUACAUUAACUAUUAGCAAGAUUUACCGGAGUUAAUGUAACAAUAUAUACAGAAAUUUUAAUAUUUCAAAAAGAAACACGAAUUUAUCUUACAUUUUAAUACUAUACGUCAAUUUUGGCAAUUAAAUCAAUUUGAAUAUAUUGAUUCUCAAAUAUUUCCGCAACAAUAUCUACUUCUACGCACAUUCCGAAUAUCCAUAUUCUUCAUUUCAUUCUUUUUUUUCAAAAUAAUUUAAAUCCCGCCUAACAUCAAUUUUAAAAAGUUCUCAUUGACUUCCUCUCCCUAUAUACCUAUCCUAAACCCUAAAACUCUACAAUUCUCAUUCACAAAAAUGGCUUUAGUCCGCAAACGUUCGGCUGCUCUAGUUCCAUUUGCCAAAUUAGGUCAAUCAAGUGAAAUUCAGAAAAUUAGAGCUAUUAUAUUUUUACUUUGGAAAGUCAAGAACAGGCAGUCUGGCUUUGUUAUAUAUAGAAAUGAUAUUGGUUGACAAAGAAGUUUGUAUGCGAUCUUAUGCAUUUUGUUUAUUGUUAUUUUAAUCAAUCUAUAGAUUAUAUAGUAAUACUAUUUGUGUGAUUCACAGGGCACUAGGAUUCACGCUACGUUGAUGAAGAAUUGAUCGCAAAAGAUAAAUGCAUCCUUAUAGAAGGAAAAUCACUUUCUAUUAAUUGCUUCAUCAUUAAAGAAUACUAUAGUGAUUUUAGGACUACUCCAUUACCAUACAAGAUUGCUUUGUGCAGAACAACCCGUGCUAAGGAGAUCAAUGAUUUUCCAUCAGACUUGCCAGAGAAAUAUUUUUCUGAUUUCAAGUCAAUCAAGGAAGACAAACUCGACAAAAACGUCCUAAUCGGUAUGUCAUCAUCGCGAUAUUGAAAAUUAUAUUCUAAUGUACAUAUUUAUCAUUGUAUACAAAUAUUUUGUCUUCAAGAUGUCAUUGGACAAAUUGUCACCAUUGGGAGUAUGGAAGUUAUAAAAACUAAAGUAAAAAGUGGGAUCAGCGAGAAAUUGAUGAUAACACUCCGGGACACCAAGUAAGUAGUUAUGAUAUCAUACCAAAAUAAACAUAACAAUAUUUUAACAAUGGAACGCUAAUAUGUUUAUUGCUGAAGUGAUGUCCAACUGAAAUGUACACUAUGGGGACAAUAUGCAAAAGCAACUGUUGAGUACACUGACAAGCAUAUGGCUGUUAUUGUUGUGUGUGUAAUGCGAUUUUUCUGUAUAAAAGAGUACAAAGGUUAGAUCACUAUAUCCCCUAUUCAUAUAUACACAGUUUUGUAGAGAUUGGUAUUGGAUUAGAUUGUUAAUUAUUCUUAUUUUAUGUUUUUCGAGUAUAGGUGACAAUUCAAUAUCAAACGCUUUCAACUCCACCAAAAUUUUGUUUGAUCCUGACGUCAAGAUCGUGAAAGACUUCAGAGAAAAGUAUGUUAUGUGACAAUUUUAAUAUCAUUUUAACAUUGUUUUAUUUAUAUAGUUAUUGUUUACAGUUUUGUAGGUUGCUAAAAAACAAUCAAAUGAUUGUGCAUGCUGAACAGAGUUAUUCGACUUCUUGGGGUGGUGCUAUUGACUACCGUGAAUAAUUUUUAGGUGUGAAAAAUAGGAGGCGGACGAUAGCUGGAAUUCGUGAUAAAAAAGUGGCAUGAGCUAUAUUUUAUUCAUGGUACAAAUAUAUUUAUAUUUCACUAUAUACAUAUUAAUGGUUUUGUUAUAACCUGGCAAGAUUUUAACAUGCGUAAUGGUCAAAGACGUUGACACUUCAAAGCUGUGGUAUUAUUGGGCAUGCAAACCUUGCAUCAUCAAAGUUUUAGAGCAUGACAUUAUGUCUGAUGAUGAAGAUUACGAUAAGAGGAUUCCUCUUUUCAGUUGCAAAAAUUGUGGAUAUAUCUAUUCAUAUGAUACCAUCGUCGCAAGGUAAUACAAUGAUUUGUCCCAUAAAGUCAAGAAAACAUUACUUAUUUCAUUAAGACUUUCUUUGGUAUGAUAUAUAGCAGAUAUAGCAGAAUUAUUUCAUGUAGACUUUCUCUGAUUGACUGGCUAAAUGUUCGCCUUAUUUUAUUACAUUGAUUUGUCCCAUCAUACAUUUAUUCCAACAUUACAUUACAUGUUUAUUCAUGUAACGUUUAAAUAACUCACUCUUCUGUUUCCUUUCAAACUAUGUAGGUACUAUAUUGUAUUAUUUGUAACUGAUGAUUCAGACGUCGAUGUCCGCUUCCUGAUGUUUGAUGACACUGCUCAAAGAUUGUUGGGUCAUUCAGCUGAGUCUAUAAUGGAACAAAAUGAUGAGGUUAUUCGUUAAAUAAUUGUAUACAUUAUGCAUUAUUUACAUUUUCUGAAAUAAUAUUAAUCCAUUAUAUAUAAUGAUGCGCAGGAUUUACCAAGAGGGCUCCCUGAUGGCUUGACAAAGCUCCUAACCAUGAGGAUGCUUUUCAAAAUAACAGUUUCAGAAGAGCAUACAAAAGGAAGCCAGUCUCCGUAUGUAGUAGAAUGGUCUCAAGAUGUCGAAAUUAUGACUGAGUGGGAUUCUCGAUCAGUGGUAAUAUAUAGGAUAAAUUUUACAAACUUCUCAAGCUCGCUUAUCUGAUCGUUUAGUUAAAUUAAGACGUCAACAAUGUUUUAUAUUUUCAGCAACCGUUGAUGCUUACGAGUUCUGACGAACUUGAGAAUCCAUCGUCUGGAUCUUUACUCAUUCCUUCAUCUAAGAAGCUAAUUAAGAGUCCUGACUAUUUUGAUGAAGGUGAAAGAUCUGUUAACAAAAAGCGACCGAAGCAAGAGAUCCCGAUGAAGUUAUGAAGAAGCAAAAAAUCGUAAUGAACUUAUUGCAGAAAUGCAUUGCUGGUGAUUGAUUAUUGAUUUUGAUCUUUAUAACAAAUUUGUCCAAUGGAUGGAUAACGUUUGAACUCUCUUCGUUAUUUUUUGCGGUAUUUGUGGAAUUUUUUUGGCAUUUUUUAUUUAAUUGUGAAACUUGAAUGUUGCCCUAGAAUUUUUUUUCAUAAUUCAUUUUUUGAAACUUUAAUUUGUGAUUUAAAUUUUUUUGGUUCAACCAACUGUCAUAAAUUUACACGAGAGUUUCAAUUAAGACGACAUUAAAACCAUAACCGUUUUACUCCAUCACAUAGAAAACUAUUCAUUUCGUUAUUCUCUUUCAUCUUCAAUCUUAGCAAAAUAUUAAAACAAAGAAUGUCUCCUAGUGAAAGAGUUUCCGAUCUUCAGAAGAAAAACGGCGGAUAUCGUAUUUGUGUACAUAUACUAAGAGAUUAUUAUGAUUAUACUCUCUUCGAUCGACCUAAUUGGAUGUUAGUUCUUGCGGAUGAAUUUGUAAGUUUUGGAGGUUUGAAAAGAUUUACCAUAUAUAUGUUUUAGGAAUGUAUUUGUUAAUUAUUUAUCUUUGUAAACCGUGUAGGGCAAUCGCAUCCUGUCUACUAUUCAAUAUGAUAUAAUAGACAAAUUUGAGUAUGAAUUGGUUGAAGGAGAUUGGGUGGUUCUUGGUAAUUUUGAAGUUGCUGACAGAGUGAUUUGUCCAAGUAUAUCAUCAAACAACUAUCAUAUACAUUUCCUCGAGGAUACCAUUGUUGAGAAAACUGAUCUGAAGUCUUCCAGAGGAAUAUACUCUUUUUGUGCAUUCAUGAAUAUUUUAUAUAGAUUUAUUCAUAUAGAUAGAUAUCUUGCUAUCUUUCUUACAACUUUUUAUUUUAAAUCGUUUAUCUAAGGAACUUCAACAUGUAUUUAAAGGCAGUCCUUUAUUUUUGCAGUUGUUCUUCUCGGUGUUGUCACAUUUGUUCAGAAACUUCAGUUAUGAUCAGACACACCCACGCAACGUCCACUUAUUCGUUUUAAAAUUCAAGAUUUCAGGUCUGUUAUCCUCAAAACAUCUGUUAUGUGUAUAUUGUUUACAAAUUUUAAAGUAUAUUAAUAAUGUUCUAAAUUAUUUAAAUAUACAGUGGAGAAUCUUUGAAAUGUAUUGCUUGGGAUAACUUGGCAAGGAAAUUUGAAGAACUUUGGAGGAAUCGUGAAAGGUCUUCUAGGCAUAUUAUUGUAUUGUGAUUUUUCUCUUUCACUAGACGGAGAAGUAACUAACUACUUCAUUAUUUGAUAUUUUUAAUUAAUUACAAGUUUUACAUAUAUAUUUUUCCGUAUAUUGAGUAUGUCUAUGUAUUUAGAUGAAUGGAUAGUUGAAUUGGAAAGAUUCAUAUCUGAUAUUCUCGAGGAUCCUCCUAUCCCAGAAGUGGAAAGAGCAGGGUUGAGGUAUGUUUAUUCCAUCUUUGAUAUUGUAUUCUAUAUUUUAAUAUUUAUAAAUAUAUAUAUAUAUAUAUAUAUAUAUGUAUAAUGAUAAAAAAAAUCCUAAUAUUAUUUCAGGCUUGCAACUUCAAUUGAUUUUUCUCCGGUCCACGAUGAAUAUGAAGACCAGUCUAAGUAAAAGAGAUUAUUGUUUCCUAUUUCUUAUUUUUAUAGUGUUAAACUUGAAAAUCUAUAUUAUUCUGAUUGAAAAAAACUUAUCCAAUGACAAUAUAUAUAUAUUUUUUAAAAAACAAUUUAAUUGUGUUAGCAUUUUUUCGUGAAGCGUAUUCUAUUUGAUUUCAACAAAAAAAUAAUUAUGAUAUUCAAAAUUAGGAUGCUCCGUGAUAUGUGUCUGUAUUAAAAAAAUAGAGUAGGUAAAUUCUGGUAUUGUACUCUCAUUAAUUAUUUGUAAUUAAUGAAAUGAAGUAAUUAACUUAAUUAAAGAGAAGUAGUCAGUACAAUAUAUGACAUUUUUCUACCAUCUUUACAUAUUUUUCUACAUAUAAUUAAUCAAUAUAAAAGUCAAAUAUACCUAUGAAUUGAAUGUAACAAAUUUGGUUUGUUCGUAAGUCACUUAGUGCAAUAAAUGUCAAAGGUUGCAAUUUAUUCUAAUUUUACAAAACAACACAACUUUUCAGACCCUAUACUUGCUUUGCUAUACAUAUAAAGGACCAAAGUAAAAAAAUGUCUGGCCAUCUUAACUAAAAAAAACCUAAAGUCCCAGAAAACAACCACUUUCCUCAAACAUGCCUCGCUAUUGUACCCUUGAGUAUCUUUCUCCCACAAAAUCUGACUCCAGAAUUCUUAUAAAAGUUCUACGAGUUUGGGAACACUUCAACUACUGUAAUCAACGCCAGGAAUUGCAUCUUAUCCUCGGUGACGAAAAUGUAAGUUCAUCUUUUUGAAGUUUUUUUAUUCUGUUGCAUGUUAUGAACAUUUAAACACAUGAAUUUAGGGUUACAAAAUAGAGGCAUGGAUAGAUCAGGAUCUUAACUUUUCACUUGGUCCAAAGUUUAAAGAAGGAGAAUGGAAUUAUGUCAAAUUCUUCAACGUUGUCAAUGCGUUCGGAUCUUUCAGAAAUACUAUAAACUACCACAUCAUCAACAGGAACGCCGAUACUAUUGUAAACAAGACCUUUCAAGUCAAUCCUAAGCAUAUGAUGGAUUUUAUGCCAUUUGAUGCCAUUAUCUGAGGGAAUUUCUCUACUGAGUACUCUAUCGGUUAGGCUUCUCACUUUUAUUCAAUUUAAGAAUUGUUAUAAAUAUUGUGUAAUGAAAAUUUUUCUUUGUAGACUUGAUCGGCGUAAUCAUCUAUGUUGAUGAUGAACUAAGUACUGAUAUUGAUGACCCAUACGAGAUGAUUUUUGGACCUUCUCACAAAUUGGACAUUCAAAUAAGAGACAUGAAGUAAGAUGUUUUAUAUUAUCAUCUAUAUAUGUAAAUGCCAAUAAUUUGUCUUAUGUUGUACAUAUGUAUUUUUGUUAAUGUUGUUGUAAUAUAAUUUGAUAUGGACAUCAAACUCAUUGGGAAGACUGCUCUGGAUUUCUAGAAGAAGUGAGAAAACAUAUGUACUUAUGAAACAGUCUUGAUUUUGCGCAUGUUUCGUCUGACCUAUGAUUCUGAAGGUUAGUAAUUAAAUAUUAUAAUCGAGUGGAAACAUUCAUUCCCACUUUGUUAAUAUGAUAAUUUGGCUUCUAACAUGUGUGCCCUUUAUAUUUUAAAAUCAUACAGGAAAAUAUCGCAUAAAGAAUGAUGGACACCAUUCUGAAAUACUUUUCAAUCCUCACAUAAAUGAGGUUUCUGAUUUUCUUGACUGGUAAUUUUUCUAAUUGGUAUUAAUAUAUAUAAUAUGUUUUAAGGUUUAUUUUAAUCUUUUUUACAAUAGUUAACUUGAAAUUAUUUAUGGUCAGGCUUCCUUUUAUUGAUAUCCAAGGAGAUCCGAGCUGGCCAUAAGUUUAAUCCCUCUUAUGUACCUAUAUUUUCUCGUAACUGUUAAACAUUCCCAUUAUGUAAUAUUUUCCCAUAAAACUGGGAUGGAGUUGAACAUAUUUUCGUAUAUUUGUAAUGAAAUAUUUAGUAUUUAUUUAUAGUAAUGUUUAAUUGCCAAUUAAUAUCAUUUUAUUUAUUGUUUAUAUAUAUUACAUGUAUAUAUGUAUAGUUUGGAUAUAGCAUAUACAAUCUAUAUAUAGAAUCCAUUUGAUUUUAGAAAGGUUACUUCCUUUAUAGACAUUUUCUUCCAUCGAAUAUUGUACAUUUCCAUAAUAAUAAGACAUUGUCAAAUUAUACUACUACAAUAUAGUAACGACCAUUUUUCAUAUUAUGCCAAUUUUAGUACCAUAACAAUUUAUGUAAGUAGACUUCGACAUUACAUUUAUUGCGAACCUUUAUAAAUUUCUUUAUUUAUAAUUAUGCCAAACGAUGCAACUAUAACGCUUUUUAGGCAAUUUCAUCUAAUGCUCACUAUUGAUCUUUUUUUUUUUGGUCGAUGCUCACUAUUGAUCUAUUAAAAACUUUACGUGUAAGAGUAAAUUGAAAUUAAUUCUGAUUGACGUUUUCAUUUCAGUGUUGAAAACUGACGUCAAGCUUUUCUCAUAACAUUUAGAGUUGAGUGUCAAAUAUUAUAUAAAUUAUCAAUGUUUUAAUGUUUGUGGAUUAUAAUUAAUGUAGCAGAUGAGCUUAUAAUCUUACGAAUCAAUUCACACAUAUGAGAAAGUGAUUUGGGAAAAUAAUUCAUUUUUAUUUGAAUCAAGAUAAUACAACUUAUUGUAGCAAAAAAGAGAGAUAAUUAAGGUACAAAAAAACAAAAACAAAAAAACAGAGAUAAUUUUAGCUAAACUCCAAAGUUUCUCCUUCCACGUUUAUUCUUAUGUGCCUAUAAGAUUCAAAAACAUAUAAUGUUGUUAACUUCAAACAUAUUAGUUAAACAAAUCAAUGUAUUAAUGGAAUAUUAACAGCUUACCCACUCCGAUGUAUCUAGGUAGCGAAUCUCUCUCUUAACGAAGCCGCAUUCUAUACAUUUCAAACCUAUCUCCAGAUCUAGAUGGAGAUCGUGUUUUCCUUUCUUGCAACGUUCAUUUGGAUCAUCAGUCGAUAUUUCUUCAUCAAGCUGCAGAUAUUACAUAGUGAUAUAAACAUACAAUAAUACAGAAAUCAUCAAUAAAACCGAAUAAUUUAAAGUUUAAAUUAUCUCAGAAAGAACCUCGAUGGCAUUCGCAGUUGAUUUGCUCAGAAAAUCAUUCAUCUCUUCCCACUUAUUAGUUUCCUCCAUCUCUGAUUCAGAAAUUGGAGGAGGUGAUGGUGGUUCUUCCACACCAAAUCUCAUGUUCGAUGGUGGUGGAUUAAUUCUCAGUAAUCCGUUUUCAUCAUAACGUUUUUCUUGGUGAUUCUCCAUUUUUGUCUAAUCUCUUAUCAGGCGUUUAGGGUUGCAGAGAAAAUUUAAGAAGUAUGUUUAUAAUCGAAGCAACUCUUAUUUUAUAUAGGAUAAGGUAGUUAAAAAAUAUUCAAUGUCACCAAAUUUCUAUGUUUUCUUAGGAAUACUGUUUCAACCAACCAGUUUAGCUUUUUAACUUUCGUUUUUGAUAUAUAGACAUAAUAUUUACACAAGUCUUCUGCGUCCAACUCACACAACUUAGCUGAAACAAAAAUAUUGAAAAGUUUGGAUUUUCCUCUUUACAGUUUGAUUUAAACCGCAAUAUAUGGUAACAUAAUAUUGUCUCUGAUAAUUUCGAACUAAUAUUCUUAUGAAGCAAUUAUGUAUAAAUUGAAUUAUCUAACCAUAUAUUCGAGAUUUUUAUAAAUAUUGUAUGAAGGAUAUUUAUAUAUUGUUGUUACUUUAUAAAACCAGAUGCAUAUUUCAAUCUUUAAUGUAUUUGUAUAUUCGUGUAUAUCCUAUUUAAUCCAUCUAUAUAUUCACAUCAUACUUUUGUGAACUGCAACUUCAUUUGUUACACUGAAUAAAAAAUCUCAAUAUUCUCCAUUUCUACUGCUAUGAACAGGAUAGGUAAACCUUAUGCGUCCAACUUUAAUCUAUUAAGAAUCCUUUUGAAUAACUAUAGACAUUUACCCUUUAUAUUUUAUUAUCAGACAUUAUUUGUUUCCUUUUAACUGUUUUAACAAAUUCUUUAUGAUUGUUUUCAGAAAUUAUUUAAUUUCAUCUACCAAGAACAAAUUCUUCCAAGCGAAACAAGGUCGACAAAGUAAUGAAAAAUACAAAAUUUAUUGCUUGGAUGGAGUGUAACAAGAUAUACGCAACUGCCAGAUUCCUACUCUACACUGAAUUAUCUCAUCAAUUUGUAUGGAAUGUCACAUUGCAUGAGUGGAGGUCACGGGUGAAGGGUUCAGGAAAUCCAACUAUUCUUCAACAGUAUUCAAUUUAUGAUGAGUAGAAUUUUUAUUUGGGUGUCUGUUGAAUAUCAUUAGAGGUCCUCGCAGUUAUGAAGAUAUCCGAACAUUUAAUGGUGUUGUAUACGACACCUUCAGAAAAGUUUGCUAUGCAAGGGGCUUAUUCCCGAUCAAUUAGAUUUAUAUAUCUUUCUUAAUUUUAGUUUUAAAACUGCAUGUUGAAUCUUUAUUUCAAUAAGUUACUUUCAUUUUGUUGUUUUUAAUCAUCUUCAUUUUUUACAGUACUUUUUAUGUUGAAUAUAUGAUAUACUAAGGUAAAUCAUCUACUAAAUACUACAUUUGCAACCGUGACAUAUUACAUGAUUAAUACAAGAGUCAACCAAUUAACAUUUUAUAAAAUAUAGCAUAACUUAUAAUUUAUAAUUUAUUGAAUAAACUAUUAUCAUUGUAAGUUUAAAGUAUUGUUGAUGCGGAUUAAUCGUAACUUAAUUGUUAAUAUGAUAAAUUAUACCUCAAAUUUUGGAAAUCUCUGAUAAAAUUAAACAACUUUUUAAAUUUCAAUUUAAACUGAACUACAUAAUAUAGACAAAUGCGAUUUUUUGUUAUUUUAGAUAAUUGCAAAAGAGAAAUAAUAAAUCUAACAAUCCUAGAAAUUAGGAAAAUCGUUGUAGUUCAAAUUAAAAAUUCCCAAUUAAAAGUUUUAUAUUUUUUACACAAUAUUGGAUCUCAUUCGAGGUAAAUAACAAUUUUUUACAUAAUUAGAGUUUUUUUCUUAAAAUUCCAUUCAAUAAUAAAAAAUCUACUAUAGCAAAAACUUAUUGAAAACGGUAUACAUUUCUGUUUACCUACUGAACAAAAUUACUUAUAUCUCACUCUACAAAAAGUACAUUGUCAAUACUCUAUCCACAAUUUGAUAUAAAGUAUUAACAGUAUACUUCAUGUUGAAAGUGAGCAUUCACAAGUAAUAUAAUUACAAUAACUCUGUGGCGACACAAUGAAUAAAAUUACUUCUUCUGAUGUGAUUCAUCACAGAUACACAAGAAAUAUUAUGUAGGAAAACAUGUAUUUUUAUUUCAUGUAAACAUAAUUUUUGUACGUCUGUGAGUGGAUCACAUCAGAAGAAUAAUUAUAGUAUGGGUUGUGUUUGAGUGAGUUAUUGUUUGCUUGGUUAAUUGAUCAAAAUUCUAUUCUGAUGUGUAUUUAUAGAAUUCUUAGAGCACGUCCAGUGGGGGUUCGUCCAUGGGUUCAUAACUCAUUUUAGAAUUAAAAAAAAUGUUUAAUGAGCUAUUUAUGAAGACUCGGUUCAUCCCAAAGAGUCUAAUGAACCUCAUUUGCUGACGUGGCAAUUUUUUAGUGGUUGAACCUUCAUUUUUCUUUUUCCACCUCUUCUCUUUCUUAAAAAAAAUCAUUUUUUCUUUUAUUUUGCAACUUCUCUCCUCUCUCUUGUUCAGAAUUUUAUUAAUUUAAUAUUUAGGAUGAACUUUAUGAAAAGUUCACCAAUGGACAUGGUCUUAAAGAGUGACUCCUCAUUUUUCUUCCCUGUGUUUCAUAUUCCCCAAAAGUCAUUGAUAAUUAAAACAUAUUAAACAACAUUUGACUGAUAUAUCACAAAUUCCGAAAGAAGAUAAAUUUCGAAAUAAAUGAAUACAUCUUCGCAUAUAAUCUAUAAAAUAUGUUCAUAAAUGUCACAUUUCGAUGCCUAACUUAAAAACAUAAAAUUAAUGUAUAUAUUCAUAAUUACAAGUAUUUUUUUAUCUACACUUUCUUCAUUAUACAUAACUAAUUAUAAUUACGUAGAAUUUAUAACUGCAAAUAUGAGCCAAUUUUAAGACACAAUCCAAUUCUUAUACUAAUAACAUACCAUUCGACCCAAAAUUAGUAACAUUGUAUCCACACACACUGUAAAUUAUCAAUAUUAUAAAAUUCGACCCAAUAAAUUUAACAAUAUACCUAAUAAAAUUAAAAUUUCAAAAAACGUUCAAGCCCGCACAUGUGUGCGGGCCAGUAUCCUAGUGCCUAGAAAAUACAAACAAGUGUGGGUAUAGAAACGUGAUACAUAGUGAUUAUGUUCCUUUCAUAUGGUGAUGUACUUAUAUUUCCUUUUAGUAUGCUCUAUAUUGCUAAGUGAAAACAGGGAGAUUGUGGAAUUUAGUUGCAUAUUUAUUUCCUUUUUAAGUGUCCAAUUGCCUUUUGAUUUCGUUUAUUUAUUGCGGGUAAAAACAACCAAAACCAUUCAGUUUUAGCUAGAUCUACUCUCGGAAAUAUUACAUGUAACAUUUGGUCCUUGUUGUUCGACCUAUCGUUCUACUACCAUGACAAAAUAAUUGUACACUUGCGGUUUAGUAAAUUGGUAUUUAAAAUUGACCGCACUUUUUCCAGGGACUAGCUGUUUCACCAUUGGGUUAAAGACUACAGUUGAACAUAUGACAAGUUUUUCUUGUUUCCCCUUUGACACAAAAUAUAUAUAUAUAUAUAUAUAUAUUUUGUUAUAUUUUUGUUACUUUGCUUAAUCGCUCCAAGUUUUCCCUAAUUGGCCUUUCAGCUGCAUGACUAUAAAUCCUUAUACCAUGAGGGUCUGACCUUUCACCGUUUGAAAGAUAAUAGAAAGGAGAGCGAUUAGCACGUUUGGAGAGAGAGACAAUAGAUAAUCAGAAACCAAAAUUGGAGAGUUCAAGUUUGAACAGUUUCUAAGUAACUUGGGUGCCAGUGUGAGUUUGAUGUCCCUGGAUGUGUCAAAAGGUCUUGGGAUAAUAGAUUUCAAGUCAUCAAAGAUCACUCUGGUUUUUGUUAAUCGCUCGGUUGGUUACCCAAUGGGUCUACUUGGGGAUCUACUAGUCAGGGUUGGAAACCGCUAUACUCCUAGAGCAUUCAUUUUGUCAUAGUUACAUAAAGAGCUACAUGAACAGAUGAAGGUGUAGCUGUAGUUGAAGCAGUUGCUGUACCAGAUGAAGUGAAGGAUGGAAUUCCACAAACAUGAAGUACGUGACAAGCGAAGCAUUUGGAAUGAGGAGCUGGACGAGUAGCUGAGCUGGACCAGUAGGAAUGGGAGUCUUGGAAAGAAAGCAAAGCUGGAUGGGAAUAAAGGAGCAGAUCAGGAAGAAUGGAAGAUUUUACUUAAACAUGUAAAAGUUUAAGGAAAUAGGAAAUAUGCACCAAGCGACAAAAAUGGAAGCUGUGGUGUAGGGUUUUCGGCGUGUAUAGCCGCUUAGUCUACUAGGUAUAAGUAGACGUGUUGAACCAUUGUAAAAGCUUAACACAACUACUAGAGAGCACUUAGCAUAAGGGUGAGAGAUUCGAGUAUUAGGGUCUGCAUCAAGGGUUAAGGGUUUUUCUAGGGGAGUUCUGAGAUCAAGUACAGCUCGAAGAACAGAGAGAGCUAGAGCGACAGAUCAAGGUGUGUCUUGAGUCUGUUCUAAAUCGUUUUACAAACUUGUAAGGUGUGUUAACAGAUUUACUAGUAAUAAAGUUCAGUUAAAGGAAAAACUUUGUGUUAAGUUGUGUUGUUGUUCUUGAACUAAGACUCUUGCAUUUACAAUUGGUAUCAGAGCGGUCAUCUGUAACUUGCAAACAGGUGAGGUCAUGCGGAGAUGGAGAAUUAUCAAGAACUUGUGAGCAGUUCAAACGUAAUUUUGAAUGCUGGAAACUACGGCUUCUGGAAAGCGAGGAUGCGUUCACUCAUAAUAGGAAUUGAUCCUUUGGUAUGGAAGUCGGUCCUGGUUAAGUGGGAAGAACCAAAGAAGAAGAACGAUGCUGGAUCUGAUGAGCCUAAAUCUGAAGAAGAAUGGACCGAGGAAGAAAGAAAAAGGUUCAAAUACAAUUCAAAGGCGUUGACGGCUAUUCACUGUAGCAUAUCAGCUGAGACCUUUAAACUAAUUCAGGGAUGUGAGACAGCCAAAGAAGCUUGGGACAUACUGCAGAUACAGUUUGAAGGAACGACAAAAGUGCAAAACUCGAAGAAGGACAUGUUGGCUUCACGAUUUGAGAACCUGUAGAUGGAAGAACAUGAAACCAUUGCCGACUUCAGCUCCGAGUUGAGUUCUCUGGCUCAAGAGGCUACAACUCUUGGGAAGCACUACAAAGACAAAAAACUGGUGAAGAAGUUCGUAAGGUGUCUUCCUUCAAGGUUCAUGGGGUACAAGUCAGCUCUGAGUGUGAACCAGGAUACUGAAUAUCUAAGCUUUGUAGAGAUUGUUGGGAUGCUACAGGCUCAUGAGAUGAAACUUGAUGGUGUGAAGAACCAGAAAGGAUUGGCGCUGUCAUCUGUUCUCGAGACCAAGUCAUCAGAGGAAGAAAAGUGUGAGGAUGCAUUAGGGCUACUGGUGAGGAGGUUUGACAAGGCUCUAAGACGAGCUGAGAAGUCAUAUGGUCAGAAAAAAGGUUGUACCUGCCAAACGAACAAAGGAAACCAGUGAAAGAAGGGGUGAUGUUCAAUGCUACGAGUGCAAAGGGGUCGGACACUUCAAGACUGAAUGUCCUACUAUUAAGAGAAGGUAGAUUCAGUGCUUCGGAUGCAAGUGUUUUGGUUAUACACAAUUGGAAUGUGUGAAUGAUCAAAACCGCAGGAAGGAAAGAUCCAUGCUGGCAGAAGAAGAUACUGAAAAUGACAGUGAUGAAGACACUGUGGAGGAAGUAAACAACUUUGUCUCAUUCAUUGGCAUUGCAGAAUUCGAUGAGAGUAUGGUUGCUUCAGAUGCUGAGUCAGAAGUUGGGGCUGAUGAUGAGCUGAGUGAAAGCUACAAAGAGGUUCGUGAGACUCUGAUCAAGAUUGGCAAGGAAAACACUGACUUAAAGAAAGAGAAUCUUUGAGUUGAAGCAAGAGUGGAGGAGCUGCAGAGAGAACUGAAAGCUGCUCAGAAACUGAGUCAAGAAAGUGUUGCGCUGAUAAAAGAGAAGCUGAACUUGGCAAAGAAGGCAGAGCAACUGGAGCAUGAUCUAAGUCAGGAGAAAGGGAUUUCCAACAACCUGAUGGGUGAGCUCAUUGAGCAACGUAAGAAGAUUCAUAUGUUUGCUGGAACUAAACAGCUUGAUCAGAUCUUGAGCCAUGAAAGGAGGUAUGAUGUGCGUAGAGGAUUGGGAUACGAUGCUUGAACCAUGGUAGAAACAGGUACUACAAAGUUUGUCUCAGGAGGUACAACUAAGCCACAAGAUCUGAUCAAGCUGAAAAGCUGUGGAUGAAGUCGGAAAGGUCAUCCUGCGAGGAAUCAGAUCUAGGAACAACUGUUAUAUAUGGGAUUCCUCUUGCAAAGAAGAAAAGUGCUUCACAGCACGUGAUGAUCUACAUCCGUGGCAUCAACGAUUGGGACACAUGAACAUCACGAAUCUUGCCAAUCUUGUCGACAAAGAAAUUGUCAGAGGAGUGCCUAAAGUCAAGGGAGUUGAUAACUCGGUGUGUGGACCUUGCACUCAAGGCAAGCAAGUUAAAGUGCAACACAAGAGAGUACCUGAUGUACAGUCAAAAGCAGUUCUUGAUCUAGUCCAUAUGGAUCUAAUGAGACCAGUACAAACCGAGAGUUUGGGUGGCAAGCGCUAUGUGUUCGUCCUUGUGGAUGACUUCUCUAGGUACACCUGGGUUAGGUUCCUUUGAGAAAAAUCUGAGACAGCUGAGAGCUUCAGAAUAUGGGCGCUGCAACUCUUGAAUCAGCGCGGUAGAAUAAAGAAUAUCCGGAGUAAUCGUGGCGGCGAGUUUCAGAAUGAAUUCAUGAAACUUUUCUGUGAAAGUCAUAGCAUUGCUCAUCAGUUCUCAGCACCUAGGACACCACAGCAGAACGGGGUUGUAGAAUGGAAUAACAGAACACUACAGGAGAUGGCACGAGCAAUGAUGCAUGGGAACCAAGUGUCAAAGAAGUUCUGGGCUGAAGCAGUCAAUACGGCUUGCUACAUCAUAAACCGAGUCUACGUCAGAAAGGGAACCAGUAAGACACCUUAUGACUAUGGAAAGGGAAAACCCCUAACUUGAGUUACUUUCAUGUCUUUGGUUGCAGGUGCUACAUCCUUAAUGACAAAUACUAUCUUGGGAAGUUUGACUCAAGAAGCGAUGAAGGGAUGUUUUUGGGAUACUCGGGAAAUAGCACUGCAUUCAGGGUCUUCAACAUCAGGUCAAAAGUACUGAUCGAGUCAGUGAACAUGGUGUUUGAUGACUAUGCUCGUACCAAGUGGGAAGGAACUGCUACUGGCAGUGACUCGGACGAAGAAGAAGAAAAUCAACCAGCAGCUCCCACUGGAGAAGGUGAUCAAGCAGUUGUGGUUCCAACAUCUGAUGUUCAGCAAGUUCACAGGAAUCACUCACCUUCGAAUCUCAUUGGUGAUGUGAAUGAAGGAAGAAGGACUUGUGGAGUUCAGUUGGACUUCAAAAAGAUGGUUGGGAAAUUCUCGGAGAUGGUUCUAUUUGCAUGCUUUGUCUCUGUCAUUGAACCCCGAGACGUGAGACAGGCACUUGGUGAUGAAUUCUGGAUCAUUGCCAUGGAACAAGAACUAGAGCAGUUCGUGCGUAAUUAUGUGUGGAAACUUGUCCCAAGACCCCUUGAAGGCAAUGUGGUGGGAACAAAGUGGAUCUUCAAGAACAAAAUCGAUGAGAAUGGGGUUGUGGUUCGCAACAAAGCAAGGCUAGUUGCACAAGGGUUUUCACAAGUCGAGGGAGUCAACUUCGAAGAGACGUUUACCCCUGUAGCAAGACUUGAAUCAAUCAGACUGUUCUUGGGGAUGGCCUGUAUCCUAAACUUUAGGGUAUAUCAGAUAGAUGUCAAAAGUGCAUUUCUUAAUGGAGUGCUCCAAGAAGAAGUGUAUGUGGAACAGCCAAAAGGGCUCAAAGAUGCUCAGUAUCCACAACAUGUGUACAAGUUGAAGAAGGCGCUUUAUGGCUUGAAGCAGGCUCCACGAGCGUGGUAUGAGAGACUCACUGGAUUUCUGGUUGAACAAGGAUAUGUUAGAGGAAGUGUUGACACGAUCUUGUUCAUCUAUGAGCAGAAUGGGCAGAUCAUAAUUGUGCAAAUCUACGUGGAUGACAUUAUCUUUGGAGGAACUGCUCAGUCACUUGUGGAUCGAUUUGUCACAAGCAUGACUCAAGAGUUUGAAAUGAGCAUGGUUGGUGAACUGCGGUACUUCCUGGGUUUGCAAAUAACUCAGUCUGAAGAUGGGGUCUUUAUCUCACAAAGCACCUAUGCGAAGAACUUACUUACAUGAUUCAAGCUUGAUCAGUGUAAGGAAGCUAAUACUCCAAUGAGUACUACAGCCAAGCUCACUUGGGAUUAAGAUGGAACAGAUGUUGACCCCACAGUUAUCUAGGGAUGAUUGGAAGCUUGUUGUAUCUCACAGCAAGUAGACCAGACUUUUCCCUAAGUGUGGGCAUCUGUGCUCGAUAUCAGGCGAAACCCAAGCAAUCACAUCUUGAAGCAGUGAAGAGAAUCAUCAAGUAUGUCAAAGGGACAGUCAAGUUGGGAAUCUGGUACUCCAAAAGAUCGAACAAGCACUUGGUGGGAUACUGUGACGCAGGAAGUGCAGAUGAUCGGAAAAGCACAAGUGGAGGUUGUUUCUUUCUUGGGAACUAUCUAAUCUCGUUGUAGAGUAAGAAAUAGAACUCUGUCUCACUGUCUACUGCAAAGGCCGAAUACAUUGCUAUGGGGAGCUGCUGCAGUCAACUGUUGUGGAUGAAGCAGAUGUCCGCAGACUAUGAGAUGGAUUCUGGGCCACUACUGGUUCACUGUGACAACAAAAAUGCUAUCAGUAUUUCAAGGAAUCUGGUGCAGCAUUCUAGGACCAAACACAUCAAUAUAAAGCACCACUUCAUUCGUGAGCUAGUGGAGGAGAUACAGGUAGUGAUAGAACACAUUGUCACUGAUUUGCAACUGGCUGAUUUAUUCACAAAACCCCUGGAUUUUAAUCGUUUUGUCACCUUAAGAAACUCGAUUGGGGUUUGUAGUAUGUGAUUUUUUGUGAAGUGUGCAGGACUGAUGCAAAAACUGACUCGAGGGGACACUCAAGGUUUAGAUUCAGUCUGGAGUCAUGGAUCUAGUGGAAAAGAGCUAUCUCAACAACCGUCGUACCUUAACGACAGUACAGGUUUCAUGGAGUAGAAGGGAAGCUGAGCUAGUUUCGGAGAAGUCAAGUGAUGAAACUAGCUCAUUGCACUCAAACCAGAAAGGGAGGAAUGAAUAAAUAAAAAAAAUUUAAAAAAAGGAGGGGCUGCUUGCAAUUAAAAUUAGUUGAUCCCCUCAAAAGGUAGAUCCUCCCCUGGUACUGAAAGCUUCCUUCACCCGUGAAUAAAGGUUGAAAACUAGAAAAUGGGUCGAUAAAGGUAGUUGGGUGUGAAAGCUAGCCCGUGAAUCAGGAUGGCCAGACUCUUAUGAAUCAUAACAAGCUGAAGGUGUCUCGUGAGUCAGAGGCUGUGUCUAGUUCCGGUGCACUUCAAAGAAAAUGGUAAAAAUAUGUACAAAGCAUUGUUUUCAAAGCCAGCGCAUAGGUGAUAGUUCAAUUGUCACUAUUUGUUCUCUAUCAUCGGCUUAUGUGUGAAAGUGUCCGUGAAUAUUGAUGGUCUAAUGCGUGCGUGUUUGAUUCAGUAUGUGUUCGAGUGCUUUUGUCACGUGUGAAACAGGAAAGUGGGCAGGGAAUUUCGAGGCCUUGAUGAGUUUGUGAAAACAUCUGUGAGAUGGGCUUGUUGCGAGAGAACAGCCCACAAAAGACAAUGGAAAUUGAAAAGACGUGGGAAAAUAGAAAGUGGGGGAGUUAUUUACGGGGAGUGGGGAUCCGAAAAAUCAGCACCACUUCCUGUUUUAAACCCUAAUUAUCUUCCUACAAAAGGCGAAUCACAAAGAGAGACAUCAAUGGUGAGAGGAACUCGAAGGGGGCUAAUUGGUGUCCGAUCUAAAGCACAGAUGACGCAUGCAGAUGGCGAUGCUCAGAGGCCUCAUCUAAUCGAUGAGCACAGUGGCGAGAGUAUGAAUCCAACUGAGGCGGUUCCUGAUCAAAAUCCCGCGGCAUCCAUUGGUCCAGCAGAUAGUGCAGGCUCUUUUGCCACCGCAAAUGAUGGAGAUGCGCAGAGUGGAUCGUCGGCGAACCCUAAAGAGAAGGCGGAUGGCGGAGAAACCAAGGCCAACUCGGAGGUUACCCAGAAAAUCAAGAAUGACGAGGAAGAGGCUGACGGUGGCGAGAGCAAAAAAGCUGUUGAGGUGAAUCUCUCUGUGCCACAAGAAUCGGCGAAUCCGACCGCCGAUCCGGUUCUGAUCACAAUGACUCAAGAGGAGGCGACAGCAUCUCCCGCUGAAGCAUCACCUACCUCGAUCUCCGUGAAAGAGCAAGCUGCAAAAGUCGAACGCAAAAGAAAUACAAUGAAGGCUUUGGGACUUCCAGCUCCGUCAAAGAAACCCAAAAGUGAGCCGUCUCCAGUUCCAAAAGCAGAACCGGAGCCAGUCCCUGACUCGGUGCCAUGAAAGCGGACCAAAAAGGCUCGAUCUCGCAAAGAACAGCCGUCUCCUGAUCAAGCAAGGUAUGAUCACUUUGCUACACGACAACUUUGGUGUGAGAGAACUGUCGAUGUAGGUGAAACAGAUGAAUGGGGAUACAUCAAAGUGAAUAGAGACAGCGGUUUAGAAUCAGCGGUUGUAGGGAUCACUUUGUAUGUACCGCAAGUGAUUCAGGAGUUCUAUGCUGGGCUUCCGGGUGAGCUACCCUCUGAUCCAGAUCAAGAGAUUCGUGUCAAGCUGAGGGGUUUUGAGUAUUGCUUCUCUCCUGCGUGGAUCAAUCGGGUCCUCAAUCUGACUCCACUUAGCGAGGCUGAAGUUCACGAUGAGUCAGUUGCUGAAGCAGUCUCUCUGUCUGAUAUUGCCAAACACUUGUCGAAAGGAGGAAGUGGUUGGAGUGGGCUGAGCACGAGGAAUCUCCCACCGGUUUUUGCUUCAUUGAUUGUUAUUGCGGCGUACAACUGGAUUCACUCAACCAACAAGAAUCACAUUUCUGAGGAGCGUGCUCGCCUGCUGUACAAGCUGAGUCAUGGUGUGAGGGUGGACUUCGGAAGGCUGGCUUUCAAACAUAUUAUUCUAAUGAGCAAGAUCAUCAAAAAAGACACUCACUGGCUGGUAUUCCCGUGUUUGAUACAGAAGAUUAUGAACCUUCAACACGAGCCUUAGCUGGGUCAAGGAGAGACUCACAUUGUCCCAUUUUGAUACAAAAAAGACUCACGCAGUGGUGAGGAGUUCAUCAAGAAAGAGGCCGCAGCUGCAAAGAAGGAUAAGAAGAAAGGGAAGCAAAGGGCUGAUGCACCGAGAUCUCCAACUCCUCCACCUCAGUCGUCUCAACAGCAACCUGAGCCAUCACCGAGUGUGCCACUUCGGUCCUUCCGCUCACCACCUCCUGAUGCAUCCUUCAGGUCAUCCGACUCUGCUCCUGGUCGGACUCAAAGUGCUCCUCUCGGAGUGAUUUGUGUUCCUUUGGCACCAGAAAGUGCUAAUGAAGUCACAUUGGCCUUAUGGGAUGUGAGUCGUGUGCUUAACCAUCUCCACGGAAUAGUCAACAUGGUGAUUGACUCAUUUGCAAGUAAGUUUUCUGACUCUGACUUGUUUCUUAUUUUAGGUAUUGAUCCCUGUUUUUACUUUCGGUGAUCACAAGCAGGAGGAGAAAACAUGUGGGAAGAAAUUCUACGAGAUGAUGCAGGAGAUGAUGCGGGUGCUUAAAUUGUGGGGGAGUUUGUGUAAUAAUCUAGUUUCUUGUUUCUGAAUUAGGCUAAGUUUGUGGGGGAACGUGUAUUUUGCUCUGAAAACUCUUGUUCGCAGCAUUUGAUUCAAGACUCUGUGUUUGACGUUUUCUUUUCAUAUGAAAUGCGUUCUGUUUGUCUUGGUACUUGGUUGGUCUGUGGUUGUUUGUGUGCUAUGUCUGAAAACAGGUGCUUCUGAGUCACACGAAGCUAAAAUGGGGGAGAUUGAAGGUGUAGCUGUACUUGAAGCAGUUGCUGUACCAGAUGAAGUGAAGGAUGGAAUGCCACAAGCAUGAAGUACGUGACAAGCGAAGCAUUUGGAAUGAUGAGCUGGACGAGUAGCUGAGCUGGACCAGUAGGAAUGGGAGUAUUGGAAAGAAAGCAAAGCUGGAUGAGAAUAAAGGAGCAGAUCAGGAAGAAUGGAAGAUUUUCUUAAACAUGCAAAAGUUUAAAGAAAUAGGAAAUAUGCACCAAGCGACAAAAAUGGAAGCUGUGGUGUAGGGUUUUCGGCGUGUAUAGCAGCUUAGUCUACUAGGUAUAAGUAGACUUGAAGCAUUGUAUAAGCUUAACACAACUACUAGAGAGCACUUAGCAUAAGGGUGAGAGAUUCGAGUAUUAGGGUAUGCAUCAAGGGUUAAAGGUUUUUCUAGGGGAGUUCUGAGAUCAAGUACAGAUCGAAGAACAGAGAGAGCUAGAGCGACAGAUCAAGGUGUGUCUUGAGUCUGUUCUAAAUCGUGUUACAAAUUUGUAAGGUGUGUUAACAGAUUUACUAGCAAUAAAGUUCAGUUAAAGGAAAAACUUUAUGUUAAGUUGUGAUGUUGUUUUUGAACUAAAACUCUUGCGUUUACAACAAGUUCCUCUAGGCUCAGCUAAACCAAUUCUCUUUACUUAGUUGUUUUUAGUAGUUGAUCUCGACUGGGUGAAAACCGACCCUAACACUUUCCUUGAGUUUGUCUUGAGGAGAACCAUGUUCUCAGUCCAUCCUCAUAUCUCCUAUCUCCAUUACUUUGAAUCAAACAUAUAGUUGAUUUCUGAUAUUGUUGUCGAUUAGCUUGAUGAGUUGGUACUUUUUCGAAGGUUUCUCCCAAGUCAACAACGUUUCCCCACUCGCAUAAAAACUAAUCUUUCAAUAGUCUCGUUACCAAACCAUCCCAACCUAAUUCAGGUUUGGCUUAUCAUAUAAAUUACAUCCAUUUUUGAACUGUCAAAACCUAAUUUAGGGAAUUUCAGUAAUAAUAUAUAGUUUUUUGGUGUGUCAAAUCAUAUGAGAGAACCUUUACGAUAUAUAUGUUUUAACCAAGAGUGAUCCCGAUAUUUACCACUCAACUAAUCCAACAAUUCCCAAGGGACGAGUGUAGCCGUGAAGUAAUUCAUUCACAAUUUUUUUUUUUUUACAUCUAAUUCACCUUUAUUAGUUAUCAAAAUUACAAUCGUUAAUUACAGUACACUACAAGAAAACAGCAGGUAUUCCUACGAAAGAUAUCAUCAGAAAAUGGUAGGAAACAGGCAUUUUCUACCAAUUUCCGACGAAAAUGUUUUGGUAAGUUCUAUGCCGUCGGAAAUUAUAAAUGGUCAGAAAAUGAUAGGAAAUUUCCUACGAAAUUUUUGGUCGGAAAAUUUCAUCGGAAAAUUUGGUCAGAAUAUCGUAGGGCAUUUGCUACUAUUUUCCUUCCAUUUUCUUUUGAAAAAAUCCAACCCUUUUCCUACGAACAGUUUUCUAUCAUAUUCCUACCAUUUUCUUACUAGCUAUAUAAAAAAAUUUUAAUUCAAUUAAUUACAAAAUUAAAUAAUUUCAAUUAUUAAACAAAUUAUAAAAAUUAAAUCCAAAAUUAAUCAACCUAAUUAAAAACUAAUUAGAAAUUAAUUAUAACUAAAUAUGGAACUUCUAAAGCCCAAAUUAUUUUUAUUGACUCAGUAUUUUUUAUACUUAAAGCAUGUGUCUAUUUAUAGAGUCUUUUCAGCAUCACCUGCUUGGUCGAUGUGGGAUUUUUCCCAUUUUCCUUUUUGACUGAUUUUGGUAGGAAAUUGAUAGGAUAUUUAAAUAAUAAAAUAUUUAUUUUUCGUAGGAAAUUGAUAGGUAAUUUCUUACAUAUUAUAUUCGUAGAUAAGUGGUCAAAAAUUUCUGACAAAUUUCCUACCAUUAUUACAGUAAAUUUUUUCCACCGAUUUCCUUCCAUUUUCUGAUCAGAUUUCCUACGGAUAUUUUUUUGGUUGAAUAUUGGUAGGAAAAUUUUGACCAUUUUCUGACGAUUUUUAUCGUAGAAACUUUUCUUCCAAUUUCCUACCACUUUUAUUUUUUGUCAUAAAUUCGUAGGAAAAUGAUAAAAAAAAAUUUCUACCAAAAUUUACGUAGAAAAAUUUAUAGGAAUUCAACAUGUUUUCUUGUAGUGGUAUGUUGGAGGAAUCGAGGACAAGUGUGGUACAAUGACCAUUGAGUAUUACAUAAUAAUGCUUGUUUAGCCAACAUAUCUGCCCAUUGAUUUGCUUCUCGGUGUCGAAAGGUGAAGCUCACUUCAGCGAACAUUUUUUCCAGCUUUUGAUAGCCUCUAUGUAAUGGUGGAGACGCAAAUUAUUUCCUUGCCCAUUGAUGAGUCGGAUAAUGGUUAGAUUAUCUCCUUCAAAUUCCACUUUUUGAAGGAAUAUUUUCAUAUUUUCAUUCACAAUAUUUUCUAAUGGGUCUAAAAAAUGGCACCAUUUCAAUUCGUCAAAUGAAAAUGGUUAGAUAAUUAUAAGUUUGUUGAGAAUUCUUUCUUUAUGGUACUUUGAUAUAUUUAGUGAACUUUGCAAGUAUUGUGUAUGAAUAACCUCAGUAGAGUUUCUUUAGGUUCUCGUUGUACUAUUAAGAAAACAAAAUUUCUCAUCGUGAACUUUGCAAUUUGUGAAUAUUUAGUUUAAAUAUUUUUUCUUUUUUGUAAGACCCUAGAGUACGAAUAAUUAAAUUGCAGUAAUAUAAAAAAACCAAAGACAAUAACAUAAAGUACAGACGAUUUUAUUAUGCAAAGAGUGAAGAUUACAACUCGAACACAGAGACAUACAUUAUUAAGUUUAUUCUCAUAGUUUCUUUUCUUAAACUUGAGUCACUUCAUUACAAAUGCACCAAUGUUUACUUAGAGUCAUACACACGUAUGUGCAUAUAUGAGACUUAAAAGUAUAUUUCAUAGAUUUUAAUGACCGGGCUGAGUCUGAACAGCUUCUGCUCCGUGUCCCCCGCGUCCACCAUGGCCUCCUCCUCCAUAGUGUCCUCCUCCUCCGUAGUGUCCUCCUCCUCCUCCGUAGUGUCCUCCUCCUCCUCCUCCGUAGUGUCCUCCUCCUCCUCCUCCGUAGUGUCCUCCACCGUGUCCUCCUCCGUGUCCUCCUCCUCCGUUGUAACCUCCAUGGCCACCACCAUAUCCAUCAGGUUUCUCAUUUUCCUCACUCUCUGACUUCACCGUGCCUGUUCCAAACACACACAAAAAAAAAACAAAAUUAUUUCAAAAAUAUUUUUAAGCACGUGCAAAUGUGCAUUCCUUUGCCUAUUUCAUAAUUGAACACUUUUAAAAAAUGUAUAGAAAUUCGGGAUAAUGAUGUAGUUGUAGUGACAGAAUUACUCUGAACAGCUUCUAGUCCAUGUCCCCCGCGGCCUCCAUGUCCCCCGUGGCCUCCUCCUCCGUAGUGUCCUCCUCCGUGGCCACCACCAUAUCCAUCAGGUUUCACAGUUUCCUCACUCUCUGAGUUCACCGUGCCUAUCCCAAAAGCGAAACCACAUUAUUUUAUAAAUAUUGUUAGUACGUACAAAUGUGCAUUCCUCUCCCCAAUUUCAUAAUUAAAUUUCUCUUAAAAACUUUCUAAAAUAUGUAUAUAAUUCCGAUCUCUAGUUAUAAAAAAAAUGAGUUCAACAUUAAAUAUACGUUUUAUAUAAAUUGGCGUCAAGCAUCUAAAUAGUUUGGGAGGGUCUAAUAGGUAUAAGAGCAUGUACAUCAGUGAACCCUUAAAAGAGGGGUUUAACAGAAUAUAAUAACAUUUUUUUUUUGUUUUAGUUUUUUUUUUUUUUAAUUCGAAAAUUAUAAUUUUCGACCAUGUUUUAUUUGGGAUGAUACCGUCUCUUCAGGUUCGUCGGGAUGAUACUGUCUCUUUAAUAUUAAGAUCUUUUGUCUCAAAAACCGUGCCAUGAACCCCUCUUGAUCCUCUGAUGUAGAUGCUCUAAGAAGGACUAAACGUCAUAAGUAAGCGUAAGUGUCUUUUCUUACUAGGACAUCAACAUGAUACUUAAGUGUGUUUAUGACUUAGUGAGUCCAAAUAAUUGACCAUCGUUCACCCCAACUUUUCGCAUUUAAAACGGACGAGAUAGUUGGACAAAAUUAUCAAAUGGUACGUUAGUCCGGUUAGAUUAGCUUCACGAUAAUUUUUUUGUUUUCUAUAAAAUAAUUUUACGUACCCGACUGCCUUGCUGAGACGACGAGAAGAAAUGCAAACACACCCAACAGAAGCAAAGUCUUGGAAGCCAUUUUCUUCAAACUGCUUAUAACACUUUUAAUUUGUAUAUAUGGAGAAAGAAGUGAUGAAUAAAAUGUUAGCCUGCAUGCUCUCUAUUUAAGGAAAACGAGGAGGGCAGAAUGAGGAAAAGUCAAAUAAAUAAUUCGUAGUGCAGUGAAAAGAAGUAUUUUUUUAAUUAAAAGCAAAAGGGAGAUUUAGUGUAUCACAAAAUUUAGAGAAAUUGCAUUGUUUGCAGAUAAAGACACACUUUUUAGUAGCAAAUAAAUAAAACUAUAUUUCUUUGCGCAAGCGAACAAAAGGGAGUUGUAUUAUUCUAGAAGAGUUUAGAUCUAAUUUAUACCCCCCAAAAAAUAUAGUUUAGAUAUCUUUAUCUGUAUCAUGCAAUCUUUCUUUGUAAACAUCUUGAAUAGAGUUAAUAUAUGUUACGUGAUUUAUAUUAGAUUGCAUGAAACAAAAAAUACGUGAAACAAAGUGUUUCGAAAAGGAUAACAAUUUUAAAAAUGAUAGGAAACGUUUGCUUUCGGAAACAUAUAUUAUAUAUAAAACAUCAAAAUCAUAUGAAAAACAAAACGAAACAUUAAAACCAAACGAACUUUAAUACUUAUAUAUCAAACAGAUAAAUAAAGAUACAAAUCCAAACGUGGUAAGAAGAUAACGAAAUUUUCAUAUUUUCGAAUUUACUUCAUCUAUCCUACAAAUAAGAUGGUAAGACGAUCGAUAAGUAUGAUCAAAGUAUAUCUGUAUCCGUUGCGUCGAUUCCCAUAUGGUGGGUUGUUGGAUUGUGAUUUGUGAAAAACUUUAACCUCAAUAGUCUUUUAGAUAUUUCUUAUCAACGUCUUUAAACAUAGGAACCAUCGGACAAGUAUUGAACUAUUGAUAUGUAAGAAUUACAUUAUUGGCCAUAACUGGUAUUAUUGUUACAUUAUUAUUACUAUAAUUUGGACACAAAAUUAGUCCACUAUUUGUACUUUAACUCUUUAAGGAUCUUCUUUGAAAAUCUCAGCCGACAGGUUUUUAAGCAGACGGAUAAAGAAUUAAUACGAAGUAAUUACUAAGAACUUACCUUUAAAGGGUGAAAUUUUGCUUGGCUAUAAUUUAUUCAGGCCUACAUCGAUAAAAAAAAAUAAAAAUCAUUCCAGUGACCUAAGUGUAAAGGAGCUUGAGAUAUACGUGUUGAGAAGAUGAGCAUUAUUAAGUGUACAGAAUGUAGCUGCCGUCCUAAUUAUAAUAAAAUAGAAGUUAAUCCGCACAUUGUAAGGGAUAAUGUUUUUUUAAUUAUUUUUAAAUUUAAUUUAAUUUUUUUUAGUUAAAUUAAAAUUGGUGGCAAAAAUAUUUUAACAAAAAAUAUAAAUAAACAAAAUUAAUAAAAAUUAAAUAAUAUAUAUAUAUAAAUAUCACACAACCGAUAUUUAUUUGUAUAUAUAUAUAUAUUAUAGAGUAUGACUUUGAGCUAAUUUUGUUAUGCAGUUUAAUUAUUCAUAAAAUAAGAAUUUAAUUUUGAAUAUUUUAUUAGAGAUUAAACUAUUAUUUUUAGUUAAUAAAUUAUAAUAUAUGUUAAUAAUAAUUAUAUAUAGGAUUAGACAAAUUCGUCUAUUUAAUUUAUUUUAUAAUUUUUAAAAUAUUAUUUCGACCAAUCCGCAAAAAAUAGAUUUUAAACUUUAAAUUAUAUUUUAUUUUUUAUAAUAAUAAUUGAAUUGAUUUUCAAAAAUGAUGCUAAUUAAUUAUGAAAAUACAAAUGAAAAAUAUUGCAAAAUUUAAAUAGUUUUUCAUAUAUAUGGAUUGAUUAUUAUUUAAAAUAAUAGAAUAUAUUUUAACAUUUUAAUAAGUAAAAAGCAAAAUACAUUUUUUAUUUAUAUCCAUAUAUAUUCAAAACAAAUAUGUGAGCUAUAUAUUUAACUAUCUCUUGUGAAGAAAUAUUUAAUUAAAAAUUUUAUAUUUGUAAAAUUUAUUUAUUUAAUAUCUUUUAAGUAAAGGUUUAUUUAUGUAAUAUUUUAUAAAUAAAUAUUUAUUUAUGUAAAAUAUUCUGUAAUAUCUUACAAAUAAAAGUUUCUUUAUAAAAUGUCUAUUCAAAUAAUAAUGUAGAGAUGUAAUUUAAUUAAAGUCUAAUUGAUAUGAACUUCAUAAUUAUUAUAAAAAUAUGAUCAAUUCCAUGCGAGUGAAAAAGAUUUACAUAGUUAUCGUUUAUUUCUCAUACAAAACUAUUUUAAUUUUAAAGAGUAAAACGUAGCAGAAAAUGAAAACUGGAACUUUUUUAGAAUAUGACAGCUAGUUUUAAAAAUGGGAGAUGGCUACAAUACCGUUUCAAAAUAAUAGAUUAAAACUUAAUCCCAGAUAUCCGACUUGUUGAUGGUUUCUAUUUGCUUACGCACACUAAAUAUAUUAACACUCAAGAGAGGGAAAGUGUAAAUUGUAUUAAUGAAAGUGUUAGUGAACCGUAUUACAUUAAUUCCCUUUUAUAUACCAACUAGGUUAAGAAUAAAUACAUAUAUGUUAAUACAUCCCUCUCAAACCGAAUCAACCUUAGGUAGAAAGAGGUUUGAUAAUAAUACACGACUAAGCAAAAAAUGAAAUGGACCUAGAUGCAAAGGCUUCGUCAACAUAUCAGCAAGCUGAUUCGAAGUAGAGACAUGAAGAACAUUUAGGAAGCCAUUCUUCACCUGAUCUCGGGUUAUGUGGGAAUCAAUUUCCACAUGCUUAGUUCUCUCGUGAAAUACAGGGUUAUUGGCAAGAUUCAUAGCUGAUUUUUUUUAUCACAAAACAGGUUGGCUUCAGAAGUUACCGGGAUAUGAAGAUCAGUCAGUAAUUGGUGCAGCCAAAGUAACUCUCCCGUAGUAACAGCCAUGCUCCGAUAUUUGGCCUCCGUGCUGCUUCUAUUAACCAUUUCCUGUUUCUUGGACUUCUAGGUGAUAAGAGAUGUUCCAAGAAAUACACACAGACUCGUUACAGAACGACUGCAUCUGAAAAUCCAUUCAAGCAUAACUCUGUAGUAGCAUAAUAGAAAAAACCUUAGCCCAGAUUUUCUUCAAAUAUUUAAGGAUCUGGAAAGCAGCUUGAAAAUGAACAUUAGUGGGGAAAGACAGAUACUGACUCCACUGAUGCAGCGCAAAAGUGAUAUCAGGACGAGUAAUGCAGAGAUAUUGCAAUCGACCAAUCAAUUCGCGAUAUGAAGUUGUAUCAGAAAGAGACGUACCCGCGGACUGGAUCCAUCAAAACUGAUUUUGGUUUAUAACCAAGGAGACCAUAAUCUUCAAUAAGAUCCAAGCAGUAUUUCCUCUGUGAAACAGAUAACCCCGAAGCAUUCCUUGCAAUCUCAAGACUCAAGAAGAAAUGAGCUUGGCCAAGAUCUUUGGUCUUGAAUGGGAUUGUGAUAUAUUCAUAUCAUUUCGUGUUUAGGAUGCAUUUUUGGUCCAAGAAUAGAGCCUCAUGCAUACAUUUUAGAUAGAUUCUUCAUGUUUUCUUUGUUUUAGAGGUUUAGGACUUUGCAUUAGGUCCAAGUGAGUCUUGCAUGUUUGGAGUGUCAAUCAGGUGCUUUGGAGGUCAUCUGGAGAUGAAAAUAUGGAACCAGGUGAAGAAAUGGUGAAAGAAGGGCAAGAUAUGGUAAAAAUGAGGUUUUGGAGGUUAUCGGCAAAAUUGCUUACUGCGGGAAGAUUUUUAUCGGCCAAAAAUCAUUCCCGGGAAGCAGUUAUCGGCCAAAACAUGUACCAGACCAAGUCUGUAUCGGCAAAAAUCCUUUGUCGUGGGAAAAAAUGUUUAUCGGCUAAAAUACGUACCGCAGUACGUAACUUAUCGGCCAAAACGUGAAUUAUCGGCCAAAAGUUUCCCGACCCGAUAUGCUUCAAAGAUGCCUUUACCAGAAAGCUUUCUCGUCCGAUUCAGUUUCUAGUGUUUUCACAAACGUUCAAGAGAAUUGAGUCACAAUUCCAGAACAGUUGGAAUCAAUGGAUUUGGAGCAGUGAGCUGAAAGAUACGGCCAACAGAAGAUGAAUCUGCCUCGCAUCCAUUCUGGUCAUAUCCGAUGCGACUCAAAGAUCACUCAGGAUGAAACUCUUCCCUUCCAAUCUAGUUUCCGGGGCUCUAUCAAGAUUUGAGAGAUUCGAGUCAUAUUUCCAUAACGCUUAGAAUCAUUCCAUUUGGAGUGUUGAGUUGGGAGAUAUCGCAUUCGGGAGACAGACAUGCCCUGCAGUAAGAAACUAGAACCUCCCGAGCCAAUGCAAUGAUCCGUUUACCGGAAGGCCUCUCUCACCCGGGAUGCACUUAAGUUCUUCAUCAAAGUUGUAUGGAAUUGAGCUGCCUUUCCUCUGGAGUUUCUCUCGAGUCAUUUAGACUCAUAUCCCACAAGUUAUGCUAGCUCAAGUAAACAUAGAUCCGAGGAAAUGAGAAAUGCUGCGACAUGGCUUUGCGACUCGGUCAACUUGCAGCGAUGAAUGUUUAAAUUCUGGGAGCAAGCUGAGACUUGAAAUGAUGCGGGUGAGGUGACUCGGAGCAGGGUAAGGAUUUCCAAAGCUCAAAUAUUUCUAAGUCCAGAACAGCCUAUGACAUGGCAGUGCGAGAUUGAUGAUGAGAUGAACCAUGUCGCACACACACUCGCUUGGGGCCGCGACAUGACAGUGCGAGAUGGAUGAAGAGAAGUAACAUGUCGCACUCCUACUCUCUUGGGGCUGCGAACGUGAAGCUGUGAGUGGGAAAAGAAGGAUUUAAGCUGCAAGUACAAUUGCUUGAAUGAUACGACAUGAAAGUGCGGCUGAAGAAGCAAGGGAGCUGAGACGUAACAACAUUCACUUGGGGCUGCGAGAUGGCAGUGUAGGUGAACUGAAGCCAGGACCAUCUCGCACCAUGGCCACAUGACCCAACUGAACCAGGUCAGUACACAGUUUGUCUUGAGCUGACCCGCUCCAAAACACUUAGUAUAAAUAGCUUUUAGGGUUUUUUUCCAAAGAACAUCUCAUUUUCCUUUAGGUUUUUAGCCACUUUUGUGUAAGAGACAACUAAAGAGAGAUAUCUCCUUUCUUUUCUUUGAAUCAAAAAUGUUUGAGAGCUUAAUCUAUCUAUCUUAUCAUCAUUACUAUUCAUCAUCUUGUUUUCUCUAUCAACUAAUCAUGUUUAAUUACUUUUCUUGCAAAGGAAUCAGAGAGUUAAUCAUGAUUAGUGAGUAGUCGCGUCAUUAGGGUUCUAGAUAUGUAAGUUAGGGUGUUUAGAGGUUUGAUUAAGGCUGCUUAGGAUUAAAUUUAUACAUCUCUGUCUUGUUUAGCUGAUUUUAAUGCUUGGUUAUAGAUGAUCUCUCUAACCCAGAUUUUGGGCAUUUCAUCUACCCAAAACGUGUUUGAUGAAAUGCCUGAACCAGCUAAGUCAAGAGUCUAUUGUUUGAUUCACAUGAAAAUGUUGUUUUGAGCAUAGAUGGUAUAUUAGGAUUCGUGUUUAAUGCAUUCCUUUCAUUGUGACUCUAAUGAUGAUUAGGUAUGAGCAAUGUUUGGUAUUGUGUUUUGAUGCUUGAGAAAUAUUGAAACUUGAUUUGAAUCCUAAGCUGCUUAGAUCAUUCAUCAUCAUUGUCAUUAGCUCCUUGAUUAAACUAUGAUGCACCCUAGAAACUAUCAUGUCUAGAGCUCUAAGUUUCAUCAUAUUCAUAUCAUCUUAAUCAUUUUCUGUCUUUAUUUAUUGCUUGUUUAAUUCUUUAAUCUUGUUUAAUUGCAAUUCUGUCACUUGUUUGAAACUAAAACAUUUUGUUUGUUUGAAUUAAGAAUAGUUCAUAUAGAUUAGUGAACUAAACACCACACCUUGGAUUGAUAACCUUUGUACUACAACAGACAAAGGGAUUGAUACCCUAAGAGCCUUGAAAAAUCUUGUCUACCAUAUUGAGAGAAUCUUCUAAAUAGACUUGACAGCUUCAUCAUCAUUGCUCGCUAUAAGGAUGUCAUCGACAUAGAUCAGGAGAUAAAUAAAUAAUGUACCUGUUAGCUUCACAAAGAGGGUGUUAUAUGCAUAAGACUGUACAAAUCCGGCAUCAAGUAAGACCUUCGACAAACACUUGUACCAUUAACGAGAUGUCUGCUUCAAGUCAUAGAUGGAUUUAUCAAGUUUGCAAACCUGAUUAGCAGGCAGAUGAACAUCAGCUGGAGUGUAACAUCGUGGCAAGCUCAUGUAUAUCUCCUCAUCGAGCUUACUGUGCAAGAAAGCAUUGGUUACAUCCAUUUGGGUUAAGCUCCAACCCAUUCAUGCGGCUAAACCAAGGAUAAGCUUCACACUGGCAAGCUUGGAAACUGGGAAAAGGUGUCAAAGUAAUCAACACCUUUUUGUUUUGUGUAUCCCUUUGCUACCAGGCAAGCUUUAUAACGCUCCACAUUUCCAUCUGCAUUAUACUUAAUGGUAAACACCCAUUUACAACCAACAACAUUUUCCCUCGGAGGCAAUGACACAACACUCCACGUAUUGGUUGACUCCAUUGCUCCGAAUUCCAAAUUGAAAGCAUCAGUCCAUUCUUUGGAUGAAAUCACCUGCUUAAAGGUGUUAGGCUCAGUCUCCAUUGAAAAAGAGAGAACAAUAGACUGAUAUGGGGUGUUAAGAGUAGAGUAAGAGAGAACAGAAGAAAGAGGAUAUGGAGUAGUAUAAACCUUUAUAGAAAUGGGAGGAGUAGAAAUUUUUGUUAAAGAACAAUGAUAAUUGGACAAAUAACGUGGUACUUUUGUCGAGUGUUUUAGCCUGGCAUUGGGAAGUGAAACCAGAGCAUUCUCUGUGACAACAGGGUGAUGGAUUUUCCUUGGAGCACUAGAGUGAGAUGAUGAUGCAUGUGAUGUAUAAAGCGGAGGAGAAUGGAUGGUCACAGUAGAUGAAGGAUGCAAAUUAUUAGGCAGUGAAAUCACCUAAUCUAAUGCAACAAGAAUUGGCAAUGGUAAUAUAAACUCUAAAAAAAUAUCAGAAGAUGAACUAGAAAGAAGAUGCUCAGUAAAAGGAAAUAUUGUCUCAUGAAAAACAACAUUUCGAGAAACAGAGAUAAUUUUUGAAUCAAGGUUCAAGACAUUAGAAUACCCUAAGAGUACACAUCGAUCCACACGAGGACUAAAAUUAUGUUUAUCCUUCUGUAACGUAGAAACAUAACAUAAGCAGCCAAAAGAUCUUAAGAAUAAGUAAUCGGGCUUCUUAAGCAUAACCAACUCAUAUGGAGAUUUGUGUUUAAGAAUAACAGAAGGUAAUCUGUUUAUCAAAAGACAACUCCAAAUGAAGAUCCGCUUGCGGCUAUAGCUAGAUCUGAGAGUUGCGAAUAUGCUUACAAAUUUUCAGGCUGAUCCAAUCCGAUUUGCCUGUCUGUUUCUCUCUUACACCAUAACAGGUCGGAUCUGCCACCUAGAUGGUUACAAUGGCUUCGCCUUUAAGGUUCUUGGCCACAAGAUAGCUCUCUGAUCUCUUCUAAGACAUGGCUGCUCUAUUUAUAGAGUGGAGAAGAGAUACUUCUAAAUUUAGAGUUUUAGAGAGGAAAAUAAUGAAAAUGGGUUUGAGAGUUUUUCUGAUGGGUUUUGAGUAAUCAGGCUGAAAAAAAAAAAAAAAAUUAGACCAAACCCUAUUCUUGGGAUGUCACAGAUUUAUUAGAGAAUAUAUUUACAUGAGUUUAUAAUUAUUUGUAUGAUAUUUACAUGAGUUUAUAAUUAAAUCGUACAUUAACAUAGCAUCGUUAUUGGAUAGUUAGUCGGAUCGGUUCAACCGGUCAUACGAAAAGUUUGUUUAAUAUAUAUAUAUAUAUAAGAAAAUAAGAAUAGUUAUUUUAAGAAAAAUAAAGAAAAUAAAAUUAAUUUCUUUUAAUUAUUUACAACUGCCAGCCAGCGAUUACAUCCGUCGCUUGAAGAAACUUAUUAUCUAAAUGAAUAAAUAAACUUUUAAUUUAUAGCGGUUCUAAGCGUCACAAAGAGAUAAGAAACAAGUUCAACGGUUUUAGUGAUUGUUAUUAAACGUCACGAAAAUAUAACCGUAUGCAAACAUAGCGUAUGUGGCUGGCAGCGAGAAAACUAUCCAACACUAAAUAUUACAUAUUUACUUUAAAAUUCAUGCCUGCUUAUUACCAAACCAUAUUUUUACCAAUUUUAAUUGUGACAUUUAAUGUCCGCACAUGCGUACAGGCCAGUCAUAAAUCUGAUAUAUUGCAUUCACAUCAAUUUGUGUGUAUUUUUGUUUUGAUAUGUCUUCUGAUUUUUUUCUGUCCUAUGUAACCAUUUUUUGAUAAUUUUAAUUGGUUGAUCAUUAAUCUUUACGUGUCUUUUAAAAGUGAUGUGGUAUAAUCGUUUUAAUUAGAUUAUUAAAGCUCGUUUAAGAUUGUCUUUUUAAAAACGACAAAAAAAAUCGGACAAAGUAAGUAAUAAAAAUAAAUGUAUGACCCAUAUAUUUGAAAGUGUCACUGGCCCAAUGGCAGAAGUCUCCCUUAUGCAUUUGAAGGACAUGUGUUUGAACCAAGGUGGUAACAAUUUUUUAAAAAAUCGUAGAAUUUUAAAACGACAUCGUUUUGAGUUAACCUAACAGUAACAGCAGAGUUAACAGCGUUUAACUUUUCUGUUAACUUUAUAAACGGAGUGCUGAUUUGGCAAGUCAACGAAAAGUUUGUUAUUAUUUAUGGAAGUCAACAAAAAUUAAAUGUUUAUUUGGCUAGCCUGACAGUUCAUGCUUUUUUUUGGCAAAAUGUGGAAAGUUUAAGGUUUUUUUGGCCGAAUUCUCAAAAUAAACUCAUUAAAGUUCGUUUAAAUUGUUUUUUUAACCAAUAAACAUUAAAACCUGUUUAAGAUUGUCUUUCUAAAAACCAAUUAAAGUCUGUUUAUAGUUGUUUUUAUUAAAACCAAUGAACUCAAAAAACCUAAUAUACUUCUUCGAUACACUAAAUAUAUAUAUAUAUAUCCUCUCUAACAUAGUUUGUCUUUUAAUGUUCUCUUUUUCGGUAAACAUUACAUUUGCUUUUUUCUAUUAAUUUUAUUAACGUACGCUUGAGUUUGAGUUUGUUGCUUGUGCUUAUAAAUUUUUUUGUAACAAUUCCUAAUCUUUUUAAGAUUAUGAUUGAAAAUGUUAGUAUAAACAACCAUAGUUUAAAAAAUAGCAUCAAUGUUCACAUACUCGUGAAACAAUGUAUAGCAUCAAGUCUAUCAAUUUUUUUGGUCUCUUAUUUUAGAUUUGAUGCGGCAAAAAGAUUGCUUUGGGAACCAAGUCUUUUUUUUUGUUGGAAUUAUCUUCUAUUCUUGUCAGUUUUUAUUUUUCAUGCAAACGUUGACAUUAAAAUCUCUUUGUUAGAUUUGAUACCAUAUUAAAUUUCAAAUCUGAAUUAAUCAUUAUAUUUAUACAUUAUUAUUAUGGAUGAGUUUAUUUUCGUUAUCUGUAGCCCAAACUCUCUUCCCACGAAAAAAACGAUUAAACCAAUAAUAUUUAUUAUAAACAGGCCGAUAGACUUUAGUAUAAACAAGUUUCAAUAGCCUAAUUAUAACAAAAUUUGUCACAUCGCUUUAAAGCACGUAUAGAAUUAAUGAACGAACAAAAAAUAAAUACAUGACAUGUCAGGACAAAACGACACAUAAGAUUUUGGACUUCACAAAUAAUAGUAACUAGGAAUUAACAUGCACAUUGUGCGGGGUAAUGUUUUUAAGAAUUUUAAAUAUUUUUUAAAAAAAUUUUGGUUAAGUUAAAAAUUGGUAGCAAAAACCUUUUAACAAAAAAUAUAAAUAAAUAAAAUUGGUAGCAAUUAGAUAACUAUAUAUAUAUAUAUAUAUAUAAAUAUCAUACAACCGAUAUUUACGUGUAUAUGUAUCUAUUGAAAGAACUUUGAGCUAGUUUUGUUAUGCGGUGUAAUUAUUAGUAGUUUUUAAAUGUGAAGGUGAUGUGAUGUUAAUAUAUUCAUACUUAUAUACUGCUGGGAUAAAUUCGAUCCUUCCUACAUGGACGAACUGCAUGCUUGCACGUGGCGUCCAUGUUUUUUUUUUCAGGUACGGCCCCCCUGGGCCAAAUUAGGAUCCGUAGUGGGUCGUAAGCAUAUAGCACUGGGCCUCGAAUCCAUAAGGAUUCGGGAGAUCCGGUACGAUAGAUCACUUGUUCCCGGGUUCCUCGUAUCUAAUAGUGCAGGCCACGCUGUCAGAAGUAAGGAGGUCGAAACUGAGUGGUCAAGAGGAGGAGAAGUCCCAUUUUCUAUGUCCUAGGCCUAAACAUGGUAAUCCGGAAAGGUCGAGAUAUAAGGUAGUGUGGCCUACACAGGAUCUGGAGAGCGGAGUCAUCCAUCGAGACAACCCCGACAGCCCGGUCCCAGUAUCGAGGGAUCCAUGUCAGGUAUGAAAUAAUUUUAUGAGCGGAAAACACUAUUCAAAUUUUCCUCCAUUCGAUAAUAGGAAUAUGCCUUAGUAUGAUUUGAUUGCCCAUACUCUUACAAAACCAUGAAAUUGGCAUUUAAUGCACCCUUCUUACAUGUGUCAGGCGACAGCGACCUUUCACAGAAACUAGAGGAAAAGAAGAGGUUCAUCAAGAGUUAUACCGCGUAUGAACCGCCAACCCAAUCCGUACACUGGAGACGAAAGGAACAUGCUAAGGAGCGGUCUCGCAGCAGGCAGAACACGUCAAGGAAAGUUGGUGAGACCGUCAGAGGUAUGACGUGGGAAAAAGAUUUGAACCCAAUAAAAUCGGAUCGAGAACCGACCAACCCACCCGACUCGCUAUGCAAGGACAGACCCGGUAUACUAACCCGGGUCAGGUAAAAUCCUAUAAAUACAUUAUCCUUUCCAACAAGGAAGGAGAUCACUUUUAUUUGCUAUCUUAAGGCUCAUAUUAUCUCUCUAGAUACUUGUGAUCUUUGAGCCCUAACAUAUUAUACUUUCCGGUCAUUACUCAGAACAAUGUUUUAGUUCUUCUCCACGGCGGUUCCUAAAUCGUGGAGUAUUUCCACCCACAAACUCUUUCAUUUCUUCUCUUUUAACUAAUUCUUUAUAAGGAACGCUGGGCCCAUCUUUCUUCUCUCGUUUUCCGAACUCUUUCCUCUCUCCAAUUAGUCACUCUGUGAUCUUUCUUCACUGUUUUCUGACUUGAACGUCGGAGAACCUUCCGAAAACACACCAUCAUCGUGUUUUUUGGGCCUUCACGUGCUUUCUGUUUUUGCAAGAGACUUACCCCCACAAAGGAUCAAAAAUCUCUAAAUAGUUUAGCGCUAGAAAGAGGAGGGCAACACUCUUCUAUAGGAAGAACUGAAACCAUACACGACCUUGAAGGUAUGUCAUGACAAGAGAAGACGGAGGUAGCUCACCAGAGAACGACACCUUGGAGGGGAUGGAAGGAGAGAACAUCUGCUGGGUCGACAGACCGACCAAGCUAUUCUCGGGAUGCCCGAUGAUAAGGGGAACAUCUUUGGUUCCCCACGCCGCCGCCAAACGCACACUCAGAACUCGUCCAGAGUGUAGAAGAAAAUGCCCUGUAAAAUUCCUUACAUCCAAAAACCUUAGUGAAAGUGUUGGCAAACUGGUCAUUAUAUAUAACAAAUGAGUUAAAGACUCGUGGGCAAUGCCCAAUAAAGUCUGCCAUGGAUUGGUCCUGUACAACAGUUUUUAUAUCAAUUAAAAAGUGCAGGCCUCGUAGGUUGAUCGAUUGCAGUUUGCGGAUUAAACAAUUGGGAUCUAUACUAGUUUCGGCAAAGAUAAUUGACAAGAACGUCCAAAACCGGCUAAGUGAAAGACAACGUCUUGGAGACCAAAAGUAUGAAAGAAGCCUCAUGUAUUGGUUUGCCACACACAAAAAAAAAACUAUUUGUUUUUAGUUUCCAUUUUAUAAAAAAAAACUAGGUAUUUAGCCCUUUUUUGCAUGGGCAGAGAAGUUUAUUAAAUAAUACUAGGAGAGAAUCCGCGCGUAUGCGCAGAUCUUGUUUUAAUUUAUAUUUUGAAUAAUUUGUAUUGAAUUUUAUGUUUACUAUUAUUGUAUUUUUGUUUAGAAUAUUUAUAAUAAAUUAUUUGUAAUCUCUUCUACACCAGUUGUGUCAAAUAGUCUAAUUUUUUCUUCGAUCUUCAUAUUCUUUUUAUUCUUGUAAAUCUUACUAAUAUAAUAUUUGUUAAUUUUCUUAAUUUUCUAUUUGAAUUUUUUUGGUUAUAUAUAUUUUAUUGAUACCAUCUUUUUAUUAUUAAAAAAAUUAUAUAUGACAUUUUUAUGUGGAUACUUUUUUUUACUAUUAUUUUUUUAAUAACUUUUAUCUUUUUAAUAGUUUAUUAAAUAUGCUUUGUGUUUUAUACUUUUAUUAGUUGAAUUUUUAUAUAAGAUUAUUUGAAACUUUUUAAUUUAGUCAGUCUCAUAAUUUUUUUCACUUGCAUUAAAAUUUAAUUAUAUUUUUAGUUUGUAAAUGAAUUUUAAAACAUUUGAAAAAAGAAAAUAGAACUAUGCAAUUAAAAAGUCUUAUAUUAUAUAAUAGUUAUAAGUUUUUAUAUAUUAAAAUUAAAUUUUAAUUUUAUUCUAAUAUAAAUAUAUGUUAAUAUUUAUUUAUGUUUUUAAUGUGUUUGCUUUAAAUAUGAUUAAUUAAUUAUUUUGUUAAUAUUUGAAGAGGAUAGGUGGUGCUCUCUCCAGUGCUGACGUGUCGCUCAACUGGAGAGAGUUGGCCAAAUUUUAUAUAUAUGACUAGGAGAAUACAUGCACGUAAUAUGCGGGUUUUUUCUUUAAUUAUUUCAAAUUGAUAUAUUUUUGUAUUUUUCUUAAAGAAAUAUAGUCAUCAUUUCUUCUAUGUUACUAUAUAAUUAUAAAUCAAUCAAUUUAAAAUUUAAUAUUAUUAAAAAAUCAAGAGUUUAUACAAAAAAGCUAUCAAUGUUUUAGCAUAAAUUCUUGUUUAAUAUUUAUAUAACUGUUAUUUAAGAAUCAGUUAAUAAAAAAAAACUAUUUUCUUUGAAUGGUUGAGAAUUUAAUACUAAAAUUUAUUAAUCAAUUUUUUUUUGAUAAUUGUAACUUUAAAUUAAAAAUUGACAAAUGUCAUCUCUAUAUUAACUCUAAAAUGCUGAUGUGUCACUCAUAUAUAGAGAGUUAGCCAUCUUUUAUAUAUAAGAUUAUAAGUAAACAAUAUAUUUGGUAGUUUAAUCUUCAUCUCUAAAGUAAUCAUUAUUUGCAUAGAUUAGUUUUAUGCAUUAUUUUAUUCAUUCAACUUUUAGCCUCAAAUUUCUCCUUUUUUGGCUAAAUUGACUAUCCUUACUGAUUUUUAUCUUCUCGUAAGCGUAGACGUGAAACCAUUUUAUCCAGUUGUAUGUAACAAAUCAAUCUUUUUUGCUAGCUUUGAUACCAUAUUUAGUUUCAUCUCUGAAAAUUUCAUUAUAUAUACAUUAAGUUUAAAGAUGAUUUUAGUUCUUCAUUCUCUUGAAAUUUCUCCCUGUUUAACGAAAAUUGUCUCUCUUUGGUUGAUACUUAUCUUUUAUGCAAGCGUGGAUACAAAACUUUAAUAUCAUGUUGAUACCAUGUUAAACUUUUUUAAAAUUAUAGUCAUUAUUUAUAGACAUUAAAUAUAUAGAUUAUUGUAACUAGGUGAAUCUCCGCACGUUACGUGCAAGUUUUUUUUUCUUCAACUAUUUCAAAUUUCAAAUUCCUAAGAAAAAUGCAAUCCUACUUUAUUAUGUGUUAGAAUAUUAUUAUAAAUCGAUCAUUUAAAAUAUAAUAUUAUUAAAAAAUUAAGAUUAUACAAAAAAAAAUCCAUCAAUAUUUUUAAUUAAUUAUAACAUAAAUUCUUGUUUAAUAUUUACAGAAAUAUUAUUUAAGAAUCAAUUAAUAAAAAACUUUUCAUUUUCUUUUAGUGUUUUAAAACUUCAUAUAAAAUUUAUUAAUUAAUUUUCCUUAAAAACUUUUGUAACUUUAAAUUAAGAAAUAUGACACAUAUCAUCCCUAUAUUAACUCUCAAAUGCUGAUGUGGCAUUCGUAUGAAGAGAGUUGGCCUUCUUUUAUAUAUAAAAUUUUUCAUUCUCUCUAGUCGGAAAUUUCUUCCUCUUUUGUCGGAAUUGUCUUUUGUUCUUCUAUGUUUUUAUAUUUCAUGCAAGCGUGUACAUAAAAUUAUUAUAUCAGAGCGUAGGUAAACAAUUCUUUUGUUAGCUUUGAUACCGUGUUAAGUUUCAAAUCUGAAUUAGUCAUUCUUUUAUACAUUAUUUUUUAUGGACGAAUUUAUUUUCAUUCUCCGUAGUUCGAUCUCUCUUCCCACGGAAAGACGAUUAAACUAAUAAUAAGAAAACCGCAGACUUUACAUUGAAACGAGCUGCAGAUAAAAUUUAGAAUAAAAUGGACUUUAAUGAUCCAGUUAGUAUGAACUAUGACACAUCACUUUCAAAACACACAUAGUAUAAAUGAACAAUUUAUUAAAAAGCUAGCUUUAAUACCAUGUUAGAAAAUAAACUAAUCCUUUUUGCUAGCUUUGAUACCAUGUUUAGUUUCAUCUCUGAAUUUUUCAUUAUAAAUAUACAUUAAGUUUAAAGAUAAUUUUGGUUCUUCAUUCUCUAGAACUUUUUCUCUGUUUAACGGAAAUUAUCUCUAUUUGUCAGUACUUAUCUUUUAUGCAAGUACAGCCACAAAAUUUUGAUAUCAAAGCGUAGGUAAUUAAACAAUUUUUUUGGUAAUUUUGAUAUCAUGUUAAUCUUUAUCUUCAAAAUAGUCAUUGUUCAUAUACAUUAAUUUUAUAGAUUAUUUUAAUUCUUCAUUCUCUCUAGCUGGAAAUUUCUUUCUAUUUUGUCAAAAUUGUCCUUUAUUUUUUUGGUUUUCAUCUUUCAUGCAAACAUGGACAGAAAACUAUUAUAUCAGAGCGUAGUUAAACAAUUCCUUUGUUAGUUUUGAUACUGUGUUAAGUUUUGAAUCUGAAUUAAUCAUUAUUUUAUACAUUAUUUUUAUGGAUGAAUUUAUUUUUGUUCUCCGUAGUCUAAUCUCUCUUCCCACAGAAGGACGAUUAAACCAAUAAUAAGAAAACCAUAGAUUUUUUAAUUAAAUAAGACCGCAGAUAAAAAUUAGAAUAAAAUUGACUUUAAUGAUCCAGUUAAAAUGAAGUAUGAUACAUCACUUUUAAAAUACAUGUAGGAUAAAUGAAUGACCUAUUAAAAACAUUAAAAAAGUCAAUAAGUUAGAAAAUAAACUAACCACACAUCAGAUUUUUUGCUUCAGAAAUAUAUCGAUUGAAAAACAAUGUUGCACUUGAUGUACAAAUGGCUUUUGAUUGAAUAACUAUUACAUUCAAUUAAAAAAACAAUAACGCCUAGAGAGACUAGAAGUGCCUUUAACCAAAGUAAUUAACUAACCGUCAACACCAUAGAUGGCGCGAUGCUCUUCGACAGAGGAUCAAGACACAAGCUGCUGUUUUUGAGACUUCAAAGAUAUAGAACAACCACCAAACUGAAUAAUAGAAUCUGUAUAAUAACGUCUUGUUGUUGGGCAUCAUGCCCGGCCGGAACUGCCCCAUGCAAUAAGAGACAGAUGAGUCUUAGCUUUUAAAAGAAAACCAUGUCACAGAUUGCCUUUGACCUUGAGUAAACAUAUAAACCUUGUUGUUGCAUCCCAAUGAGUCUGUUUUGGUUCUUGCAUGAACUAAGCAACAAUGUGGACCAGUGUUAAUCUGCAGGUUCAGGAAUUGUACCUCUUUUAACUAAAGCAAGACGUACGAUGGUUCUUCUCCAGAGGCACAGGUCUCCGAAAUGAUAUUAUGAUGGUCACAAAAUGUGAAAGCAGUUUUAAAAAUGUUUCCUACCUAAAAUCCCAAGCGCAAGGCUGAAAUCGAAGUAGUACUAGGUACAAAUUCACAGGGAGGAAGCAGAGUCGACCCUUGGCCAAUCCAAGAAAGCCUAUACUUCCGGCUGAUUCUUUUAUAAAAAAAUAUUUGGUCCUCAAUUAUUCAAAACUUGUCUUAGUCUGGUCAGACUGAUCGUAAAGUCUUAUGUGGCGCUUUUAGUCCCCAUUCCGUGUUCGAAUCUGCAAAUUGCCUUAGUUGUUGGGUCUAUAUGAAAAACGUUGAGAGUCUUUAGAUUUCUGGUAGUCUAUACUCUUAAGGGAAAAAUAAACUUCCUUGGCAGCCUGUUAUAAUCUUAUUUCUUGGACCCAACAGUACGAACAAUGAAAUCGCACUACACAAAACCAAAGAGAAUAUAAUACAGAGACAACAUAAACAACAAACGAUAUUAUUAUGCAAAGAGCAGACAUUACAACUCGAACACUGAGACAUUACAUUAUGAAACUUUAUUCCCAUAGAUUCUUUUUCUUGAGUUACUUCAUUACAAACUCACCAUGGUUCACUUAUAGUCAUACACACGUAUAACUGUAUUAUAUAGAUGUAGCCAUGCAUGGUGGUUAAUAUAAUAUGAAGUUUUUAGUUACCAGGCUGAGUCUCAACUGCUUCUACUCCGUGCCCUCCUCUUCCUCCGUGUCCACCGCGUCCUCCUCUUCCUCCUUUGUAUCCUCCCCCUCCUCCUCCGUAGUGUCCCCCUCCUCCUCCGUAGUGUCCUCCUCCUCCUCCUCCUCCGUAGUGUCCUCCUCCUCCGUAGUGUCCUCCUCUUCCUCCUCCGUAGUGUCCGCCGCGGCCACCACCAUAUCCAUCAGGUUUCACAGUUUCCUCACUCUCUGACUUCACCCCUGUCCAAAAAAAUAUAGAAAAAUCACAUUAUUUCAAAGAUAUUGUUUAGCACGUGCAAAUGUUCUUUCCUCUCCCCGAUUUCAAAAACGAAAUUUCUCUUAUAAACAUUUUAAAAUAUGUAUCGAAUCUCUUGUUUAGAAUAAAGAAUUAUGAGUUUCAAAAUUAAAUAUACGUUCUAUAUAAAAUUUUCACCAAUAUACGUAAGUGUCUUUUAUUACUAGGACAUCAACAUCGUACUUAAGUGUGUUUUUUGACUUAUAAGUCCAUAUAGUUGACCUUCGUUCAAAUCAACCUUCCGGACUUAACACGGACGAAAUAGACAAAUAGAGACAAUAUUAUCAAAUAUGGUACGUUUGUUUGGGUUCGAUUAGCUUCACGAACAUUUAUUUUGUUUCUAUAAAAUAAUUUUAUUUACCCGAUGAUUGCCUUUCUGCGGCAACUUCUGAGACGACGAGAAGUAAUGCAAAGAGACCCAAAAGAAUCAAAGCUUUGGAAGCCAUUUUCUUCUACUGCUUUUAAGUUUAUAACACUCUUUUGUUUUGUUGGAGAAAGAAGUGAUGAAUAAAAUGUUCGCCUGCAUGCUCUCUAUUUAAAGAAAGGGUAACGAAGAGGAGAAAAGUCAAAUAACUAAUCCGUGGACCGUAGUGCAUUAAAAAUAACGAGGAAUUUUAUUUAUUAAAGAGAUAAGUAAGGGUAUUUGCAUUAUUUGCAGAUAAUGACAAAAAGAGCAAUUCAGUAAAAUAGGAUUGAGACUGUGCUUCGCGCGGAUUGUAAUUUAUGUUCAUGUUUUUAUAUAUUUUAUAUAUUAUUUCUUAAGAAAUAAUUUGUUGAUAAUUUUUUCUUAGUUUAAUAGUUUUAUUUUUAAGUUUACAUUGUAUUAACAAUAUCUGUGUUCUGUUAGUUAUUCUUACUGGUAGAUUAAAAACUCUAUAAAUUAAUAAUAUUAGGACUUUGAUAUUUUAUUAAUUUUUAGAGUUAUUAAUUUAGAGGUUUCAAAUAAAAAACUAUUUCUUAUUAAUUUUAAAAUUAAAAAAAAAUCGUUGAAAUUUAUAAUAUUUUUAAAAAAUUAAAAAAAAUAAAAAUGAGUUCCAAGAAGACUUCAAUUUAAAUUAAACAAAAACAUAGUAGAUUAUCUCACUUAUAUGUUUAUAUCAAAUUUUAUUUAUGGUAAUUAUUAAUUUAUGAUAAUAAUGGGACCAUAGAUUUACAUAAGAGUUUUGUUAAGUUUAUUAUCUUAUUAUCUUAUCGAAUUGUGUCAUAAUUUGAACUGGCUCAACGUAACUCAGAACUAUGAAAAAUUAUUAAUUUAUGUAUUUAUUAAUUUAUCGAGUAUUAAUUUAUAGAGUUUUUAUUGUAUGUCUAUAUAAAAAUAGUUUUUUUAAUUAUAUUAUUAACUUCUGUAAUUUUUUAUUUUGUGUGUUUUUAUAUUUUAUCUGUACUAUUGUGUGACUCUAAUUAUAAUUAUUUAAAUUAUUUUUUUAUUUUUCUUAAUUUAUACUCUCUAAAUUAUUAUUUUUUAAUUCAUACUCCGUACAAAUUUUUAUUUUUAGUCAUCUAUUAUUUUGAAUUGUUGAAUAACUAAUUUAUCAUAUUUUUCUUUUUUUGAAAAAAAAAUUUAUACUCCUUUUCCAUCUUCAUAUUUUUAUAAUUUAUUAGUUUUAUCUUUUUUUUUUUUUUUAUCUUUAACGUUUCUGUUUUUGUAUUUUAUAAAAUUCAUCUUCAUUAGUUUCAUGUUCUUCAUUUUUUUAUUUAUUUUUUUCAUUUUCCAAUGGUUUUUGACUUCUACUUUUCUUCCUCCUGUUUUUUUUUAUUCUUUUUUCAUUGUCUUUUUUUUUAAUUAUCAUCAUUUUUCUAAUUUUUUUCAGUUUAUAUAAUAUAUUAUUUUUAAUAAUAUAUAUAUAUUUAAUCCAGUUAGUAUUACAGUUUUCUUUAAAUAUUAAUAUCUAAUUGCCACUUAUCUUUUUAUUAUACUAAUAUUUAUUUUAUUUAAUUUAAUUUGUACUAAAUAUACUAAUAACAAAUAUAAAUAUAUAUAUAUAUAUGUAUUAAAUGUUUAUUUUAAAUAUGCUUUAAUGUUAAAAUUUAUGAGUUUGUUGAUGUGGACACCCUAGAUGGAGAUAAAAUUCUCUUAUUAUAUUACAGAUUAUAAAAUAUUUGUUCUUUCUCAAGGGAACAAAAAUACUUUUUUAUUUUUUUGUUGAAUGUUUCAUUUGAUUGUUAAGGGAAAAAACAGUUUUUUUGUCCCAUAUCGUGUUACAUUUUUAUAUGGACAGGUAAUUUUUUUUUUUUAGGGCUAAACAAAUUUUAUAUAUUAAGAAUAAGGAUUACAAUCUGCAAAUACAGCAUUAGACAACCAUAAAGGUGGAUACAAUUUUGAUGAAUAAAAAACAGCAUUACACAACCAUAAAAGUGGAUACAAUUUUUAUAUGGACAGGUAAUUUAUUGAUUGGAUUUUUUUAUACAGUUUAUUAAAAUAAUUCGAAUGUUUCUCCUCCACGUAUCAUGCUACUUUCUAUUGAAUGAAACCUUUGUCUCAACUUUAAUUUUAUAUUUGAAGUAUAUAAAUAAUUUAGUGCGUUAAAUAUCGGUUUAUUUAUAUAUUUUUUUCUUGAUGGUUUAUUUGUGUUUGAGAAUUUUUUUUUUUUAACAUUUUCUUAGAUUAAUUAAAGAAAUCCAGCCGGUUAAAGCAGUACAGUGAAGCUGUAAAGAGCUCGUUCUGCUAUCUCAUCAGUUAAAAGAUUGUCUGAUUGAGGAAUGUGUUCGAAAAAGAUGCAAUUGAAACAGAGUGACAGAGAGACUAUAUCGAAAGUAAUCCCCGCGAUCUCUUUGAUUUUUGUCCCUCGAUUGAUUGCUCUGAUCAGAUCCGAAGAGUCCGAUUGGACAUGAAGCUUUGUGAUCCCGAGAUUUGUGGCGUGAGUCAUGGCAGAUCUCAGGGCUAGAGCUUCAGCGAUGAUCGGGGAGGUCACAAAUUCUUCGAUAUCCAUACCCUGGUUCCAUGGUGGCGAAUUUCCUCAACGGAAAACCCAACCCAAUCUGCCGAUCUGAUUCUCUUCCUUCCAGGCCACAUCGGUUUGCACAAUGGUAUGGUCUGUUGGGAUUUCCUUCGGAUCUCAUGUUUGAAGAGUUGAAAUCUCCCUUUCCUGUAGGUCAUGUGCCUGAAUCCAAUCUCUUGCAUUGCAGAUGGCUUUGUUCACCGUUUCUAAUGGUGUGAAUGUUCUGUUCUCGAACAGUCGGUGGUUCCUGGAUAACCAGAUGGCCCAGCAGAUCCAGGGGAAGAGUAGUCCGGCUUCUAUUCCUGUUGGAGGUAGAGUGACCCAUCCCUUCGAUGCUUUGAGCCCUGUUGCAAAAUCCGGAAUGAAAAAGGGAUCUAUGGUGUAUUUGAAGGGCGCCAGUGACCAAACCGCCUUGGCGAAGUGACAGUAGAGGAAAAGGUGGUCAGCUGUUUCUCUUUCUCUGCAUAGACUGCAGGAAGCGUUGUUGGAGAGUCCCCCGGUAAGUAGAUUUGCUCCAGUUGGUAGUGCUUUCUUGAGUAUCUUCCAUAGAAAGACCUUUAGUUUUAGGGAAGUUUUCUUAUGCCAGAUAUCUGAGUUCCAGUUAAUUGUGGUUGUCUGUGCAUGAGAGAGUGGUUACUUCAUUCGCUGAUGUGUCGCUGUGUGGUAUCCUGACUUGGUCGAAUAAUUUCCAUCUCUGUUUGGGGUCCAAAUGUAAGAGUCUUCUCCGCCUCUUUUGCUUGGUUUUAUGCUUAAGAUCACAGAUGAGAGGUGUGGGACAAUAACUUCAAUCUUUCUUGUGUCCCAGGUGGUUGAGUUCUCUUUUAUUAGGUCUGAGACCAGCAGAUCUUUAUUGGCGUUGGUGGGAAGGCCAACUACUCCUAGCAGUGAUGUCGUCGAUAGCCAGGGAUCGGACCAUAGGUUGGUUUUUCGUCCAUUUCCAAUUAUUUUGCUUAUAUUUGAUUGCAGGAUAUCUUUGCCAAUCAUGAUUCCCCUCCACCCGUGGGAAGAGGAAGAUGUUGAUUCAGCUCUGAGGAAGGUUGUGGACCGGUGGUAUCUUCUUUUGAGAACUCGGGCCAGUAGACACUAUGGGUUUAUCAAGAUUCUCCAACUCAGUUUGGCCAGUAAGGUGUCGUUGAAGCACUCAAUGUCACAGAAACCAAGACCACCCUCUUUCUUUGUUCUUGUUAGCUUUGACCAUGCUAGCCAACACAUUUUUCUUUUUUCAGGGUUGGCGUCCCACCAAAAGCGAGUAAGAGCGGAUUGGAUGCGUUUGCAGAGACUUGCAGGGAGCUUGAAGCACGACAUCGUGUACGCUGGGAUGGCUGAGAGAACUGUCUUCAGCAUCGUGAUUUUACCCGCCGAUGAUAGAAAUUUUGUUGACCAACUCGUUGACGUAUCCUGUCCACAAUCUGAGUAAAGAGGUCUUUUUUCCUUCUCCCAAAAUGUUCGGGUAAGCCAAGGUACUUCCCUUUACCUCCCUCUUGACUGAUUCCCAGAUCCUGUUUAACUCUUUCUCGUACAUCAUCAGGAGUUUUGCAUGAGAAUGUAAAGGAUGAUUUUUGUAGAUUGAUCUUCUGUCCCGAGGCUUCUUCAUAUUUCCUGAGAAUUGCCAUGAGUUCUGCGCAGGCUUGGGGGGAUGUUUUACAAAAGAACAUUGUGUCAUCCGCAAAUAGUAAAUGGUUUAUUCUUGGGCUUUCUUUUGCAACUCUAAUGCCUGACAAGCGGCCAUUCUGUUGAGCUUUUUUGCAGAGACCAGAGAGCACUUCACCACAUAUGAUAAAUAUAUAGGGUGAUAGUGGAUCACCUUGUCUGAUGCCGCGUUGAGGGAGGAUUGGAACGUACGCUGGGUCAUUCACCAGAUACGAAUAGGAGACUGAGGUGAUGCACAUCAUUAUCCAAGUAAUCCACUUCUCAUUGAACCCAAGCCUUUUCAGCACCGUUUCAAUGAAGCCCCAUUCCAGGCGAUCAUAUGCCUUACUCAUGUCAGUUUCAACUGCCAUGAAGCAGUGUUUUUUCUCUUUAGAUCGUUUGAGGAAAUGUAGAGUCUCAUGUGUUAUCAUGACAUUGUCUGAUAUGACCCUUCCAGGGACAAAAGCUGAUUGGGAUUCUGAAAUGUUUUUUUUCCAGGAUAGGUUGGAGCUGCUUGGUGAGAAUCUUCGAGAAGAUUUUGUAAAAGACACUACAGAGUGCGAUUGGCCGGUAGUCGGAGACUGUACGUGGAGCAUUGUGUUUUGGUAUCAGCCGAACCAAAGUAUGGUUGAUGGAGCUGGGGAAAGAUCCGGAACUAAAGAAACUUUUGAUCUCUGAAGUUAUUGCAGGGCCUACUGUUGUCCAGUUUGAUCUGAAGAAAGAUGCAGAAAAGCCAUCAACUCCUGGAGCUUUAUCCAGAUAGAUGGAGAAGAGAACAUCGUUUGAGAAUAUCAAAUAAAUAUAUUUUAAAAGUUUUUAAAAAAUUAACUGCUACAGUUUCUACUUAUAUUUUUAUUAAUGCAUUUUAAAAACUUAAACCAGUUCAAAAAUUGAAACCAAAUAGUAUUAAAUUUGUAUACUAUAUAAAAAAAAAAAAUACACACUACUACCGAUAAAGUAAGCUACUAGUUAAGCUCAUUGCUUAGUCUUGUUGUACUUCUAGUUUGAUUUACAAUGGAAAUAGAAAAGAUGUUUUACGCCAUAUCAUAUAGUAUUAGCAAAGACUAGUCCCAAGAGAAGAGAAGUUGUAAGAAGGAUUAAGAUCAUGAAAAAAUACACACUCUAUAUUAAUCAUAUAUUUACCAUAAUAUUUUUUCAGUUUUCAUCAAUUCUAACAGUUUAUUUACAAAAACUAUGUAUCCGUGUAAUCUCCUUGGUUUAGUGAUUGACCAUAGAUUUAAUUUGAUUCCAAAACGAUGCUAGUUAAUGGAAUGCAAUUUUAUAGAAGGUUUAGCAUGGUGCAAAUAGAGCUGUUCGUCAUAAUUCAUCAGUCAAAGUAAAACUGCCCAUCACAAACAUGGUACAUGUAGAACCAUUUAUCGUGGAUUCUUGUAAAUAGAUAAAGAAAAUCAUUGUAUAGAAGCAUUUGUAUAAUUGUUUUCAUAAUUUAUAAUCCUUUAUACAGUAUUAAUCAAUUAGGGUUGAUAAAAAACAGUAGUUUCACAUUUAAUUUACAAAUAAGUCAUCUGAUGUGUCAUCGCCAUAAAACUUCUCCAAAAAAAAGUUAACUUACUAGAAUAAUUACAUUCAUGUCAUUUAGAUUACAUUCAUGUCAUUCACAUUUAAUUUACAAAUAAGUCAUCUGAUGUGUCAUCACCAUAAAAGUUCUUCAAAAAAAAGUUAACUUAUUAGAAUAAUUACAUUCAUGUCAUUUAGAUUUAAUACAUGCAUAUAUAUAUAUAUAUAUAUAUUAUAAUGAGAUUUAUGUAGAAUAUUAAAUUAAUAUUAUUUUUAAGUUUAUUCAUUUCUAUAAAAAAAAAUUAAUUUUUAUUUUUUGUCUCCAAAUUAUAUUACUUUGAUUCAAAGGGUUAUGAUUUUAUUUUCAAAAUUUCUUUUUUAUUGUGACAAUACAAGUUCAAUAUUUAUUUGCUCAAUAUAAUUUUUUAUUACAAAAUCUCUUAUUUUUCAUAUUUAAAUUCAAAUUUAUAUAAUGGAAGAUCUAACCUUCAUAUUAUUUUUAUGAUUAUUCAAAUGUAAAGCAUGUAAUAUAAUUCGCACACGUUUACUAAUGAUUAUUGAGAUAUAAAAAUAUAAUAGUGUUUAAUGCUAAAGGUCUCAUCAAACUAUAUUCUGAUUUGAUUAUAUCGUUUGAUGCUAAUAUAGUUUUAUGCUAUUGGUCUUAUCCAGGGGUGGAUUCAGAAAAAAAUUUAGUAGAUAGCAUAAUUUUAUAAAUAGGGAAAAACAAUUUUUUAUAUGAAAACAUAGUAUUAACAUAUAAUUUUAAUGAAAUUAAGUUAACAAUUGGAUUGUUUCAGCUUUUACAACUACUUUUAUAUUCAAAUAAGCUUUAAAGAUUGAAUUUUUUUUUCUUUUACUUUUUUUAUUAACAUGAGCAACAUAAUUUUAAACUAUAGGGAUUUUUUCCUUUUUAUCACUAAAUUAAGAACAUUUAAAUUUAAUUUACCAAAACUAUUUAGGAAAAAUAAAAACGGUAAGGGAAACAUGACCCGAUAUGGUCUUUACUAUGUCCGCCUCUGAUCUUAUCAAUCACACACGUACAAAGAGAUAUUCACGUGACGAGUUGCAUAUUUUAAUUUAAAAUUGAAUAAAUUUUUUUACAGAAUACUAUUUAUUUUACAUAUUCGAAUUCAAAUCAGAAUAUUUUUUAUUCAAAUAUAAUUGUAUUAAAUUUUAUAUUUAAAUUCAAAUCAAAUCAAAUAAAGCUUUUAUUUCUAAUCAUAAGAAAGUGUAUAGUUAAAUCAAAUUUUAAUAAAUUUGCAACUAACAUAUAUCUGCAGGGAUUAUUCAAUUAGAACAAGGUUUAUAUAGAAUAAAUAGAUUUUUCAUGGUAAGAGUAAUUUUCACUAUUGGUACUCCUUAUGGAAAGAUAAAUUGUUGCUAUUAAAUAAUUAGAUAUUAAAUACAAAAUUACGUUUUCUGAUUGAAGAGACAUUUGAUUUCGAAUUCACAUUCAAAUCUUCUUAAUAUGUGGGAAACCCUUGAUUUCCAGCACUAUUUAAUCGAUAUCGAUUAGCACCCUUUCUUAUGAUUAAACAAAUACAUACUAAUAUAAUUUUUAAAUAUUUCAUUUGCAAGACCGAGAUUACUACCUACAAGAUAACUACUUAGGCUAUUAAAAAGCUGACAAAAAGGCUAUUAAUAAAAAUAAAACUAUCAUUCUUAGGGAUUUACCAUAUGCUUCAUACAGUGUUUCCUUAAGAGUUACACUUCUAUUUGUCCAUUUACCGGUGAUAUUUUCCUAUUUUUAUUAACUCUAGCAAUUGUCAAUUACUUAAAAUAGGUUAUUACCAGCGCAGAAUAAAUAUUAAUCAUAAUUUUUUAUUUAAAUAUGUAAAUAUAAUGUAUAUAAGUACAACUAUAAAAAUGUUAGCUGAUAUUUUUAAUUACAACUAUAUAUGCUGAUUAUGCAAUCAUAAAUAAUAAUUAAAAUUACAUUUAUUUUGUAAUACAAAUACAUAAAUGCUAAAUAAUUAUUAGUUUUAUAAUUAAUUUUAAUAAUAUUUUUUAUAUGACUGAACUUACACAUUAAAUAUACUAAAUUAGAUUAAUAUGUUCUAUCUAACAGGUCUAACAUCAAACUAAAAUACUUUGCUUUUGAUAUAAAAAAUUGAAUUAUAAUAUGUAUGAAAAUAUUUAGAUUAUUUUAUUAUUAAAUAGAUAAUGUAAUUAUUGUUUUUUAAAGAAAAGUAAGAUCAAAUAAAAGACAAAAUACAAAAUAUAAUGUUUAGAAACAUAAUUAAUGUUAUGUAUUAAAAUUUUAUAAAUGUGAUAAGAAAUAGAAAUAGAAAGAAUAUCUUUACAAAUUAAAUGUUUGAGUAUUAAAUAUAUAAUUGACAUAAAUUAAUUUCUAACCAAAUUAAUGUUAGUGGCAUAUGAUAUACUUAAUCUAGUAAGUUUCUUUUUUUUUGAACAUUUAUUAAUCUAGUAAGUUGACCAUACUUUUUAAAAAUCUAUAAAAAACUCUCUGAAAUUAACACCUCAAUAUGACACUUAUGUAAAUAAUACAUAAGAUAAAUGUUUUUUUUAAAGCAUUUUUAUCAAUUAAUAAUAUAUAACUUUUCAUUUCAUCCCGUGAUUUACCCAGUCCGUCCUAAAAUUAAAGUGGUAAGAUGAUGAUAAGUAUAUGUCUACGUUGCAUCGGUCCCCUUAUGGUGGGUUGUUGGAUCCAUCAGUGAAUAAUUUGAAAGUCUAUAAAUGGCGAACCCCACCAGUGUUUUAGACUGUUUCUUAUUAAUGUCUUUUUUUUUUUGGCAGUCUUAUUAAUGUCUUAAACACAGCACAAUCACACACGUAUAGAACUAUAGAUAUCUAGAAAUUCCAUUAUUGGAUUAUAAUUGAUUUUAUUAUGACGGAUUCUUUUGGACACAAAAGCUAGCCGACGUCUUCUUUGAAAAUUCUCACAACCGACAGAUUUUAAACAGCCGUAUAGAGACAAAGGCAGUGAGAGUAAAGCAUAGAGUGACAACACGUAGUAACUACAAAGAAUUGACUUUUUAAAGGGUGCAAAAUUUUGCCUGGCUAUAUUUAAUCGUUAUACUUCUUUUUAUGGAUAAUUGCUUGGCUAUAGUUAAUUUAUGCCGACUGCUACCAAAAUAUCGAUCAAAGUCACCUAAGCGUAGAGAAAGCUUGAGAUUUACGUAAUUAUAAUUCAUUUUUUUCAAAUCUAAAUAUUCAAAAAAUUGAUUAUAAUAUGUAUGAAAAUAUUUAGUUUUUUUUCAAAUCUAAAUAUUUAGUUUUUUUUCAAAUCUAAAUAUUAAAUAUACUAAAUUAGAUUAAUACGUUAUAUCUAACUAAUCUAACAUCAGAUAAUUUGUUUUUAAUAUAAAAAAUUUGAAUUAUAAUAUGUAUAAAAAUUGUAGUUUUCAAAUGAGCGUAGAUAUAUAGUUUUCAAAUUAAGCAUGUUUAUUUCAUAUAUCAGAUUGGAUAGUAUUUGAUUGAGAUACAGGUUGUCAUGUAGUUUUCAAAUUAAGUAUGUUCAUUCCAUGUAUUGGAUUGGGUAGUAUCGGAUUGGGAUACGGGUUGUCAAGCCCAGACCCGAACCUCAAAACUUUUGGGUUAAGAACGAGAAUAAAAAUUAUGGGUUAUAAAUUUGGGAUACGGAUUGUCAAGCCCAGAUCCGAACCUCAAAACUUUUGGGUUAGGAACGAAAACAAAAAUUAUGGGUUAUAAAUUAGUUAUUCUAAAAAAGAAAAAAAUGUUAAUAAAAAGGUUAGAAUGAUCGAACUUCUCACCUUGAAUAUGUUAUUUUCAAACAAUAACUAGUUCCACUACUGAAGAUUAUAGUAAAAACCGGUCAGAAAAUACAUACUUUAUAUAUGGUUGGCAACACAUGCUUCCUUACCUUCUAUCCAAAAUCCAAUUUUAUACCAGUAUUUGGGGAAGAUCCAAUUAAGCAUGUUCAUUCCAUGUAUCAGACUGGGUAGUGAGAAGAUCAAGAGAUUGUUGAACAGUUCUUAUGUUGUAUAAUUGUAAAAGAACCGAUUACAAUAUAUAUAUAGAAGCUUUAGCUUAAUCCUCAAGUUAAAGAUAAACACAAAUAAGGAAUAUUUAAGAUUUUCUAAAUAUUUUCUCAUACUCUCCCUCAAGAUGGCGAGUGGAGAUCCCGAACUUCCAUCUUGCCAAAAAUAUAAGAAAAUUGAAUUCGUCCAAGUGCUUUAGUAAACAAGCCUGCAAGCUGUUCAUGUGUGCGAAUAUAAGCCGGUGCGAACUCCUGCUUGGAAGGCAUCACAAAUAGUGUGACAGUUGUUCUCUAUGGAUUCUGCAGAAUGUCUAGUGCUGCCUUGUUAUCACAGUAAAAAGAAACUGGUUCUGGAUGCUUGAUAUCGAACACAGAAAGAAGCUGGAGAAACCAUUGUAUCUCAGAGAAUGUGUAAGACAUUGCGCGAUAUUCCGCUUCUGGAGAAGAACGAGAGACAACUCUGUUUUUUUUUUUUUUUGUCUUCCAAGAGACAAGGGAAUCACCAAAUAAGAUGGCAUAACCAGUGAGGGACUGCCAAGUUAUCAGACAAGAAGACCAGUCCAAAUCACAAUAAGCAAACAUGUGAAGAUCGGGUUUGGAGUUAAGGAAUAUACCUUGCCCAUGCGUACCCUUAAGAUAUCGUACUACUCGAGUCUCUGAAUCUCAAUGCUUCUUCCGUGGUUUAGUGAGGAACUGAGCGAGUAAAUGGACCGCAUAGCUGAGAUCAGGCCGAGUUACAGAUAAGUAUACUAAGCGUCCAACAAGCCAACGGUAUCUGGAUGGAUUGUCAAAAUAUUUUCCAUCGUCUCCAGCUAGUGUAUGGUUUAGCGUAACCCUCAAGUUAUCCAAUACAUAUUCUGAUAAGCCGCAUUCAGAAACGAUAUCCAAUGAAAUAUUUCUUUUGGAAAUAUGGAUCCCUUUCUUUUCACAAAAUAUUUCCAAACCGAGGAAGUAUUUUAACACGCCAAGAUCCUUUAUAUGAAAACUCUUACUCAUGUAAGCCUUGCAUUUGGAGAUAAGAGUUGUGUCGUUGCCCCCUCUAACCAAGUCAUAUACAUAAACAAGAACAUAGAUGCAAGAAGAGCCACGAUGAUAUGAGAAGAGAGAGUAAUCCUUCUUGUUUUGUACAAAACUAAACCGCAACAACGACGCUAAAAGCUUAGCAAACCAACAACAUGGAGCUUAUUUGAGACCGCAGAGAGACUUUUGUAGUCUACACACUUUGUUUUAAUCGGAUGAAGAGAAACCCGGCGGAAGCUGAUGUGGUGUAUGCGGGGGUAUCAAAUUUUACCCUAAAAGAAAUAAAAGAAAGCCGCAAGUGCACAGCUAAUCAGUUGUAAUACUUAGAGAUCGAAUCCAUAGAGAUUUGCCAAAUAUUUUUCUACGGUCUCGUAGCUUGUUGGCCGUCUUCAAAUGUCUUCGGGGAAAAUGGAAUAUCUUGAGAUCCAACCGUUGGAAUGUCUCCAAAGUAAGUGCAUUUGAAAGCUGGUUGAGUCUUCUAUUAAGUAUCCAAUUUUGGGGAUGAUCAGACGGUGAAAAGCUCUUCAUCUCUCCUUGAGAGUUCUGACGGUCUGAAUUUAUCCAAAAUAGUCUUUUUGUUCCAAUUUUCACCUCUUUCUUCCAAAUUACCUGAAAAGUCUUUAAAAAUCCGAAAACAUAAAAAUCAUUUGAAAACCUUUGAAAAUGGAGUAAAAACACCUGCAAAAUAUAUUACACUGAUCCAUAAAAAUGGUCAAGGUGUUAUAAACUCCCCCAGGCUUAGACUUUUAUUUGUCCUCAAACAAAACAAAGAUCAAAUCUCGGUGAGAGGUUUGAAAACGCAGGAACUAACAAAAUCUCAGAGACCAUACUUCUAGACUAAAAUCAAUCAUUAUGCAUUAACCGGGGAUAACCUAGAAAAUUCUCACUAAAAUACAUGCAUAACUAAUCCGUUGAUCUGUCAUGCGAAAGUAUAUACACUUAGAUCUAACUUCCACUCAACUAGCUCUUAACAUUUAUUAAAAAUCUAUGUGGUUCUCAUCAAAAUAAGUAUAAGCAAGGCGAUUUGGGCUAGGUGUCAAAAAGGCUCUUUUCGGGGUGAGGUUUUAAAGUGUUUUGGGUUACCUUGAUUUUUAGAGAAGUAGGGUAUUAUGCAAAACAGCAAGAGAUAAUGGAGCUGUUGAUAUCUACAGUUUCCAGUCACAUUCUUCUUGCUUUAGAAUCUUUUAUAUUUCUCAGGUUCUCCUUUUAGUUCCCCCAGACUUAGAUUCUUGUCUGGGUUGUAACCGUAACUCCAACAGAUGCAUACUAAUCGCCUUUUGCCUCAAAUAAUUUUGGCCAUCUAAGACUCUUUAGGCUUUUGUUUCUUUUCUUUUCAUUCUUUUUCUUCUCUCUUUUUUCUCUUUUUUUUAGAAGAGGGAAAACACCUUUAGAUAUAGAGUCUUAGAGGACACAAAAAUUUAGCAUUAAGAGCAACCUUUUCGAAGUGUCUUAACAUUGCCGAUGUACCUCCCUUCCAACUCCCAUUUAGUUCUUCUCUUUGGAUGACUGAAAACUGUGCCGUUCCUCCCUCUCCAGCGUUUUUGCUCAUAUCUGCUGAUAUAAGCUAAAGAGAGGAUAUGUGAGGUAUGAAAAAAAAAGGAUUGGGUAAAGGUAUGGUACCAGCUAAAGAUGAACUAGCCAUCUAAGACAACAAAGAGUGGUAAAAAUGAGGGAAAAGGUGUUCUAGAUGUAUAUCUUGAUGCUUGCCUAAAAUCAAUGAUGAGAAACUUAGAUAUCAAUAUUAAGGUGAUGUGGCCAUCAACCCAGCUCAACAUCACAAAGAGACCCCAAUGAUCUUAGACAAACCAGACGGCCCAUCCGAAGCCGAGAGAUGCCUUAUAGAAGCUGAACCGGAGAAAAUGAGCAUAAAGGCGAGCCCAACAGAAACAGAAGUGAAAACUUGGAGUUUCACCAACCAAAUGUCAUCAAUGGAGUCUGUGAUCGAGCCAAAACACUUUUCAGUUGAUCCAGAAAUGAAGUUACCCAAGAAUCAACUCAAACUCUUGGCCAAAGCAUGUUCAAGCAACACAAGAAGACCCAUGCACCUUAUUCAGCACUGAUGAAGUCAGAGAUCAGCUGGUACAGCUCGGCCAACACUUUUAUUACAUUUCUAUCUCAUCCAGUGAACGCCUAGAAGUGGAAUCAGCCCAAUUAGAUCUCAGAGAAAUGAGUUAUUCAGCUUACAAAUCAGGUGAUGCACAACUUCUACGAUUUGAACAUACGUGCCUUAUUUGGAGGUUUCCGACCGAACCAGAAGGAUAUAAGCUGUGAACCGACUUGUUCCCAAUUCUUGAUUCAUCAUAGAAUCGGAGACAGUUGGAAUCAAACCAAUACCGGUUAUGGUUAGAAAUUUAUUCACUUUACAAGUUGGAAGAUCUGUUUCAGACCCAAUUGCGCAGUUAGGCUGAAGAUCUUACUCUACAGCCCAACUCAUCCACGUUCUCAGCCCAAAAUUACUUGGAGAAUAUUUUUUGGUCUUUCUUGGAUCCAACAAGCUCAAGAUCCGAAGAAUUUCUCAUUGGAACUUCAAGUUACACCCAAUAUCCCAAAACGGGUUGACUUGGUUCCAUUUAUGGCAGGUCUGAGCUCUGACUGGUAUAGAUCGCUAUCUACAAGAGUUUGGCGCCCAGGAGAGACUCUAAGGCAACUAAGGAAGCUUAGAAACACCUUACCAUGCACCAGCACCCACAGGAUCAGGCGGAUCGUUUUGCAAGCUUACUUUCCUUAUGUGGCCGCAUUCACACUCGGUGCUAUUAAUCACCAAUAGCUCUUUUCCUUUGAAUGCUACGACUUGGACCCUAAAAACGUCUAGAUACAAAGGCAUCAUCACAUUUUCAUAUUUGGUCGAGAUCCUCUUAUUUAGAGCCUAUCGGCUAGUUUUUGAUUAGCUUUGAUUUGUUUCUUUGUUUUUAGCAUUUUAGAACGUGUAAGAGCAUUAUAUAAGCUCAUAUUAGUCCAUUUGUAAAAACUCAUCUUUCAAUCAAAUUAAUACAGAAGUUUCUUAUUUUCUUUCAAAGUGUGUUCUUUGGAAAAUUGUCUUUUCUUUUGAAUAAAUGUGUGAGAUUCACUUCUAUUCUCUAGAAGCCACGAAUUUAGUUGUUUGUGUUACUCAAAUAACUUGUUCGUUCAUCGAUUGAGAGAGUCAAUCAAACCACCACCUUCCAUCUCAAUAUCACGUACGCCCACUUUCGCAAACAAACUUGUAAACUCUUGAUUAUCUUGUGAACAUAAGAUUUGGUGGAUUCCAAUCUUAUAUCAUUUGGUAUCAGAGCACAAGUUCCUAUCAAAGUGCUUAUGUUCUUUAUCUUUCCCUUUUGUUAUUUUAAUUCAGUCUUUUUUCAUUUUAAAUCAUAAAAAGAAAAAAAAAUUAUUGUUUUGAAAUAUUCUAUGUUUUCUUUAAUUCUAAAAAAUCAGAAAAUAGAAAUAAGAAUUUUCCCUUUUGUUAAUUGCAUUUUCGAAUUUUGUAUCCAAAAAUAUAUAAAUAUAUUUAUCGGUUUUUCUUUUAUUUUUGGUUUUGCUUUAAUUCCAUUUAAAAAUCAGAAAACCAAAUAAAAAUAUCUUCUAUUGUUUUCUUAAAUUUUAUAACUCAGAAAAACAGAAUUUUCUUUUAUUAUUUAAGAUUGUCGAAUUUGUUUAGUUUUUUAAAAAAUCCCUUAUUUUUGAAAUAUUUUGUUGUUUGCUUUAAUUUCAUUAACCAGAAAAAAAAAGAAUUUUUAUUAUUAUUAGAAUUUUGAAUUUGUUAAACAAAAAAAAAAAGAAGAAGAAGAAACCAUUGUUUUAUUUACAUUCUCUUUCUUUCCUUUCUUGCUUAAGCCAAACUUUGAUACGCUUCUUCUUUAUCUCUGCGAGGUACAACCCUAAGGAGCAGCCACCAUGACUGAAUCAGAAGAAGAUCAGUACCAAUUUGAUGGAGACCAAUGGUGUCAAGGAGAAGAGAGUUUAGCUUUUUCCGAUGAGGAGGCUGACUAUGAGUCUCCACCGUGACUAGGAGAUGGCUACACCAGCUCUGGAAUUGGAGAUGAAUCAGACUGUGAAGAGUACGAUCCAGAGCCACCAUAUUACAGCAGAGUCAACACUAAUCAAUCAGCUUAGUCUAGAGAUAAAGAGACAGGCCGAGAAAAAGGUGUAGAAGGUGACCAUGAAGGAGAUCCUUGGCAGGACGAAACUGAGUCUUAAUAUCACGAAGGAAACUACAACACUGAACCAGAAGACAGAGAUGACUCAGAGCAUUGAGAUUUUGACCAUGGAGAACAAGGCCGAUCUUUAGAACCUUACCAAAGGCCAAGGUGCGAAGUAACUGAUUCUGAAAUCAGUUCAAUAGAUGCUGACAAUACUGAUGGUGAGUCUUGGAGCCACGAGACAGAGCUAAAAAAAAGCAUGGUUGAUGGACCAGAGCUUGACGAGGAGGAACAAGAGCCAAAUGGAGACAACAUCAACUACACUGAACAAGACUAGCCAGAUGGUGCAACAACAGAUGAUGAGGUAGAUGAUGAGCCACACCACAUCUAUUUUUCAGGUCAUGAACAAGGACCAGAAGCUUACCUAUAGUGGGAGAGCGAAAUAGAGUACAUGAUGAAGUCACAAAACAUUCCUAAGGAUCAGAGACUUUCAUAUGCACUUGACUCGUUUGUUGGAGAAGCUACUACAUGGUGGGAACAAGAGGAAGUUGUGGCCAACUAUAAUAAUUCUGCCAUCACUUGGGGUAAUCUCAUGCAGCGUAUGUACAAAGAGUUUGUACAGAAGUCCCAAAACCGCAGCUACAUUCCCAAGAGGCUAAUGUUCAAAACAGCUACAAAGAGGUGGAUGUCUACGCCAAAAUCGCAGCCUGUUUCUAAGUCAAAGAAAGCUUGCUAUUCUGAGCUAAAGAAAGUGUCUCAAAGCACUUUGGAAAAGAAGAUAGAGGUUAAGAAUCCAGUGGGAGCAACAGGAGUUAAACCAGCCUCCAAACAGCCUGAUCACUACAAGAAAAACACCGUUUUACAACGGCCAAAACCUUCGUAAGUUCAUUGUAAAAGUCUUAUUACGACGAACAAGCGACGGUUUGGAAAUUUUCGUAAACUUAUCGUCGUAAAUGACAUUUCGUCGUAAAAGCGUCGUACAAUCUAGGACGGUUAUAAAUCGUCGUAACAUCGACGUAAACUAAACGUCGUAAAAGCGUCGUAAUGGUUACGAUGACUUUACAUCGAUUUGUCUCAAUUUGGUUUUCAGCGUAACCGUCGUAAAGUCGUCGUUACCGACGUAGGUUCGUCGUAUAAUAUACGAUGUAUAUAUCAUCGUAAUUCGAUCAUAUUAAUUUUUUUCUUUUCGACAUAAAACCGUCGUAAAACACUGACGUAUAUGUGUCGUACAAUACGUCGUAUAUUAUACGACGAAUAUUUGGUUGUAAUUGGAUCGUAUGGUUAUAUAUAAUCUUACGACGAUUUUACGACGAUUUAUUAAAUAAAUAAUAAAUAUAUUACGACGAUUAUACGAUAUUUUUUAUAAAUAAAAUUAAAAAAACAUUUAAUUCGAAUUAAAAUUUUAAUUAAAAAAGAAAUAAAUUUAAAUUUAAAUUUAAUUAAAAUUUAAAAUAAAAAAAUUUAUAUUAAUUAUAAAAUAACUUAUCAAAGAUCUAACUCUAAAAUAAUGUCGUCUAUCACCGCAUCGAUCCGCUCCGGAUCCCCAUCUUGCUCCACAGGUUUCUUGCCGGCUCUUCGGUUGGAGGUAUCCGGCACCUGAUCCCCGGCUCUAGGAGGAUCAACCCCGAGAGACCGGAACAUCUCCUCGUCUGUCUGCACUGGUGGUUGCCUCCUAGAGGAUGAAGACGAUGUCCCGACGACUCUAGCUGCCCGCAACCUAUCCAACUGCGUCUGGGGCAACGGGUUGUCGGCCCCCAUAAUCUCGAAGAGACCGUACAACUGGUCGAUCUUCGUCUCGUACAGCGUCCGCAUCUGAUGGAUCUCCUGGCGGAUAACGACUGGAUCCCAUGCCUGGACAUGUCCAGUCGCUGUAGCGAUUGGGGUAUCACGGAUGGAUCCCAUCCCUAAAACCUGGCCCUUCUUCCGAGGGGCAACCUUAAAAAAUGUAGAAAACUUAUGUAAAACAGUACAAUAUAUAGUUAAAUUUAAACUAAAUAGAAAAAAUAAAGUAAAUUAAACUUACCUCUUCGAAGAUCUGGUCCAUCUCCGCCACCGUCAAUAUCGGGGUGGACUGGACCGAGCUACUUCCGGGAGAUGUCGGAGGUGCCUGCUGGGUGAGCUGUGUAUGCUGCUCCUCAAUCCUCGCACAUGCGGCGUUGUAGAUCUCUUCCGCUCGAGGAUCCGUGAAUUCGCCGUUCUUCUUCUUAUGGGUCUCGGCGAAAACCUUCGUCAUCGGAGGAAGUUCUCCCCCGUUUUCUUCGACCUACAAAAUCAAUUUGAAAUUAUUAAUAAGAUAAAUAAGGUUUAUUAAAAAAAAACUUAUUAAUAAAAACUUACCAUCAUAAGUCGUCUCUCGGCGAAAGGAACCUGGCCGGAAGUGUGUGGGACGUUCUUUAGAUUUCCCACAACGUCAGCAACGUUCCUGAAAAUGAAAUAUUUAGUAAUUAGAUUUGUAAUUAAAAAUAUAAUAUUAUAAAUUAAACACAUUUUAAUUUAAUUUACAAAUAUACCUGGAUGUGGAACACUUGGCGGCAAUAGUCUGGUUGUUCGGGGUCAACCAAUGAUGCACCUCCCAGACGGUAUCGGCCAUUGGCGUGGCUUCUCCUUGUUGCCGUCGACCUCCCACUUCCGCUUCCAGUCAGAAACGGUGUUGUUGAGCCGGAACUUGACCUUUUCAUUGAAGGCCGUCUUCACACGUUCGUGUGCGGAAGUUUUCCAAGGCCAGUUUUGCUACAAAAAAAAAAGAGUUAGUAAUUAUUGUAAAAAAAAAAUAAAAAAUAAUAUAAACCAUAAUUUUAAAUAACUUACCGCGAAACACUUGAACCAAGUGUCAAUAGUUUCCUGAUCCAGCUUCUUCCAGCUGGUAUGGGGUUGUACGAAUAACCCCUUGAUGAUGUCGGAAACGUUACGACCGACUGCGUUAUCGGUCGUAAACCUAGUCAUUAAAAAAAAUUUGGUUAGAUAUUUAAAUUAAUUAUAAAUAUAAAUCUUUUAAUGAAAAAUUUGUAAAAAAAAAACCAAAAAUCGUACCAAAACAUCCCCGGAGCUCGAUCCGGAUAGAGUUUCUUCAUACUCCCACGACCCGGUUGCCGUAGAAGAUCCUCAACCGUAUAUUGGACAUACGGUUCAGGCGGUAUCGGGGCUGCGGCUGGUGCAGGUGCUGCUGGUUCGGCUUGUAGUGGUGGAGGCGGUGCAGGCUGUGGUACAACAAUUGGUUGUGAAACUGUACGUUGAGGAUGGCGGACCCCGUAGCUAAGGUGGACGGAGCGGUAGCGUCUGGAUCAACCAUCUCCCGAUAGUGGAACCUCUUGGUCCGGAGAGCUAUCUAAAUAAUCUACAAAAUUAAAUUAAAUAUAAUUACUAAUUAAUCUAUUUAUUUCUAAAUUCCAGAAAUUCCGAAUCUUACUAAUUCCCCUAAUUAUAUCUAUAUAAGGAUUAAAAUUUGAACAGGAAUAUAAAUUAUAAUGAAAAAACUAAAAAAAACUUACAAAUUAAGACUGGAGAGGAGGGAGAGCAAGAGAGAGAGAGUCUUUGUAGAGAGAGAGAGGGAAGUGAGGAAUGAGAGAUGAUGGAGGAAAACUCACGUCCCUUAUAUAGAUUUUGUGAUCGUUGUAAAAUCGUCGUAACGUUACGACGGUUUUACGACGAUUUGGUUGUAUAAUCAUCGUACCAGUGCAUGACACGACACGUGUCAUGCUCACAUCGUUUGAGUAUUACGACAAUUUUACGAUGAUUGUUCAUCAAACUAUCGUAAAACCGUUGUAAUAGGCCAACAUAUAUACCCUCGUACCUCGGAUCUGGAGCCAAUCCGGCGGCUGUCAGAUGUAUGAUCGUCAUUAAUGUUACGACGGUUUAAUGAACAUUCGUCGUAAAAACAUUGUAAUUUUACGACGUUUGUACGAUGGUUUUAUGAUGGUGUUUAAAAAAGUUAUCAAACCCUAAAUCUCUCAAAAGACUUAUUGCAUUAAGGACAACCCAAAGCUGAUUUUAAACUAACAUAUUACAAUAGGUUCAUCACUUUACAUGUAUGACUGAUUUAGUACAUGAGAUAACAAAUAUAUCAACCAUCUUAUCUAAUAUAUAACUUUUUACUUAACAUUUACAAAAACAUGCAUGAACUAGUAAAUAUGUAUGAUUUUUUUUUCAAAUUUCUGAUUUUGAUCAGAUUGAAUACUUUUCAUAUCAAAUAAGAUAACCUAUCAAAAACAUUUGUGAAACAUGUUGGAAAUUCAUCCGGAUCAUUCGGGUCCACCUAAUCAGAAAAAAUCUUGCUUUAAUUUCUUAAUUUUGCAAAUAUGCAUGCAACCAUAUAUGUUGGAUAUCAAAGUCUUUUAAUUUAUAUUUUAUACGUAAUUGCGUUUUUAACCACUAGGCAUAAUGUUUUUGAUCUUUACGAUCAUUGAUUUCAAUUUCAGAAACCCCAUAGAUGCAUUCUUUAACCUCAUCAACGAAUGUCCUGAAAAAAUAACUAAUAAUUAAUUAAGACUGACAGUAGGAUAUACGUAUGUGCACUGAGAUAAUCUUUUUCAUUGGACCCCCAAACUUCCUUCAGUUUUCCACUAAGACGUCCGAUCGGCGAGAAUAUGUCAAGUACACCCUUAACUGUAUAUGUAUGGCCUCUUCAAUCAUCAUAUCGACGAGUAGCUCUUUUUCGUGUUCGUACUUUUGGUGCAAAAUAGUACGGAUACAUUCACCUGUAUUGAACCGGUCCACCGAGCUCUGCUUCGUGAGGGAGAUGAACAGGAAGAUGUUCCAUAACAUCAAAAAAUGAUGGCGGGAAGAUCUUUUCCAAAUCGCACAAUAAUAUUGGAAUAUUCGAUGCCAGUUGUGCUAUUACAUCAGCUGAUAAUGUUCGUGUACUAAGAUCCUGGAAAAGUUCACCAAUGCCUCCAACAGCUUCAUAGACAUUUUUGGGCAAGAGUUCAGCAAAUGCAAAUGGAAAUAAUCGUUGCAUAAACACGUGGCAGUCAUGACUUUUUAUCCCUGCAAAUUUACCCUUUUAUCAACAGAUUUAAAAGAUUAGAAACAUACCCAUCAGGAAACUUAACGUAAGAUAAAACCCAUUUGAACAAUGCUGACUUUUGAUCUGCACUCAACCGAAAUACAGAAACUGGUGCUUUCCCGUUUCUCAGUAUAUGAAACUCACUUCUGUUGCAUAAAUCAGGCAAGUCCAUUCUUCACUUACCAUUGUCUUUUGUUCUUCCCGUUACGUUCAUAACUGUAUGCACGAUGUUAAAAAAUUUUCUCAAUGUGCAUGACAUCGAGAUUGUGUCUGAGCAGAUGAUCUUUCCAAUAGGGCAGUUGCCAAAAGAUACUUUUCUUGUGCCAAUUAUGAUGAAAUCCAUAACCUUCAGACAUAUUUGCACGAGUGUGCCAGUUUCCCCCACGCGUUACUGUUUCCUCUGCCCCCCAAUGCUCGAUUUGCGCAAUCAGCUCCUGUUAAAUUUACAGGUGGAGAGAUAUGUACACUUUUGUUCUUCCUAAAUAACCUCUUGUUCCUCCGAUAUGGAUGGUUAUCCGGUAAAAUCCUCCGAUGACAAUCAAACCAACAGGUUUUUCUACCAUGUUUUAGCUGUAACGCAUCAUUUCGAUGAAGACAAUAACAACAAGAUAACCUCCCAUGUGUAUUCCAUCCUGAUAGCAUACCAUAAGCAGGGAAAUCGCUUAUUGUCCAAAUAAGCAUAGCCCGCAUAGUAAAAUUUUUCCCUGUUGAACAAUCAUAUGUGUGAACGCCGGUAUACCAUAACUGAUUCAACUCAUGUAUGAGUGGCUGCAGAAAUACAUCGAGAGCUCGCUUCAGAUGAUUGGGACCUGGAACCAAAAUACUAAGGAAAAGAAAUUCCCUUUGCAUGCACAUAUCUGGAGGAAGGUUAUAAGAGGUUAGGAUUACUAGCCAUAAUCAAUAUUGUCUACCAGACAUACCAAAUGGAGUAAAACCAUCAAUGCACAGACCAAGAUAGACAUUCCGUUUGAACUUAGCAAAAUCUGGGUAUACCGUAUUGAAGUGUUUCCCUUUGCUUCUGAUGGAUGCACAACUUCUUCAUCUACUUGUGUAUGUUCUGCAUGUCAUCUCAUUGAUGCAGCUGUCCUUUCAGAUUGAUAAAGCCGCUUCAACCUAUCAGUUAUAGGGAGAUACCACAUACGUUGGUACGGUAUCCUUUUAUGCCCACCAGUUUGCGGCCUGUAUCUUGGUUUUUGGCAAAAUCGACAUUCCUCCGGCUGAUCAUCAUCUUUCCAAAAAAUCAUACAAUUGUCAACACAUACAUCUAUCAUCUCAGAAGGUAGACCAAGACUAAAAAUCAACUUAUAUAUUUCAUAGUAUGUUGCCGCUGCCAAGUUAUCCUCCGGUAGAUACUCUUUCAGAAGAUCAGCCCAAUCAUCCAUGCAAACCUCAACCAGGUUAUGAUCUGUUUUAAUUGACAUCAUCCUAGCUGCCAAAGAUAAUUUAGACAGAUCUUCUCUACAUCCUUCGUAGAUUGGCUGAUUAGCAUUGUCUAACAAAUCAUAAAAUUGUUUGGCAUCUACAUUAGGUUCCUCAACAUCAUUACCAGUAUGCGUUUCAUGAAAUGCAUCAGUCACCAUCUCAUGCAUCCUAUCAUGAUCUAGACCUUGAUCAGAUUGAUACUGAUUAGGCUGAUGACCAUAAUUUGAUUCAUCAAAAUCAACAUGACUUUGAUAAUUACUACUACUACCAGCAUUCCCAUGAGUAUUACUAUCAUAUCCUUCUCCAUGUAGAUACCAAACAAAAUAUUGCAGCAUAAACCCUCUAUUUAAUAAAUGCGUCCACACGGUUUUGGUUAGUGUAUACCUUGUAUUCUUGUAUUUCAAACAAGGACAAAACAUCUUUGUGGCCUGAUACAUGAAUAUUUCUAACCCGUUCUUGAACUCUUCUGUCAACGCCCCAUCUGAAUCUUUACGCAUAUACAUCCAGCUUCUUAGCUCGUAUAUAGACAUCUUGAAAAUAACUCAAAAAAACUAUCUCUCUCUAUUGUUUAGACAAUAUAAGAGACGGUCUCUUGUGUCACGUGUAGCCGCGUGAAUGGAGAAACCUUUCAAUAUUGUUACUUCUUUUUUCAAAGAAAUUACUACUAAUUCGGGUUUCCAGCAAUGGACAACCCAAUAUAUCAGGUUUUACAACAAUAUAAUAAGGUUUAAGAGACCAAAAAUGGGUCUCCAGGAUGCUGAUGCUCUUUUGUUUGAAUGAUGAUGUGUUGUGAAUGAAAGAAGAAAUGAAGAUGUAUUUAUAACCAAAUUUUGGACUUUACGACGCUUUUACGACAAUUUUUUACAUCCAACCUUCAUAUUACGAUGAUUUUACGUCGAUUGUGCGAUAAAAUAUUUCAUCGACAUUAGUUAGGUAAACAUGUUUUAAAUGUUCUUCACCUACCUUCUUUGCCGACGUAAAAUCGUCGUAACUGUACAUCGGAUUAGGAUCGUCGUAUAUUCAUCGUAAUGUUACAUCCAAAUUACGACGAUUUUGCAAUAAAUAUCAAAUCUCUCUUUAUCGAUGUAUAAUCGUCAUAAAGUAUCAUAAAUUGUACGUCGAAGUUACGACGAUUUUUUUUACGACGUUUUAUUUUUCCAUCGUAAAAUCAUUGUAACAUCGUUGUAUAUUUGUGACGACUUAUAAACUGUCGUAACAGACCGUUGGAAAACGAUUGUUUACUUGUAGUGGAUGCAGCUCAUACGCAGAGCACAAAACCAAAGUAUGGGCCACAUGUCAACACAGAGCAAGGUAAGCCAUCUAAACUCUCUAAAACAAUCUGUUAUAGGUGUCAUCAGAGAAGUCAUUUUGCUAAGACUUACCCAAAUACAAAAUCAGAGGAUACUUCAUCAAUUGAACCAGAAAAAUAUGAAGCUAGAGAAGUAGAAAAAGAUGAGUUAUAUUGUGAAAUUUCCAAUUCAGAUCUAAUGUGCUUGUCUUUGCCAAAGGUUAUUGAUGCAUGUUUAAAUCAUGGAGAGCAUCACUAUUAAGAGAUCAAGACGUGCCAACCUGCCACUGAAAAAUAUGAAGUUGUCACUAUCUUCACUCCAAUCCAAGAGGAGCCACCAGAUCUUACACUGAAUCCAAAUGUCGUGGCAACAAAGAAAACAGAACUAAUCAACAGUUCUGAUCAGGUAAGUAUUUCUUUAGCACCAUUGAAUUCCAACACUUCAAAUUCUGUGCUGUUACACUCAUUAAAUCCAGAAGAAGUUGAAUUAAAAGAAGUCUUGGUAGAAUGCAUAUCAUAUAUCGAACCAGACAUGAAAAAGAGAUAAGAACAAGUGUUCCAAACAAAAAUCAUGUUCCAUUGCUCGUAAAAAUAUUUUGACCGCGAUAACACACUUGUUUCUUGUCCAAAAAGAAAUGGUAAUUGCAGGAACUGACGAGGAUCCACAAGAAAUCCAACAGAAAGAAAUCAGUAUAGAUGCCAUUUGUAAAAUGGAGGAUUUUACAACGACAAAAAACUUGCUGCCCAAAGAAUUUAUCAACAGACAUGAGAGAGAGGUCACUGCUUCCUUAGUGAUAAAAGAAGAACCACCAGAUGCCCAAAAUAAACCAAACCCAAGCCACAAGCAAACCAUGACCCAAGGUAACUCUCUAAACCCUCAGGAAAAGCAUGAUCCUAACUUGCUCUAUCUUUGUGCAGGUCAAAGAGUUUCGAGGACGAAACUUUUCCAAGGAGGAGGGUAUGAUGUGGUCAUCGACCCAGCUCACCAUCACAAAGAGACCCCAAUUAUCUGUAGCCGAGAGAUGCCUUAUAGGAGCUGAAACGGAGAAAACAAUGGAACAUAAAGGCGAGCCCAACAGAAGCAGAAGUGAAAAUUUGGAGUUCACCAACCAAAUUUCAUCUGGAGGAUAUGAUCGAGCCAAAACACUUUUGGGUCGAUCCAGAAAUGAAGUUACCCAAGAAUCAACUCAAACUCUUGGCCAAAGCAUGUUCAAGCCACACAAGGAGACCCAUGCACCAUAUUCAGCACUGAUGAAGUCCGAGAUCAACUAGUACAGCUCGACCAACACUUGUAUUACAUUUCUAUCUCAUCCAGUGAACGCCUCGAAGUGGAAUCAGCCCAAUUGGAUCCCAGAGAAAGGAGUUAUUCAGCUUAUAAAUUAGGUGAUGCACAACUUCUACGAUUUGAACAUACGUUCCUUAUUUGGAGGUUUCCGACAGAACCAGAAGGAUUUAAGCUGUGAGCCAACUUGUUCCCGAUUUGUGAUUCAUCAUAGAAUCGGAGGCAAUUGGAAUCAAACCAAUACCGGUUAUGGUUAGAAAUUUAUUCACUUUUUAAGUUGGAAGAUCUGUUUCAGACCCAAUUGCACAGCGAGGUUGAAGAUCGUACUCUACAGCCCAACUCAUCCACGUUCUCAGCCCAAAAUUACUUGGAGAAUAUUUUUUGGUCUUUCCUGGAUCCAACAAGCUCAAGAUCCGAAGAAUUUCCCAUUGAAACUUCAAGUUACACCCAAAUUCUCAAAACGGAUUGACUUGGUUCUAUUUAUGGCAGGUCCGAGCUCUGACUGGUUUAGAUCGCUAUCUACAAGAGUUUGGCGCCCAGGAGAGACUCUAAGGCAACUAAAGAAGCUUAGAAACACCUUACCAUGCACUAGCAUCUACAGGAUCAGGCGGAUCGUCUUGCAAGCUUACUUUUCUUAUGUGGCCGCAUUCACACUCGGUGCCAUUAAUCACCAACGGCUCUUUUCCUUUGAAUGCUACGACUUGGACGUGUUAUAAUCGUCAUAAAGCAUCGUAAAAUACACUAUUUACAAGUUAUUUUGUGUACACAUUUAUUUCAUUCCCCCAAAAAUACAUCAUUUAUAAGUAACUUUUUUACGUAUAUCCUUUUUCUCUUUAAAAGAAAAUUUUCAUUAAAAAAACUUCAAAAUUUCAGUAGUUCCCAACUUAAAUCUCCGACUUUUUGGGUUCCAGCUUUAAAAUUUCAAGUUAAUUAUUUUUCCAAAACAAACCUUCAAGUUGCAUAAAAGUGUGCACAAUCGAGAGUUUACUAAGAGUCAAUGCUGUUGUUUAACGGUCAAUGUUAGAAAAUAAUAGUUUUAAAUAAUAAAUUUAUUUAUUUUUUAUGAAAAAAAAUCAAAAUAAAAAAAUAACAAAAGUAUUUUUUCAUUAUUUUUUUUUCAACACUUAACGGUUAAUAUAUUAUAUUGUUAAACUAAUAACUUUAAUUGUAUUAAUUUAUUUAUUAAAAAAUUAAAAAUCUUCUCAGUUGCAAAUCUUUUCAAGUGUGACCAAAUAAUCCAUUGGUCGAUCUUAUGUAUUCACCAUUAGGGUUGAGAAAGGAUCAAAGUUUUCUUAAUGAGAACGAGAAGUAAAAGGUAAACUCAUUAGAAGUUGUGUCUCUAGGUACCGGAGUUGAACCGGUUUUUUAUAGAAAGAUUUCUCAAGCGUGAAAAUCAUAACGGAGAGGUCAUAGGCGAGAGAAUUGUUUUUUUGUAUUUUUUGUUUUUAUUUUGAUUUUUUGGUUUUUGGUUUUUAUGUAAAAAAAUAAAUAAUUUAUUAUAUAAAAAUUAUUAUUUUAACGUUGAGCGUUAGACAACAAUGUAAAUUGUUAGUCAACCCUUGAUUGUGCACACUUUAAUGCAACUUGAAGGUUUAUUUUGGAAAAAUAACUAACUUGAAGGUUUAUAGUAAAAAACCCAAAAAAGUAGAGGUUUAAGUUGGGAACCGCUGAACAUUUGAGAGUUUUUCUGGUAAUUUCUGUUUUUUUUUAAAGAACAAUAGAACAAAAAUAUUCUUUACUAAAUUCAAAGAAACCCAAUAAGAAAAAAAUAUUCUUAUCAUUUAUUCCUUUAGUGGUCACACUAGUUUGAGCCUUAAGAAAAUCUGUUUCUUUAGUUUUUUGGAAAUCAUAAAAUAAUUGAACAAAAAUAGCUUUUGGGUGAGUUCUAGCUAAUGGUCUUUGUACGCUUAGUUGGCCCAGCUCCUAUCAGCUCACUAAAGCCCAUACGUAGAUUUACCUAAGAGACUUUGAGUUACUUUAGUCAGAAUGUCAGAUCUUCUAUCACCUUCCGGCCAAAUCAAUUUUGUAAAGACUAGUUUCGUACCAUUUCAUUGAAGCUAUUUCCAAUAAGUACAAAAAAAGGCGACAGAAGCUUGUAUAGAAACAACAAUACUUCUAGUAAUACAAACAAGAUACAACAAUCAAAAUACAACAAGAAACCCACAGCCAAUCGAGUCACAAAACACGUAAAAAGAAAGCAAUCCCUCUGAAAAGUUACUUACUAUAUUACCAAAUUUACUUGGAAGUAUCUAAAACUUUCAUGGAGAUGCACCACUGCUUCUGGAACGAUACAUAGUGGCAAAAUCCAAACUUAAACGCCGGUCCCUUUCGUCUCCCCAG